CAAAGUUCUCAUCAAGUAAGACAUUAUGCGGUUUAAUAUCAAAAUGCAGAAUUUGCAUAUCACACCCCUGAUGCAAGUAUUCAAUGCCACGAGCAACCCCCUUUGCAAUCUCACAAACUUGUUUCCAACUCAAUGGAGAACCAUUUUGACAAUUUGAGAAAAUUAACUUAUCCAGAGAGCCAUUUGGCAUGUAAUCAUACACUAGAGCAUGUUUUGAGGCAGUAACACAAAAUCCCACUAACCGAACCACGUUCACAUGGUGUAUUCUUCCAAUAGUUGCAACUUCAUUGAUGAACUCUUGUCCAUUAGCUUUUGAUUUGUUCAGCAUCUUGACAGCAACUGCACCUCCACUGCGCAAUUUGCCUUUGUAAACCAAACCAUAGCCUCCUUCACCUAGUUUCUCCUCAAAAUUUUUUGUCAUUGUCUUUAUUUCUUUGUAUGAGUACCUAAUGGGCAUGAGGCUGUUGUUUGCUUGUAGGAAAUCUUCUAUUGUAUCAUACCUCGAUAAAUGCCUCCGACGACACCGAUAAAGGAGGAAAGCAAAGAAGAGGAUAAUGCCAAUGAUAUGUUUUGCUGCAAUAAGCACAACUGGAAUAGAAGAACAAAACAAUGAUUGAUUGACUUCUAGUGUAUAUUCCAAUAGACAGAGUUUUCAACUAUAAAUCAGAUGCAUUACCCGAAACUAUGGCACCAAUAUCAAAGUAAUCUGCUUAUAAAAGAAAAGUUAAAGGAUUAUAAUGAAAAUAUUGAAAUAGAAAGAAUCUGAUUGAUUAAAGAAUGGUUUUUCUGUAAAUCAAAGAAAUCAGAUUACUCACAUUCAUUUCCAUAUGGAUUUGGGCCGAAGACAUGUUUGUAGACGAAUCUGUAGGUUUCUACCGAGCUGAGAGCCACAUAGCCUAAGUACGAAAGUGCGUACGAGUUUCAAAUUACGACGACAAUAAAAAAAAAUAGGUUCAAUAAAUUCAAAGUAUGUUUGUUUUGCAUGGUUCAAAGCGAAAAUUCAAUAAUUCAUAUGUUUGUUGGGAUCAUAACACAAAUAAGCUUUUCAAAAAGUCAACCCACCCUCCUGUCUAAAAUCCAACUAUUCUAACUUGACUAUGUUCCUAUAUAUUUUUGUUUGCUAAAAAAGAUUUGCAGCAACAAAUAAAGACAAAAUAGCAGUUUCUGGUAUCCUGACUCAACUAAAUUUCACAUGUACUCUCCUUUCAUUUUUGGGGAAGAUGAGUGCUACCGCCUGUGGGGUUUCUAUCCCACAUCGGUUCGGGGGGGUUUGGGGUUUGGGUUUAUCAAGGUCUGCGGGAGCCUUCAAAAGUUGCCGGCUUUUGAAGGUUUCUCGCAGGUCAACUUUAGUAACGAAAAAGUCUGAGUUUCUCAGUCAUCGGAAAAAGACAGAAACCUCGGGGAGGUGAUCUCUCCAUUUCAGUGGGUGUCUGGGGGGUCUUUACUUCUUAGCAGCGGGGCACCCCUGUGGGGUUUCUAUCCCACAUCGGUUCGGGGGGGUUUGGGGUUUGGGUUUAUUAAGGUCUGCGGGAGCCUUCAAAAGUUGCCGGCUUUUGAAGGUUUCUCGCAGGUCAACUUUAGUAACGAAAAAGUCUGAGUUUCUCAGUCAUCGGAAAAAGAGUGCUACCGAAGAGUGGAGUAAGAAUUGCAUCAUUAAAAGGAGAAUUUGUUAAAUCUACACUUCCACAAUCUAGACCUAUACGGUGUAUAAAAUAAACAAUAUUUGGUUGUUUUAUAAUUUUUUAAAAGAAAGAAAGAAAGAAAGAUGAAAAGCAGUACUACCAUAUUUAGCCCCAAAUGUACCACUUCACAUCUUAACUUAAAAUCUUCCAAUAUAUAACUUAAAUUUGUCAUUAAUUCCCCAAAAACAUAGUUUCAAUCAUCAAUUACGAUGUUAAUAAAUCUUCAAAUCAGUGUACUUACAAAAAAGAGAUCUCCUCCUGUGCUCGAAGAGUGGGAGCCAACUGAUCUCAAGGCCAUUAGACAGAAGAUUGUGAAGGUCUUCAAACGAAAUAUCUCCUGCUGUUUCUUUAGGGAGACACCGCAGGUCUACAGGAAGUAUUUUAUAGACAGUGCACGACUCUUCAAUAUCAGAUGCCACCACAUUUUUGCCCACCACAACAUAGCUGUAAUAAUUGGACGGAGCUUUCAUUUCUGAAAAAUGAUUUGCAGUGAUAUUACAAGAAGCAGUGUCUACAUAAAGAGGAUAUUUCGAUUUCACCGGAUUUUUACAGCUCACAAAGACCAACGAACCAGCAUCGGGAACUGUCUCCACAGAAAAGUAGUAGUCGUUGUAUGGAUUUUGACGGUACUCGUCGUCUGGACUUAAUGGGUGGACUGGCAGAGUAGAACAGUUGUUCUUUUGCACCCCAGGAUCAAAUAUACGAAGUGUCUGUUGCUCAUAAUCAAUACUGUUUAGCUCCACCGAAAAGUUAUACCGUUUCUCCGGAUAGGAACUACGACUCAUGGAUAGAACAGUGCGAUUUUUUUCACAAGAGAAUUCAAUAACACGAGGUUGACGGCACACAUCGGGAUCAUCACCACUAAAUUGAAACGGGCACUUUAAAUUGAUGUCGGUGCCCCCGCAAGUGGAUGGGCUACGGUCACUGCUGGUGUCUUUGGAAUGGUAAAAACUACCAUAUCUCCGACAAUUUUCAUCAAAAUAACCAUAUCUGAUAUCCAGCAGCCAGCCGUAAAUCAAGAUUAGAGACAACAAAACUACCAAAAUGUGAAGUUGAAGCAUACUUCUUAAACACACCGACUGAGUGAAUUGGAAAAAAAGAUGCCGCAUAUAUUUAGGAAACGGAGAAGAUGGAGAAAUGACGUCGUAAUUUACGCUAAAUGAAAUUUGGUUGAAAUUAGAGGAGAAGGGCGGGUGGCGGUGGUGGUGAUUGUGGGUGAGAGAGAUAUUUUAAAGUGGAGGUGAGUUUUGGGGUGGGGGGAACCGGUUGGGUAGGUGAAAGUCAAGGAGGGUGACCGGUUCUUCUUUUCUUCUCUCUCUCUCUCUUCUUUCUUUCUUUUUUUUUUUUUUUUUUGAGGUUUAGGUCAAGUUAAGCGUAGUGAAUUGCAAAUAAAUUGAGUUUAACCAAAGUGAUUUGGAAAUACGUUUGGUUACAUUUUGAGAUCGGGAAGCCCGAAUAAAUUGAGAAACUUGAGUUUGAAAGUUUGUCAAGUAUAACCGAGCUGAAAAAUAAGUUCAGGAAAAAAUGAACGCGAGUUUGAUUUUAAGAUGAAUUCAGAAUUGAGUUUCAUCAUAGAUACUUGGCAAAGAGAAUAGGACCUGAGGUCUCAAAUAGGCAUGUAUGUAAGCCAAAAUUAAUUUAUUGAAUGUCUCUUUCAGAACUCGGCCUUAUUACCAAUGAGUUACAGGAUGUGACAUAGCUCCUCAUUUUGAGUUGGAUCGAUUAUUUUUCUUUGAUUAUAUAUUCUAAAAUUAGGAUUAUUAUCUUUUUUGAUAUUCUUCUUCUGCAUCUAACUUCAGAUUUUAUCAAUAGUAAAAAAAAAUUAAAAUAUGAAUCUAUUAAAGACUAUAUUUACCUAAUUCUCAUUAUCCUUACCAAUCGCUUUAACCAAAUUUUGCAAAAUUUCACAGCAAACGAAAACAAGCCUAAAUUCUAAUUAGCCAGCUUUGAUAUCUCAAUAUCUAGUUCUAGUAAUGUUUUACUUUCUUCCAUUAGUUUUGGGAGUUGGAACGUUUGGUUUAAUAAACCAGUAGAAUUCCAUGAACCAAACCUUUUUCAGCACUAGCCUCCAAUGGAGGAAACUGCUAACCAAAUGCGUUGGAAGCUAAAUUCUGAACUUCUCUCACAGUGCAAGUCUAAUUUGAGCUCCAUUUUUUUUUCCGUUUUGUUUGUUUGUUCUGAGGGAGUUCAUUCUCGACUUGGCUCUAAGUAGAGAUGGCAAUUUAUCCCAAAUUCCAAUGGAUUAUCCAUGCCCAUGGGGACUUUGAGCGGGAUGGGUACUGGAAUUUGAUAUUGGGUUUAAAAUGGGACAAAUCCCAAUUGUACCCAUUAAUUGAUGGGAAAUUUUGGGAAAUACUUGGGUACGCAUUGCGCUCAAAUAGCAAGGGCUCCGUUUGGAUUAACUGUUUUUGGGGGUAUUUUUGAAAUAUUUUAUUGUAGCAGUGUAUAUGAAAAAUUUUUACUAUAAAAUUUUUUUGAAAUAUUUGAUAUACUAAUAUGAAUGGAAUGUUUUUUGAAGUAUUGUAUAUUACUGUAACAUUGUAUUUGAAAAACUUAUUUUUUGAAAAAAUAGCCAAUCCAAACAGAGUCUUAAAUUCAAAAAUUAUCUUUAACAAUUUUUAUAGUCAUACUAGCGAAUAUAAUCUAGCAGUCUUCCUAGUCAUUAUCCACAAGAAUUUCCAGCAUUUCAAUCAGUUUAGACCUGUCAUCCUUGGACAAUGAUGAGAAUAAAUAUUCAACACCCUAAGUGUCUUGGUCAUCUUGAUAUAUGUUGGAAUAUGGUUGUAUAUCUAUUUUUUCCUUUAUUUGUUAAUCCAAUUUUUUGUGCGAAUCCUGAGUAUAAAGCACUUGCAUGUUUAUUUAAAAAAACUAAAAGAAAUUUAAUAAAUAAAAAAUAUUAAAGUUAUAUAAAAAUAAAAAAUGAAUUAAAGGAAAAAAAAUGUAAAAAAUAGAUUUGGGUAUUGGGCGGGAUCAAUCUAAACCCAUCCCAAAGUGAUCCCGCCAAGUUAGUCCCAAAACACAUAUGGGUAAGGUUGGACCCAAAUCCAUAUGACUCGGUUCCAUCUCAAAUUUAAGCAAAUCCCGCCCAUCCCGUCUAUGUUGUCACCUCUAGCUCUAAAUCUUUGUUCUCUUGUUGUUGUUUUGACAGAAAAAGAUAUUUUUCUUAUUAGCCUGUAUUGAUAUGAUGGUAACACGAAAAUGAAGAGACAUUAAUACAUUUUCUUUCAUUAUUUGUUCAUGAAAAUAAAAGAAAAUAUGUAGCAAAUUAAAUCCAAGAAAAUAAAUUGAUCUGCCAACCUAGUUGUGGCCAUGCACUAUCCAUAUCAAAGUUCCAAACUAGAUUUUUUUUUUUCGUUUUUUCUUCCUUAAGGGAGUCUAGUCUAGACUUUUGAUGAUUUCUUUUAAGCAGUCCAACAUAGAUUUAUAAAUGAAGACUUUAACCCCGAAAAGAGAAAAAGAAAAAAAGAAGAAAAUUAGUCAGUUAGUGAGUCUACUAAUACAUAAGUUAUAUUGUAAAUUUAGAGCCGCAUCAUUAUGGCGAUGCAUGAUGAACUAAAAAUAGUUAUAAGAAAUGAUCUUUAUUUUAAUGAAAAACACACAGAAUAUUAUGAUCACUAGUGCAUUCGAUAAAAGAAUAAAAAGAUAUCUGAGGAGAAGCUAAUUAGUUCACUUGAAAUAUCAAGAUCAGGUUUAGAAAAAUGGUUCACUCGUUCUUUUCCUCUUUAUAAUUUUUGGGGCACUAGAAUUGAGUGGAGUAUUCAAUAAUUUGAGUAUAUUCCACAUUUGAGGUUUUAAAUUUCCAACAACAUCAGACCAGAUAAUGUUUUGCAGAAUAGUCUGUUUUUUUUUUCUUGUAAGUCCCAAUUGAUGGUAACAUGAAAAUCAAGUCGAGUAAAUCUAAAAAAUUUAAGGGUCCGUUUGUUUCGGGUGAAAAUGUUUUCCAGAAAAAUAUUUUCCUAAUUUCCCGUGUUUGAUUGCACAAAAGUUAUUGAAAACAUUUUCCUAUGUAAAAUAUUUUCACUCAUCUUAUGGAAAACAACUUCCCUUCCAAACUUACUGAAGUUGUUUUCCGAAAUGCAUGCAUCCCGCUUGUAGUAUGUUCCAAACUUACUGAAAACAUCUUGUAGUAUGUUCUUUUUUUUUUUUUAGUGUAAAUAGGAGAACUCAAACCCAAAACCUCUUCCUUACACUUCCUUUUCCGUACCACCCAACCCAACCCUCCCCCUAGUAUAUUCAAAAUAAAAAAAAAAUCUCAUCCUACUCAUCCUAUGCUAGUAAUUAAUUAUGUAUAAUAGGGACAUUCUUUUCUAGAGAAACUUUCAGCAGUGAGAGUGCAAGAUAUAUGUCACAAUAAGCAUUGCAUGUGAUUGAUAUUUGACACUAAAUGACCAGCAAUUUACUUAUUACUUAAGGAGAUAUUUUUUAUUCAUAUAUACAUUUCUCCAAGAUUUUUUAAAGUUAAAUAAUGAGAUAAAUUUUCAUAUUUUGCAUGGGAAGAAGUAUGUAGUUAUAAUGUGUAGAAAGUAAAGAUAGAGAUAAAAGUAGUGAAAAUAUUUCAAAAGUUAAACAAAUACCAGAAAAAUGAAGUGAGAAAAUAUUUUCAAUAAACUAACCAAACACCUGAAAAUGAUGAAAGAGAAAUGAUUUUCAUGGAAAAUUACUUCCAUGGAAAAUAUUUUCCCAAAGAAAAUAUUUUACUUCCAACCAAACAGACCCUAAAAGAGAAAAAAUCUCUAGAUCUAGAUGCCAUCUUCCACAAUUCACACACUAAAUGUCUAAUUGUGUAUUUUAAAAGAACUUGUCCCACAUUAAAAAAUCAAACAGACUUCCAAUCAUUAUAUAAUACUUAGCUUCUCAAUUAAAAAACCUAAACAAUUAUCAAUGAAUACGUAUGAUGGGUUCCUAAACCGGGGUUUUCUCGUUCCGUAUCAUAAAAGAUGUCAAAGUCAUUGUCGCGUUUUGAUGCAGGCAUUAAUUAGUCAAGUUGUUCUGUCAUCUAUCUAUUUCGGGGUCCAACUAUAGGGGGGAUUAUAUAUAAUUUUUCCAACUUUAUUCUUGUUACACGCCACCUAAGUGGAAAACUUUCUAAUAGUGUAUUGUAAUAGUACUACUGUAAAUUCUCAUGUUGUAUUUUUAGCAUAACAACUGAUGCACUUCAAUUCUCCACAUCUUAUACCUGCAAAAAAUACGAUAUUCAGAAUCACCCUAAAUCGCAUCCCCAUUUAACAAAGAAUAUGUCUGCUAAAUCAAGAUAAAAAAGAAAGUUAUCAAUUUUGGUCAGAAAACAUUAAAAGUAGAAAGUUUACACACCGCAUCAUGAACAUCACCCUAGAAUUUAUAUGAUUUUGGUCCGUGAGCCAAUUUUAUCUUUUAUAGUCAAACUUAUGAAAUCAAACUAUAAUAUGUUUCAGGUUAUAAGACAGCAAAAUAGGAAUGCCUCCAAAAAUAAUUGAUUCUUUUUUCAAGUGAAAUGAUCCCAGAGCAAGGCUAAAUUCUAAUUGGCUGGUUUUGACAUCUCAAUAUCGAGUUUUAGUAAAGUCGCCCUUUCUUCCAAGCAAUUUCAUGCUGGGCUCCACAGCGAUUGAUACUUAAGACGAAGAUGCAUUUAUUAUACAGGAAAAUUCUAUAGAUGGUUGGGGUAAUUCACGACAAUAUGAGUACUUGUAUCUAAAACUCUAACCACUGUUUACCAGUAAAACCAAUAGUCAAAUGAUCAGAUGACUUUAGAGGAAGAUUUUAGAUAUAUUAAACUAGUGCUAAAGCAGUGAUUAUUCGUGUACACAAAGUUACAUGUUACAGACUAGUUAGCAAUUACCACUUGUAACCAACUGUGGCUUAUAAUUUUCAAAAGGAAAAAAACCAACUGCGUAAUUAUGAAGAGCUUGACAUGGUAAAAUCAACUAAUUGUGUCAUUCAUUAAAAAAAAGUACUUUAGUUCCACACUUCCAUUGGAAUAAAAAUGCCAACACCAUAUUGGCUAAUUCUAAUCACCAGUCUGCUGUAUUUCUUGGCUACAGAGUUGCAACACUUUUUUAUGAGUCAAAUAGGAAGUCAUCAAGAUUGGCACAAGCCAGUCGUACUCCCGGCUUAGUAGUAUUUUAUUUGUUUUAUUUAUUGGCAAUCAACAAAUUGUCAAGGUCCACUAGUGAAAUUAGUGGACGCUACAACUUUAUUUGGAGCACUUUCGUUAAUUAAAAAUCAACUACUAGAUUUAUUAAGUAGUUAUUCAAGUAGUUAGUCUAAACUGUAAUAAAAUUUUUCAUAAGUGAUAAGAGUCUAUUACUGGCUAAGGUUCUUUGCCAAUUAAAUUUGCCAACAAAGGUCAUUCUGGAGGGAGAUUUGCAAUCAACAAUAAAUGGUAUUACGAUGAUAUUAUUUUUCACUUGCCAUAGCACCAGGAGUGUCAGUAGUGCCGAAUCAAACUAGUUCGCUAUAUUUGUUCCACCCAAAACUAGGGUUGGGCUUAAUAUGAAAUCAAGCAGGGUUCAAAUUUUGAGCCUAUUAUUGAUGCUCAAUGUCAAAGUGAGUUGAUCUUAGGCAAUCCAAGCCCAGCCAUAUCAAGCUUGGCGGGUUAAGAAAUCUAAAAGUUUUCAAAGUGAGCCAAGUUUAGGCUAUGAAAGGUUCAGCCAUGUCUAGUCUCGGCCCACUUUGAUAUGUUCAACAUUUUGUUGAUGUAUGCAUUUCUUUAGCUAAUCCUAUAGUAAUUUGUACAUCUAUAGGCGGUAAGGUAGCACAUAAAGGACAUAUAUCAAUGUAAGAUAGUCAUAUAAAAUUCAACUUAAUAUAGCCGGAGGAGUGAAUGUAAGUGAGAGAUUUCGAAUUCGAUACAUUCCACUUACACUUAAAAAAAAAUUGUAAUAAAAAAUUUUAUUUAAAGCUUUUCAUUUAGUGAUGUAUUUUAAUCCAUUAGUAGAUCAAUUAGAGUAAAUACUAUAUUUUCUCAUUGCAUCAUUGAAAUUAUGAGAGAUUGCUUGUUAAAUCCAUAAAAUUAAUGAAAUUUCAAAUUUAAUGAUUGUAAAGCAUAAGUGAACUUGGACCAGCUCAAAUUGACCAUGUUGAUGAAAAGGAAAGACACGUUUCGAAGGAAAAAUCCAAGGACAAAGACAAACGGCUACAAGGCUAUGUUAAACUAACAAUUUGACUAGUAAUAGCAACACCACUGCAAAAGAUUGAUCUCAUGAAUUUGCCAGAAAUACUUAGAUAUACUGCUCGCUGUGUUAGAUAACAUAAUAGUUUAAGAAAAAAAAAAUAUGUACUGGAGCUCAAUUGUAGAAAUUAUUAAGUUAAACUGAAGGACAAAUCCACCACACAGCUUUCACUGAAAGUACUACUUAGUCAUCCAUCUGCUCUAUUUCUAAAGCAACAGAGCUACAGAGGGGUGCCGUUGACUCAUCAGAAGAACUACUAUCGCUGCUUCUUUGCAUGGAUAUGGGUGAAUCUGGAGGGUAAAACGACGGUUUAGGAGGCAAUCUUAGACCACUAGCAUCACCUUCAAGCAUUUCUAAGACUUCUCUCAUUGAAGGACGAUCCUCAGGUGUCAUCUGUAUGCACCACAAGGCAAUCAAAAUUAAUUUUCGUGUAAUUGUCUUUUCUUCUUCAGUUGCAUGAUCUCCAAUUUCCAUUUCCUCCACCUGAUCGAAUUUGUCAUAUAUCCAUGAUGGGAAGUAUAUUUGACUUGAAUGCUCAGCAUGUGCAUCCACAUUUCUCCUCCUCCCAGCCAUCUCCAUUAGUAACAUUCCAUAGCUGUAAACGUCUGCCUUGUGUGAGACUCUUCCAAUCCUUUUGUAGAACAACUCUGGGGCCAUGUAACCUAAUGUUCCUCUCACAGCAGUAAGAGUUGCAAUACUCUUUUGCAUUGGGUAAAGUUUUGCAAGUCCAAAGUCUGAAACUUUUGGAACAAAGUUCUCAUCAAGUAAGACGUUAUGCGGUUUAAUAUCAAAAUGCAGAAUUUGCAUAUCACACCCCUGAUGCAAGUAUUCAAUGCCACGAGCAACCCCCUUUGCAAUCUCACAAACUUGUUUCCAACUCAAUGGAGAACUAUUUUGACAGUCUGAGAAAAUUAACUUAUCCAGAGAGCCAUUUGGCAUGUAAUCAUACACUAGAGCAUGUUUUGAGGCAGUAACACAAAAUCCCACUAACCGAACCACGUUCACAUGGUGUAUUCUUCCAAUAGUUGCAACUUCAUUGAUGAACUCUUGACCAUUAGCUUUUGACUUGUUCAACAUUUUGACAACAAAUGGCUCCAUACGAGGCACUGUAUGGGAGGAAGUGCUGGUCACCAAUUUACUGGGAUGAGGUCGGUGAGAGGAAGGUCCUAGACCCAACAGCUAUUCUGUGGAUGGGAGAGGCACGCGAAAAGGUCAAAUUGAUAUGGCAAAGACUCCAAACGGUUCAAAGUCUACAAAAGAGCUACGCGGACAAUCGCAGAAAAGAUUUGGAGUUCGAAGUUGGAGACCGUGUUUUUCUCAAGGUUACAUCGUUACAGAGCAUCACGGCGGGUAGAGAAAAGAAAUUGCAACCAAGAUUCGUCGGACGUUACAAGAUUCUCCAGAGAGUAGGUACGGUAGCGUAUCGGUUAGAGCUACCGCCGAGUCUCUCCAGAAUUCACGACGUCUUCUGUGACGACCCCACUUCUCCCAAGGGCGAACCCAAGGGUAUCGGCGGGCCGCCUGCCUAGCUCGCGCCAGGACUCAAAACUUAAAGUUCGAAAGAGCACUAAAAACAAUAUAUACAAUCCCAAAAGAGUUAUAAUUACAUUCUCCAAAAGUAUUGAGUCAAACCACCAAAACAAAAACAAACAUCCUAACUGUUCAACUAUUACAAGCCAAACUAACUAUACUAGUAUACGAGCCAAAAGUCCCCGCGUCGGCCCCUGCUAAGGAAAACAAAAGGAAUGGGGUAAGCUAUAUGCUUAGUAAGUAAACAGGGGCGAAAGCAUAAAUUUCACGUAACAGUUACACAAUAAGAGUAAAGCAAAAGCAGAAAAGUAACAUCACAUAAUAAGGAUACAGGUGGCUCCAAAGCCAACUCAUGUGCCAUGCGUGAUCUCCUGCCGACACUCCGUCAACUUCAAAUAAUAGUCCGUAGAACUUCACUUGUACACCCACCGACACCUUAUCACCCUCACUGGCCAGUCACCUCACAAACUUGCCCGGGCGAACGAAAUCACAAACUUGAGCUUGAGUCACAAGCUCGGGUCACAAACUUGGUCACCUUCUCGGUGAACCGGAUUCACAAAAUUGGUUCAUAACAAGAACCUACAAACUUGGUGACCUCAGACUAAGUUGGACUGCCUCCGACCAAGCCCUAACUGGCUCGAAUAGUCCAACCAGGUCAAGAGUUCGCCCCAAACUAACAAACUUCACAAAAUUAUUCAAAAUCACAAACUUUGCAAACUUCACAAACUUUAUUCGAAAGUCGCCCCGAGCCACAAGCUCAAGGGUUUUGGUUCCAAAAGGUUCAUAUACAUAUGCCAAGUACAAUUAUACAUUCAAAUUAGGGUUUAGGUCGAGUGCGAUAAAGUACACCCUCGCCUAGGUACCCUUUUCAUACAUAUCGAAACACAUAAGCAACUAACACGUAAGAGCGGCCUGAAUACUUACUCAAAAUACCAAAAGUAGUACAAAGGCGGAAUUCACUUUGUGUGUUGGCUAGUAGUGGGCCCCACCGGCUCCGCCUAGCUCACCACUGUCUGAAAUCGAAGAUUAUGUCACAAUAUAUCACAAACGGCAACUAACGUACUUAAAACAAGCAAAACGGCAAAAUUGGCACGCGCAAGUGCGGAAACGACAAAAAAGGCACACGCGCGCGCGCGGAACGGCAAACGGGACGGCCAAAUCUGCCAUCUCAAACCGUUUUGGUCAAAAGUUAGGCUAGGAGUGUCGGAUCAAGGUACAUGAGGUACCGUUGCGAAGCUAAGAGGAAGGGCUACAACUUCCCUUUAGACAUCUCAACCCAGAUCUCAAUAGAUAUAGGUCAAAAAUGCACGAAAUUGUGCCAGCUGUUUCAUUGCGAGUUACCAAACAGGCCCUGUUUACAAGGCCGUAACUCAUGGGUCAGAAAUCGAAAUCAAGAAAUUCCAAAGGCGUUAGAAAGCUGGGACAUAAGGAUAAAACUUUCAUGUUUUGGCCAAGACCUGAAUCCAUUCAGAACAGAACGAAAAUCGAGUGCCAAAAUACCCGUCAGAACUGUCCAAAUACCGGGCAGUUCUGACGAUUGAUAUUGUUUUGAUCAAAACUGGAGCUACGGAACUCAGAUUUCAACGUACUUUAUACCGUUUCGAAGCUGAGACCAAGAUCUAAAUUUCUUAUGAAGGAGUUGACACCCAAAUCGUACUGUAUCAAAACCGAAAGAUCACGGGCAGAAGCUAAACUAAAAGACGUACCAAAUCUGAUGUUCAAAACAGGCUUGAGCAUUUCAUCUAUAACUCAUGCUACACUAAUCCGUUUAACCUGAGAUUUUACAGGCAUACACAAGACUCAAGGGGCUACAAUGUUGAAGAAGGCUACUCAAUCUAGUUUCGAGUGCAACCAGGUCGAAAGUGCAAUAUACUAUACCAGAAUCGCAAAAACAGAUUCACAAAACGUAUUCUAGUGCAAACAUCAUAACUCAGCCUACACAAGUCCAAAUCCAGAAAUUCCAAUGGCAUAUGGUAGCUAAUACAUCAAGCUAUAUUUCAUUCGAAGACCAUAACAACUAAUUCUGAAGCAAUACCAGCCAAAACAACCAAUUACAAGUGCAGUUUUCACAUUCUGAUCAACCCAGAACAGCAACAGUAAAAUCGACAUAUCUCACUCUACACUACUCCAAAUGACCUGAAAUUUUACAGGCACCUCAAAAACAUCAAUACCUACAACUUUCAUGUUUUAAGCAAAGGCCAAUUCGGCCUCUAAGUAGGAGAUACAAAACCGGACAGAAAAGGGGGUGGUGAAACCCUAAGUUGCUGAAAUUUCCUCCAAAUCCAAAAUUACUUGCAAUUAUCACUCAUUUGCACUUACUAGAGUCAUUACCCCUCAUUUCCAAUCAUCAUACAUAGCCACAUCAUAGUGAUCAUAUGCAACCAGCAAAAAUUCCAAAUAAAUAGAAAACUUCAUCAAUCUUAACUAAAAUCAAGAAAUAGUCCACAAAAUCACACUCAUAACAACCACAAGUCAUUUAUUAAGCAUCUUUAGAUAGAAGAGAGGGGUUCCAUAGUCACUUACCUUAGAACCAAAGAAGAAAGACCACUUAGCACCUUAAGCUUCCAAACAACUCCACACAACACCUUACAAGCACUAAACUAAGAGGUUUUAUGGAAGGAAUUCAAGAUUAAACGGUUAAGUUGUUGAUUUGGGCAAGAUUAGAGCAAGGAAUUGAGAGAGGUUUUCUUCCUUCUUGCAAGAGAGAGGGCCGGCCAAAGGUAAGAGAAAAAUGGUGAUUUUUGGUUAAUUUUAAGAUAUUUAACCAAUUGGGUCAAAAGUCAAAAAAUGGAAUAGUAAAUCUUAUUGUAAGAGUUAAUCUUAUGGUGACACUUGUCACCUUUUAUGAAAUAUCUACCUAACUUUUCUCUCUCAUAUCAAUCCAAAUUGCAAUCUCUACUUAUCUCUUAACACCCGGUAAAUUAAACCCAGUAUUCGAAACUUAACCAAAUCGGCCGAAAUUUUCCGAACUUUUCGCACUCGUGGGUCCCACGUUCGAUAUACGUUGUUAAUUUCUCAAAAACCAACUAAUACUAGAAAAAUCAUCUAAAAACUCCAUUUACUCAAUAAAAAUUAUCUGGGGAAUUUUUCUAAUACAGAAAAAUGUAGAAAAGACGAGUUUCCAAUCUUAACCGGAAAUUAGGGUUUUUGUUCACUCCGGGUUUCUAACCUUCUUAAACUUAAUUAAUCUAUACAAAAUGGAUUAAAUCCUAUACUUACCCACACUAAAACACACAUUAACAUAACUAACUUUAAUCACCACUCAAACUUGUUCGAAUACAAAACUAGGGUUUAAAUCUUACUCCCUACUUAGGGUUUUCGAAAUACUCACAAAACCAAACGUUACCGCCUAACUAAUGAAUAUAUCAACGUAGAACGGACUGGGGCCUCACAUCUUCCACGUCUCAAUGCUCAAGAAGUACUAUCUCGACCCGUCUCAUAUCUUACAACCGGAGGAAAUCGAGAUAGAUGAAUCGCUCACGUAUGAAGAGAAACCUGUACAGUUGCUUGACCGAAAAGUUAAAGAGCUGAGAAACAAACAGAUUCCUUUGGUAAAGAUAUUGUGGAAAAAUCAUGGGGUAGAAGAGGCUACCUGGGAGGUGGAAGAGGAAAUGCAAAAGAAAUACCCUGAACUAUUUGUGAAUCAAGGUGAGAAAUUUUGAUGGCGAAAUUCUUUUAAGCGGGAGAGAGUGUGAGAACCCAUAAAUUUUCUUAUUUUCUAAGGUUUAUAUUAUUUAAUCGGCCAUUUUUCUAUAAUUUCUUUAUUAGGAAAAUUUUCUAAAUCAUUUUUAAUGGGUAACUGGGGUUUUAAAUUAUUUUUCUAGUAUAAGUUAGUUCAUGAGAUUUUAGAAGUGGAUAUCGGGCGUGGGACCCGCUGGUGCUGAAAGUUGGGAAAAAUUUGGCCAGUUAGGUUAAGUUUCGUAUACCGGGAUUAAUUUAGAUGGUGUUAAAAGAUAAUUACAGGUUACUAGAUGGAUUGGUGUGAGAGGGACACGAGGAUAGCCAUGCAUUAAUGGUGGUGACAAGUGUCACUUGGUGAUUAAUUCUUACCUUUGACCACUAUUCACCAUUUUACCAAUUAAAUCCAAUUUGACCCAAAAAUCACCCAAAUUUGCAAGCUUCUUGGCUGGCCAUCUCCAAGAGAAAAGAAGAGAAAACUUCCAACUUUCUUGCUUCUAAUCUUGCUCAAUCUUCAAGUUCAACAUAUUAAAUUUGGAUUUCCUCCAUAAAACCUCUUAGUUUAGUGGUAUUAAGGUUGGUUGUGAAGUGGUUUGGAAGACCAAGGUGCUAGGUUGCUUUCUUUCUUGAUUUGGUAAGGUGAGUAGCUAAGGAACCUCUCUUGUCUUCUCAAUUAUGUUGAAUUAGUGGUUUUUGUGAGUUAAAGGGAUGGUUUUAGAGGUUAUUUCAUGACUUUGGUAGAAAUUGGUGAAGUUUUAUAUUUAUUCUUGAUUUUUUUGAUUUUAAUAUGUUUAAUAUUGUUGGGCCAUGGAUGAUAGCUUGGAAUGGUUGAGAAUGAGGCUAUAGUGCGUAAAUUGUGGUUGUUUGCGGAAAAUUUCCGCAUUAUACGGAAAAUUUCAGAAUUAGGGUUUGAAUUUGGGGCUUUUCUUGGGUUUCUAUAUAGCACUUGAAUUGGCUUGGAUUAAAGAGUUUUGUGACUCUAAUAAGGUGUAUUGAAGGGUUUAUGACUUGUAACGGUUUUGGUAAUUGUAUGUGGAAAGUAUGGGUGAAUACUUGUAGGUUGGAAACUUGGAAUGUUAAGGGGAAAUGCUGUCCAAAUUGUGGGUUCUUGUGUGUUAAUGGACUUGGGUUGUUUUAGGGGUAGUUAGAGGCCUUAGGGUUGUUUAAACCCUUGGUGCCGGGUAUUUCUCAUUUUAUUUGCACGUUUCUUUGAUUUUUACAUCAGUGACUUGUAGUUUCAACUUAUGACUCGUAAUUGAGUCUCAUUGUGCAUGUUUGAAUGUUUUAGGGCGUGAUGGUGGUCCAAGACGCUCGUUGGAUGGACAAGUGUGAAAAAUUCUCUUUGCUUGCUUGGUGAGUGCAUUCCCGGCUUUGGAGUCGGUUACUGCCGUUUUGAUUAAACCCGGCUUUGGAGUCGGUUACUGUAGACACCAAAUUUUUGGUGUAAUUUCAUGUUUUUUUUUAUUAUUAUUUUUAGUUUCUAUUUUUAGUUUUUUAUUUGUAUAGUGUUAGUUUUAUUCGCUUUUUAGUUUUUAGUUUCUAGUUUUAUUUUUAUUUUUAAGUUUUUAUCAUGGAAUUUCUUGAAAAAGGAAAAAGAAAAAGAAAAGCAUUCAAAAAAAAUAUAUGAUUUAGUCUUUUAAAUUCAAUGUUUUUUAGGGAAAAAGAAAAGUGAAAAAUAAAAGAAGGAGAAAAAAAGAAAAGGAAAAAAAGAAAUAUAUAUGUGUUUAGUCGUUUUAGAUGUGGUUUCUUUAAAAGUUAAAAUUGGAAAAAUGAAGAAAAGAGAAAAGUGCCGAAAAUGGAAAAGGAAAAUCGAUAAAAAAUGGAAGUUGUAAUUUGUGGUUUUUAGUUCAUUUAUUUUCCAUUCAAUGUUAAUUAAAUUGUUUUGUUAUUUGUUCUUAUUAUUAUUAUCAAUUUCUGUUUUUUAAAAAAAAAAAAAAAAAAAAAAGGAAAAAACAUUUUCCAGUCGCGGCAAGCUGCAAGCGCAGCUUGCACAGAAGGGCCUGAGGGGUUUCGGCUGCAAAUGGUUGAAAAGGGUAGCUAGGUUUCUAGGUUUUCUAACCUAUAAAAGCCACGGAGAGGGCCAGCCGCAAAGGGAGAGUUUUUGGGGAGGAAGAGAUUGACGGAACAAAAAAAAGAGAGCAAAAGAAACGGCAAAAGAAGAAAAAGUGACGACUAAACAGAAAGGGGAACGAAAAAGAAAAGGGCGAGAGAAGGAGGUAACAACGGCUAAGGUUGGUAAGAAACUAGAAACCAGGAGUGAGAGGGAGAGUUCGUGGGGACGGAAAACACAACAGAGGAUUUUUCUGGACAACGGAGGAGAGGAGCAAAAAGAGGGAGACAACGGCAGGAGUUCUUGGGGGGUUGAACGGCUGUGAGAAGAGUGGCUAGGAGAGAAAGAGCAAGAGAGGAGGAUUUGGAGAACCAAGGGAGAACUAGAGAGAGGUGGCGCAGCAAGGAGGAGGAGCCCCAACGUCAUCAUCAUCUUCGAUUCAUCAAGCAAUACGAGUACUGCGGACCUGAAGAAGAACGUUGACAGCCGAGGAGGAUAAAGCUUUUAGGCUGCGCAAGGACGCCCAGUUCAUCAGCCCAGAUCCUGUUCUUUCCUCUGGAAAGGGAUAAAGGUAACGCCUUUCAUUUGUCUUCUGCCCAUAGCUUGUAAAAUCAUGCCAGAAAGGUUGAAAUUUUGCUGCGAUGCUAGAUUUUGUUUUGCUGCGAGUUUGGUUUUUCUUUUUCUGCACUUCUGUGAUUGGCAACCCGGUCAGGUUAUCUGGCUUUGGGGCAAUGUUAUGAGAGUCAUGUGAUUAUGAACGGACUGUUGUGAAGCUUGUCUGAAUUUUCUCUUUUCUUCUUACGCAUGAGUAGAUUGGGUUUGGACUGAAAUAAUUGUAGAAACAGAUUUUUUCUGGGUUCAAAAUUGUAGUGGGCGUUGAUGCUUUCUUUGCUCUUUUUCUUUUGUUUCUUCACUACUGAGAUUGAUGUUUGGUAGAUGAAUGGGGAGUCCAACGCAAUGUUUCUGCCUUUAAUUUACGUGAACCCAUAGCUGCAGAAAGUUUCCGCAACAAAGAACAAAAGGAAUUGCAUUUCCUGUUCCGUUUUCUUUUCCAUAGCUGCACAUCAAAUCUUUCCACUUAAGUUGCAUGUUUAAUCUGUUUUGGGGGAAUGGAAAUAGGAGGUUAGGUGUUGAGUUUGCAUGUUUAGGGUCUAAAAUACUAGAACCAUGAUCGAACACCUUGUUGAAAAGCAAACAAACAGGCUGCCGAAACCAUUUCUGCACUUACGUUCAGAUUUCUGGUAUGAUAUCUUCCCAAAUUUUUGGUCUUUGGUUUGUGAUUAUCAUGAAGUUUUGUUGCUUAGUUCUGAGGUUGUGAUGUUGAGAUGAAGAAUGUUUAAUCAAAGCAUUGUAUUUGGGCCAAAAAUCUGGUUUGCAUGAUAAGCUGUGGCUGGAAAAGAAAAUUGCAGCUGACUUUGAUGCCAAAAGUCUUCAUGAUUUAUCGAAGCUUGUUGUUGCAGAAACUCUCUUCACAUCUUGCAUAAAGGCCUCAUUAGAAUAGGUUGAGUUUUGUGAAUAAAUUGCUGUGCUAACAACAAAAGUGAAUAUCGUUGAUCUUACUUGCUUUUUCCAGAUUUGCAUGCUCCUUGGUGAAUAAUUUUCUCAGCACUUUCAUGAUCUCUUGCUAGUUGUAGCAUGUUUAAAUGUUGAACAUUUGUUUGUUUAGUUUAGAGUUCGGAUGUUAGGGUAUGAAAGUUUGAGUUUGCAUGUUGGGAGUUUAAAACAUUCGAAUCCUAUUCGGGUAUUUGCUGGAAAGUGAACAAUCCAGUUACUGAAUGUUUGCUGUUUUGUUUAGUUUCUUUCCCAGCAUUUAAAUGAUUUUCUUUCUAUGUUUGGCAUUGUUAGAUAUUGAAUUUGUGUUGCAUGUUGCUAAGAUAAGGUUUCUAGAUGUUUUGAUUGAACGGUUUUGAUCAAGUUUGGGUGUUAAAGCUGAUAUCGGCAUGUGAAAAUGCAAGUUACGUUGAUCUUCUUGAUUGCAGAAAUGUUUUCUUGUUGCAGGCCAUUUCACGUUGAUUUGCAUGAGUUUGCAUGGAAAGCUUUCAGAAAAUUGCAUUUUUUGACCCCCAAGUUCCCUUUUGUCUUGCUAUGGCCCAAUUAGUUGAAUAAUUUAAUCAAUUUUAUCUUAAUUGCUUUUGGUUUGCUUUGACAUGAUUUUGGGUAAGGCGUUUAGUGAGUUUUAGGAUGCAUUUUGAGGUUCAAUAAGUUCUAAUAGAAUUUUUAGCUUGGAUUUGUGUUCUAAACACAUUUUUUGGCAUUUGAUUUUUAUGGGUCUCAUCUUAAUUCAUCAAUUUUGGUAUUUUAUUUUACUCUCUUUUAGAAAUUUUCAUGUCCUUCUAAUUAAGUCCCUCUUGCAUUAAUUGCUUUGUACAUAGUUGGUUUGUCUAUGUAAAUACUUUAAUUGACUCAAUUUAGUGUUUAACUUUCAUUUUUCAUAUUUAAUUUUUGUUUCAUGUGAUUAUUUGAUAAUUUAAGUGGUACCUUGACCUUUUUAUUAUUUUGGAGGGUAAGUUAGUAAUUUCACUACGUUAGGGCGUCGCUUCAAGGGAGGUACACUCUAUCCUUCAUUUGCACUACAUUUGACCUUACGUGCUCCUACGUGUUAUGUGAAUAUGCAUGCCUACUCCGCUUUCCUUACCUCCUUGCGUGCAUUUAGUUGCUUUUACUUUUAUUUAAGCUUUAUGGGGUAUGUGUACACCUCUUGGCUUGUAAUAGAUAGGGUUUUGGCGAGCAAUUUGGUCCAUUCUCCCUCUUCCCCCUUUUGUUUUAGUUAGUGAAUGUAAUAGGUUCAUUAGCUUGGUUGCAUGCCCAUGUGCUACAUGUUACUUGCUUUAUUAGGGCCUUGCAUCUAGUCGAGCAUGCUAAGUGUUACAUGCUACGUGUUUAUGAAUUUUGAUAUGCCUACUCGCUUUCCAUAGCCUUGAAUGAAUGUGAUGGAUGAAUGCACGUCACCACGCUAGUCCAACGCUAGUUGUGGCCCUUGUACGCCACCACACUAGUCCAACGCUAGCUGUGGUUCAUUGUUCCGUUCCACUAGUCCAACGCUAGUAGGAACUCAUAGAGGGCUAGUCCAACGCUAGACCCAAUAGGUCCAUUUCCUUUUCAUUAGUACAUGUUUGCAUGUUUCACUUCAUUUCAUGCAUUUUUUCUUAGUUUUAUCAUUUGGCAUGCACCUCGAACCCCCUUUCCCUCCAUUUUAGGAUUUUUGCAUUUCAUGCUAGUUAUAGGGUUCAUUUGCUUGAGAGUCCCCUUAAAUAUGGGAUAUAGACGAGUGUGGCUUUUUCUAAGCCUUAGCACGCUUGUAUCCUCUCUAUCAAAGGGCAAAUUGAGUCAUGAUUUAGGUCUCCCCGUACCCAUUAUGCAUGAAUUCCCUAGGUUCAUGCAUCCACUCUAUCAUUACACCUUCACUUUUCCUCUCAUUUGCACACGUACACCUUUUAUCCAUUCACUUGCACACUUUCACUUUUGUCUCCUUUGCACACGUACACCUUUUUAUCCCUUCACUUGCACACUAACACUUUUUAUCAUCACUUACACACAUGCACUUCAUAUUACCAUUGCGCAUACCAUACCUUGCCCACUCACGUGCACAUUUUUCACUUAUGCAUCUUUGUUUUUUAUUAUUACUUUUUCAAACUCAUGCCUUCACAUUGCAUACAUGCAUUCCAUUCAUUUACAUCCCACUCGCAUUAUUCGUGACUUCUUCAAAGGAUCGUUAUUGGGCUUCACAAUUAAUGUGAUUGGCACCACUCAACCUGUGGAGAGAAAUUUCCCCCAAUACCCCUAGGUCUAGGGUUUUGCAUUCAUGUAGCACAUCCAAAUGUAAUAAAUUCUUUGGUUAAAACAAGAAAAUCUUCGAUUAAAUCACGCAACUAGCCUUGGCUAGGUCAAAGGGGUGCCUUGGAUUUUAUCCUUGCCUUCCCCUUUGUCAAAUGUGACUCCCGAACCUUUUUCAUUGGUUUACGUAGAUUAUGAGUCGUUUAAAAAGGGUUUCUCACUACUUUUCCCUAUUUUUCUUUAAAGAUACAUUUUUUAGGUGACUUGGUACACCUUAACUCAUUACCAAGUGGCGACUCCCAUUUUUUUCAAAAAACCCUUUUUAAACUAUAAUUUUGGGUCAAAUCGUCGCAUUUUCAAACCCCCAUUUAGACCCAUUUUUCUUUUAAAUCACGAUUCAUUUUCCAAAUCACAAAAUACAUUUUUAAACCAUUUUAUUUUAUUUAUUUCAUCAAAAAAUGGGGCGCGACAGUUGGCGACUCCACUGGGGAACUUUCGAGAGUCCGAGCAAAUAUGAUUUAAUCAACCUUUUUCUUCUUUUAACCUUUUCAUUUAUCACAUUGGAUGUUUAGGAUUGCAUUUUUUCCUUAUUUUUUAGGAUUUUUGCAUUUCGCGUAUUAACUCACUUCCUCACACAUUCGAUUACGAUUGUUUGGAUGGAUGGAUGAUUUAUUUUUGUAUGAUUUCGCGCUUUGCAUUGCAUUUGGGGGGGUGUCACCUUUAGAGCCUUGUGUGGUUCUCAACCCCUUCCCUCAAAAUAGGGAGCACUUCAUACGUGCACGUUUAUUUAUUGUUAUCCCCAUUUUAUUUUAUUUUCGUGGGCGUUUCCCACACCGCCUUGUAGGAUUAGGAUCGAUCGCCUUGGGUAGGCGGCUGGUGUGCUCUGCGCCCAUAGCGCUACCUAAGGGAUCACUCGAGCCACCGAUCAAAGGCCCUGGGAGUGAUGACCCUUCGCCUUUAGGUCUGAAGGCUUGGGAGCCGAGACUUAUCGAGUCUAGUUGCAUUAGUGAGCCCCAGCCUCAUGCAUCCAUAUUAGACUCGCCUAGGGUAGAGUCGGCCUCACCUUUUUUUAAGCACAUUAGGCACGAGGGAAGGGGUUCCACCCCUUUUACUUGCUUUAUUGUACUUCUUUUUUUUUCUUAAUUGCUCCCAAUAUGUUACGUGUACUAUCAAUUGUACUAACUAUUCUUGCGUUUUCUUGGCUUGCAUUCAUGUGCCAUAGCAAUAAAAGGCCUCUUUGGCACUCUUUUUGUGACUUACCCGCUAGAUAGCUCACAUGUUUAAUUUCAGUCAUUACACUUAAUUUUCAAUAACUACAUUUCAUUUUUAGACCUCUUUCCCCCCGAUGCAUUAUUUAUGCCCUUUAGGCCAUAUUUGUUGCAUAUUUUACUGCUUUAAAUAACUGGCAUCACGCAUAAACCAUAGAAAGGGAAUGCCACGUAGGGAAUCCCGUGUUUAGGAAUAAGCCGCCACAUGUCUCGGAUAUUUAAUCCAAUGGGACUUACACGUUUACUAUUUCUGCAUUACCUAAAGGGUAAAAUCCCGAGGUAAGGUACUAAAGUGAAUUUCUUCCCCAGAUGGCUCCGUGUAGAAUGCUCAAUCAGAUACCUCGUGAGCUAGUAGAUUGGAAGAACAAUAUGGCACAUGAAGUGAACAGACUUUUCCCGUAUAUAGGACAUUUACCUAGUCUCUUGAAUAUAACUCCGAAUGUAGCCAUUGUCCAAGCUUUGCUCGAGUUCUGGGAUCCAGACAGCUCUGUUUUCCGAUUUGGAGAGUGCGAAUUAACACUAACCCUGGAGGAGAUAGAAGGAUUGUUACAAGUGCCUGGGAAAGGUCACCCUAUGGUAUACCCAAUGAAUGGCACCAGAGAACAAUUUUGUAAGUUCUUAGGGUUAAAACAGUUUAGCAUGAGUCAACACCCGGACGUAAGAUCAUGCCCGCUGGAGUUCUUAUACAAGCGAUUCGGGGAAAAGGAAUCCUAUGAUCAUCACCACGAGGACUUUUUCGUUAGUAGAGAACAGUGGGAAGAGAAACGAGUACUAGCUUUUGGGAUAACUCUGAUCAAUCUACUCCUGUUUCCGAAAAAGCAUGGGAAAGUUACGUUUUCAACGGUCAACAUGGUUCAGAGUGUGUUUUUGGGAAUUAGAGGAAAAACUCCUACCUUAGUACCUGUUAUUAUUGCUGACAUUUUCGCCGCUGUUACUGAGUGCCGAAAGAAGAGAGGGUUUUUCUAUGCAUCCAACCUGGUACUUCAAAUAUGGGCGAUGGAGCAUCUGUCAAAAAGAACACUGAAUUCGUUGGGAUCAUGCCUUCCAACAGCAAAUUGGAUUGAGUCGCACCGAGAGAGGGUUAGAAAAUACUAUCGAAUAGAGUCUCCGAGUUUGUUUAUUCAGGAAUUCAAUGCUUUGACUUCGGAUAAGAUACAAUGGGUUCUUGAUUGGACGAAAGUAAGGGAUCCAGCUUUCAGGACAACACAACUUGAUUUUAUCCCGUUAGCAAGCACCGGUGGAUUGAUUGUGUAUGUGCCACAACGAGUUAUGAGACAGUUUGGGUAUCCGCAGCGAGUGCCGACCAUACAAAGGAUGGGGAGCAUCGAACUCAAUACAGUCACCGAAUGCCAGACUAUGGUGCUGGAAGCUUGGGGGAAUCUGUGUAGUCUGGACAACCUGCAUUUGGACCAAGUGAAUAAAGUAGAGCCUAAGGUCGUCUUAGAGUACAACGAAUGGAUCAAAUCAAUAAUGGAACAAGGAAGAGAAAGGGCAUCGUUGGUCUCCCUUAGUCUUGAGGAGCAGGAUGAAAAGUUGAGGAAAGAGUUGGAGAAUCGUCAGUUGCAGAUCAUGGUAGCCGAUCAAGCAUUGGAAGACGCCCGCUCACAAUUGAAGAAAGAGGCCACAAAGACCGAGAACUUGGAAAAGGCAUUGAGUGCAUUUGGCCAAAUCCAAGAUGAAAUUCGGAAACUUAGUAUCGGGAGUUCUAGGGAGUCCCAACACACUAAACUAGCUAGACAUGAAGACUUUGUAAGAAUGGUCAGUCGAACCAUCAAUGAAAUUGUAAAGAAGGAUUAAGCUUAUCCAUGAUUAAUGAGAAUUCCUGUUUUCAUAUUCACUUACAGGUUUGAAAAAUGGGAUUUACCCCGAAGGCUUGCAUCAUGCUAGGCCUACCCUUGGCACAAAAAGGGCUCCCAAAUAGGACAUGCAUCCGAAUUAUUUUAUUUUUUACUAACUCCUGUUUUUUUUUUUUCUUUUUCUUUUAUUUUUUCUUCUUUUUUUGGCAACAGUCAAUCAAGAAGGGCAUCUAAUAAGGGUUUUCUUACGUCUCCAGGUAAUAUUUAAAUAUAGCUACCCGAAGAAGCCCCAUUAUCACCCGAUCGCGUAGCCGAGCUUCGAGGGAAAGUGUAAACAUGAGUACCCAUCCGGAAUCAUCUGAAAGGCCCGCAACAUCAUCAACUGAUUUGGCAAAUCUGGGAGCUCAGCUGAGCGAGGUUCUCAACCGGUUUAAUGAGCUAAGUGUUGAAAUGAUGGCCCAACGGCAUGUAAUCGAUCAAUUGGUAGCUAGUGGCGCUAGCGGUGAGCAGCAACAUGCACCCUUACCCCCGGGCCAAUCUGAACCAAUACUCUUACCAUAUGCUCAAAUCUCGGUUUCUUCACAAGCUAUGAAUCCACCCGAAGAAACCUUUACUUAUCCCACUCAUGGCCCACCACCUACAUAUGCACCUCACAUCCAAACUAAUCCUCCUCAAGUCCAAAUUUCCCAGAAUUAUCCGCCCAUUACUGUGAGCAUGCCUUUCGAACCACAAGGACCACAUUAUUACGCCACCGCUGAACCAUUCACCCUAGAUACCGCCGUUCAAGGGAAAACUGAAGUUGGGGGGUCGUCCGUGCCCGUGGACAAGAAUUUACUAAAGAGAUUGGAUCGGUUCGAGGAGUUUAUAAGGAAAAGCCAAGGUGUGAGCAAACAAGGAGGUUUGGACUACAACGAGCUGUGCCUGUUUCCGGAUAUGCAGUUGCCGGUGGGUUUCAAAGCACCCAAAUUUACCAAGUACGACGGAACGGGGAAUCCCAAAACCCACCUUCGGAUAUUUGCAAACAAGCUGGGAAGACCAAUAGACGAUGAGAAUCUGCCAGUACGCUUAUUUCCCGAGAGUUUAGAAGGCGACGCGUUGGAUUGGUAUUCCACUUUGAAGCCUGAAGAUAUGAAAUCUUGGAUGGAUUUAUCGACUGCUUUUGUGAGGCAGUAUGAAUAUAAUUGUGAGCUCGCUCCGACGAGGACCACAUUGGAGGGGACCAAGAGGAAGCCAUUGGAGGACCAUAAGACAUAUGCGAAGAGAUGGAGGAAAUUGGCCGCCAAAGUGGAGCCGCCUAUGACUGAAAAUGAGAUUGUUCGCACGUUUAUUAAAGCUCAUGACCCACCCUACUUUGAAGAGAUUUUCCGUAUGACUGGGUGUUCCUUUGCUGAAAUUGUUAACAAAUUGGAAGAGUAUGACGAGUUUAUAAGGGCAGGCAAGAUUGUUAAUGUUUCAGCUUUAAAGUCACAGUUGGAAGCUAUGCAGAGUCAGAGUGGCAGUAGUAAAAAGGCUCAAUUUAAGAAGAAAGAUGAGGAAGCCUCUUUUGUCUGGGACCAGGGUUUUUCUUCUCGGCCUAGAUACCAACAAAAUCCCACCUACUCACCUUGUUACUUAUAUCAACCACACCCACGCCCUGUUUACAAUACCACUAUCAACCACCCCCGUCCUCGACCAAAUUAUCCAAACACACCAUCGACGCCAUUUCAUGUUUCCCCACCAAACUUGCAAAUUAGACCUCGCCCUCCUUUUAACCCAAGACCUAUUCCAUCUCCUAACCCAAGUUACCAGUACCAACAAACUCGUGACACCCAAAAUCCAACUCCAUACCGAACCUUUACCAAUCUAGGUCGACCUGUUGACCAGUUAUAUGAGCAAUUAAAAGCUGCUGGGAAGAUUGGUACGGUACCCCCUAAGACCUAUCCCAGGGGAUUUCCCCCUGGUUAUGAUCCUCAAUCGUUUUGCGCUUAUCAUUCGGGAUCCCCUGGACAUCCGACGGCCAAUUGCUGGGCACUUAAGCAUAAAAUUCAAGAUAUGAUUGAUGCUGGAGACAUAAUUCUGAAAAGGAAAGAUGAACAAGGGCCAAGUGUUAGCAACAAUCCUUUUCCUCAGCACAAGGAUACUGUGGGGACUAUCACCAUAGAGGAAGGGAUUGAGGACCCUACACAGUACAUUGUAGACGAGGCCGAGAUCAUGGGGGUCAUUGGAGAACCGUUUAUAUUGGAGGAGGAAGCCUAUAAAGUUGAAGAGAAUACUGAUCCUUUUAUUUUGGAAAUGAUACCCUUCGAAUGUGAGCCUUCGGAACUCGUGGUACUUGAAUUGCCUGAGCAAACUCCUGUUCUUAAUUUACAAGAGGUCCCGUGGAAUUAUAGCGAACCUACACUGUUAAUUGGAGAGAAGAAGGUGCCUAAGAAGGAAGUGGAUGCCAUCACUAGAUCAGGGAGAAUCAUAGGGGAGCCUGCAGUUGAUGAGUCCUCAAAAGCAAAAGAAGGUGCUACACCAACGAAACACAUAGUGACGGAUGAAGAGGCUUUUAAUUUCCUUAAGAUGUUAAAGAAGAGUGAGUAUAAGGUAGUCGAGCAAUUGAACAAGAUGCCCGCUCAAAUUUCCAUGUUAAAUCUGCUCUUAACCUCGGAACUUCACCGAGAGGCCCUAGUCAUGGUCUUAACUGAGGCUCAAGUGCCUAAAAAUAUUCCAAUUGACAAAUUCGCCAAUGUAGUUGAACAUGUUUUGGCUUCCAGUCGGAUUUCUUUUUCUGAUGAAGAUCUAACUGCCGAGGGGAUUGGACACAACAAAGCUUUGUAUAUCUCAGUCCGCUGUAACGGGAAACUCUUGCCAAAGGUUCUGAUAGACAAUGGCUCCGCUCUAAAUAUCUGCCCUUGGGAUACUUUGGUUAAGUUAGGAUUUCAAGAGACUAAAUUGCGGCCGUCAACCACUGUGGUGAGAGGAUUUGAUGGCGCAAAAAGUGAACCAAUGGGGGAAGUGGAUUUAGUGAUCGAAAUCGGACCUGCCCAGUUUCAGGUCAUGUGCCAAGUCAUGAAUUUUUCAAGUGUUUAUAACAUUCUCCUUGGACGGCCUUGGAUUCACACCUCGGGCGCUAUACCCUCUUCACUUCAUCAGUUGCUAAGGUUUGUGGUGAAUGAUCAAUUGAUCACAGUUUUUGCAGAGGAUGAUUGCACAAUGAUUGUUAACUCUGGACCAAAUGAGGAGGAUAGUAAAACAUCUCUGCUUUCUUCUCAUCAUGUGGCUGACAUUGUUUCCGUAGGAUGGAUAUCUAAGGAGAAGCCCGUGGCGGAAAUGAAUCUGCCAGAAGCUAGUGUUAUGAUGGCUAAAGAGAUGAUUCGAGGAAGAUAUGAGAUGGGCAAGGGCCUCGGGCGCAACCUGCAGGGAGUUUUGGAGCCAAUAGAACUUCAAGGAAAGAAGGAUACUUUCGGAUUAGGGUUUCAACCUACUGCCAGGGAUAAAAAAGAAAUGAUGAAUCGUAAAAAGGCGGAGAAGGAAGGAAGGCAGCUUAUCAUGAAUAUCCCACCAUUGUAUUGUACUUUUCCUUACCCAUCAGAGGUGAUCAAAUCUGAAGUAGACCCGAUCGAGGAAGUGGAGGUUGGGUUAUCUGAGCUAUUUGUGGGGGUUAUUUCUGAAAGGGAGCCGUUGGAGGACCCAGGAUUUCCAGAGGUGCCUAUUGAAGCAAUGAAGAACUGGACCCGUGAUCCUCUUCCCUCCUGCAGGGAAUUUCGGUAAAUUAGGGGAUUGCCUUUGGUCGACAUGAGACAAAUCGUUUAUACUACUUAUCUUUUGUCUUUCAAGUUUGUAAAUAGUUUUCAAUCAAAUGCUUUCCAAUGCAAGUCUUGCGUUAAUUUUCUUGUUAAGUAGCAUGUCAUGAUGUUAUCCUUUACUUUGAAUUUCAAUGAAAUGCACAGUGUUUAUGGCCCAAAUGGAUUUGACUUACUUCCUAUUGUACUCAUUUCAUUUUUUUUUCAGAUGGCCAGAAAUAAGACACAUUGACCCUUUGGAUAUCACUAUUCUGGAAUUUGAUGAUUGUAAUCUCGAUAUCUCUCACGAAUUUGAAAUUUUGGAAUCAGAAAUUCAAGACGAGAGCGAUAACGAGGAAGAAUCUGAAUCUUUAUUAAAGGAUUUUGAACAAUAUGAGGAGAAAUCCAAACCGAACUUAGAAGAAACAGAAGCUGUAAAUAUUGGCACUGAGACUGAAGUUAAGGAGAUAAAAGUUAGCAUUCAUUUGAAUAAGAAACAGAGAAAAGAGAUGAUUGAGUUCUUGACCAUGUUUCAAGAUGUAUUUGCCUGGUCCUAUGAUGAUAUGCCAGGAAUUUCAACAGAUAUAGUGGUCCACCGAUUACCGACUGAUCCAAGUUUUCCACCAGUAAAGCAGAAACCUCGCAAGUUUAAGCCGGAUAUGAGCCUCAAAAUUAAGGAGCAAAUCGAGAAACAGCUCAAUGCUAGAAUUAUUAUGGUGUCUCAUUAUCCCAUUUGGCUUUCAAACCCUGUACCUGUUCCGAAGAAAAGUGGAGAAGUGCGAGUAUGUGUCGAUUACAGGGAUCUUAACAAGGCCAGCCCGAAAGAUGAUUUUCCAUUGCCGAACAUUCAUAUUCUUUUGGAUAAUACUGCAGGGCAUGAGAUUGAAUCAUUUGCUGAUUGUUUUGCUGGAUAUCACCAGAUCUUAAUGGCUGAGGAGGAUAGGGAGAAAACUGCUUUUAUCACGCCAUGGGGGACAUUUUGUUACCGAGUAAUGCCGUUUGGACUAAAAAAUGCAGGCGCUACUUAUCAAAGGACUAUGACCACCCUUUUUCAUGAUAUGAUUCAUAAGGAGAUGGAGGUUUAUGUGGACGAUAUCAUUAUCAAAUCCGAGAGAACGGAGGAUCAUUUGAUUGACUUGGGGAGGUUAUUUGAAAGAUUGAGGAAAUAUGAUUUAAAACUAAACCCUGCAAAGUGUGCAUUUGGGGCCCCUGCCGGAAAGUUAUUGGGAUUCAUUAUCAGUAAGAAGGGUAUUGAGAUAGAUCCGGCAAAGAUUAAGGCCAUUCGUGAGAUGCCAGUGCCAAGAACGCAAAAAGACGUGAAGAGUUUUUUAGGAAAGAUUAAUUUUAUUGGGAGAUUCAUUGCCCAAUUGACCCAUACGUGUGAGCCUUUGUUCAAAUUAUUAAAGAAAAAUGUGUCCUUGCAAUGGAAUGAGGAAUGCCAGCAAGCGUUUGAUAAAAUUAAAGAUUACCUGUUGCACCCCCCGGUUUUAGUGCCACCCAAACCCGGGCGACCUUUGAUCAUGUAUCUGUCGGUGUUGGACGAAGCUAUGGGGUGUGUAUUGGGACAACAUGACGAAUCGGGGAAGAGGGAGCAAGCUAUCUAUUACCUUAGUAAGAAGUUCACUGCGUAUGAGGCCAACUAUUCUUUUCUUGAGAGGAGUUGCUGUGCUCUAGCUUGGGCCGUCCAAAAAUUGAGACAUUACUUGCUCAGUCAUACUACUUACCUUAUUUCCCGCUCCGACCCUUUGAAAUAUUUGUUGGGAAAGCCUAUGCCGACGGGACGUAUGGCGAAAUGGCAGAUGAUUCUUUCGGAAUUUGACAUUAUUUUCACUACUUAAAAGGCCAUCAAAGGCCAGGCUGUGGCCGACCAUUUAGCUGAAAAUCCGCUGAAAGAUGACUAUCAACCACUUCACACUUAUUUUCCGGAUGAGGAGGCCUUGUUCGUGGGUAUAGCAGAAGAUAUGAAUGAUCAAUGCCCGGAGUGGAGGUUGUUCUUUGACGGUGCAUCAAAUUCCUUCGGGGCCGGUAUUGGAGCUGUUCUAGUAUCGCCUGAAGGAAAACAUUACCCUGGUUCGGCCAAACUCCGAUUUUCCUGUACUAACAACAUGGCUGAAUAUGAAGCUUGCAUUUUUGGGUUAAAAAUGGCAUUAGAAAUGGAGAUUAAGGAUUUACUAGUAUUCAGUGAUUCAGAUUUGCUUGUACAUCAGACUCUUAAGGAGUGGAUUACUCGGGAUUCAAAGAUCUUGCCCUAUCAUUGCAACUUACUGGAGUUAGCCAAUAAAUUUAGGAGUUUGGAGUUUCGGCAUAUUCCUCGUGUCAGAAAUGUCUUCGCCGAUGCAUUGGCCACUUUAUCUUCAAUGAUCCAACAUCCGGAUGAGUUAAUAAUUGAACCCAUCCAGAUUCAUCUACAAGGGAAACCUGCUCACUGCCUAGUUGUGGAAAAGUCUUCCGAUGGCCGUCCCUGGUACAAUGAUAUCAAGGAAUUUCUCAAAACAGGAUCCUACCCAUCUGGGGCUGAUAUGACUGCCAAAAGUUUCUUGCGUAGAUUAUCAUCUAAAUUCUUCUUGAAUGGAGAAGUAGUAUACAGAAGAACGUCGGAUUUGGGCCUUCUGAGGUGUGUUGACGAAGAUGAAGCGGAAUACCUGAUGAAAGAAGUACAUAGUGGAGUGUGUGGAUCACAUAUGAAUGGCCAUUUAUUAGCAAAGAAGAUCAUGAGGACUGGAUAUUUUUGGCUUACUAUGGAGCGAUCCCGGUGCCACUCAUUCGUUUGUUAACCCUGAUUUCAUGUGUGGCAUCGAUAUAAAACCUGCUAGCUUACCAUAUGACUUAGAGGUUAGUACACCUACGGGGAAUCAACGUUUGGUGACUAGUAUGGUCUAUAGGGAUUGCGACGUAUGGGUAGGUGAAAGGAGGUUUUUAGGGGACUUGAUUAGCUUAUCCAUUAAGGGGUACGAUGUGAUUUUGGGUAUGGACUGGUUAGCCAAAUAUAACGCCCAACUGGAUUGUAAAACGAAAAUAGUUGAAUUUCGCAUUCCUGGCGAGGCAACCUUAAGGUUAGAUAUAAGGGGUAGGUUAGCCUCAUCUGCUCUCAUUUCGGGCAUUCGAGCUAGGAAAUUGAUAAGUAGAGGGGCACAAGGAUUUUUGGCCUUCUUAAUUAAUACCCCUACGGAUAAGUUAAAGGUAGAAGAUGUAGCCAUAGUGAGGGACUUUCCGGAUGUUUUCCCUGAUGAGUUAGUGGCUUUACCUCCGGAAAGAGAGAUAGAAUUCCGAAUAGAUCUUUUACCUGGAACUGCACCUAUCUCAAAAACCCCUUACCGAAUGGCGCCUGCAGAACUUAAGGAGCUUAAGUUGCAACUGCAAGACCUUUUGGAGCGGGGAUUCAUUCACGAGAGUGAGUCUCCUUGGGGAGCUCCGGUCCUAUUUGUGAAGAAAAAGGACGGAACGUUGAGGAUGUGUAUUGAUUAUAGGGGGUUGAACAACGUGACCAUCAAGAAUAAGUAUCCACUGCCUCACAUAGACGAGUUGUUUGACCAGCUGCAAGGAGCAGUGGUCUUCUCGAAGUUGGACCUCCGACAGGGGUACUACCAGUUGUUGAUUAGGAAGGAGGACAUUCCGAAGACUGCUUUUAACUCGAGAUACGGGCAUUACGAGUUUGCCGUUAUGCCCUUUGGAUUGACUAAUGCUCCCGCCGCCUUCAUGGACUUAAUGCAUAGGGUUUUUAAACCCUACCUGGACCGAUUUGUCGUGGUGUUUAUUGACUACAUUUUGGUCUACUCUAAGUCACGCGAGGAGCAUGAGAAGCAUUUGAGAAUGGUAUUGCAGACAUUGAGGGAACAUCAGCUGUAUGCCAAGUUUAGUAAAUGCGAGUUCUGGUUGGAGAGAGUAGCGUUUCUAGGGCACGUGAUCUCCCACGAAGGUAUUUCGGUGGAUCCGGCGAAGGUUGAGGCCGUGACAAAUUGGAAAAGGCCAGAAACUCCCUCGGAGAUUCGCAGCUUUCUAGGGCUAGCUGGGUACUACCGACGGUUUAUUAAAGAUUUUUCCAAACUGGCAGGACCUUUAACUGACUUGACAAAGAAGCAUGGCCAGUUUAUCUGGAACGGCCGAUGCGAAACAAGUUUUCAAGAAUUAAAGAAAAGAUUGACCAUGGCUCCAGUACUGGUCUUGCCCAAUGGAAUGGACGGGUUUGUAGUAUAUGCGGAUGCGUCGCGAGAAGGACUGGGAUGCGUUUUGAUGCAGAACCGGAAUGUGAUUGCUUUCGCCUCUAGAAAAUUGAAGCUUCACGAGCAGAACUACCCGACUCAUGAUCUAGAAUUAGCCGCAGUGGUGUUUGCUCUGAAAAAGUGGAGGCAUUACCUAUACGGGGUGACCUUCGAAGUGUUUUCGGAUCACAAAAGUCUUAGAUACCUUUUCUCCCAGAAGGAAUUAAACAUGAGGCAACGAAGGUGGAUGGAAUUUCUGGAAGAUUACGACUGUACGAUCAAUUACCAUCCGGGAAAGGCAAAUGUGGUAGCAGAUGCCUUGAGUCGUAAGGUGCAAGUAGCAGGGCUAAUGAUUAAGGAGUGGGGUUUGCUAGAAUCCGUGUGCGAGUGGAAACCCUGUCUAGGGAGCCAUAAGGUGAUAUUUGGCAAUGUUAGGGUUACCUCCACUCUACUGGAACGUAUUAAAGAGGCACAAAAAGAAGAUUUGAUGGUACAGAAAUGGAAAGAGAAAGUGGAUAAGGGAGAAACUACGGACUUCAAUUUGAGUCCUGAGGGUAUUUUAAAGUACCGAAACCGAGUGGUGGUACCAAAGGAUGAGGCAUUGAAAGCAGAAAUUCUGGAGGAAGCUCAUAGGUCUAAGUAUACAAUCCAUCCGGGUAGCAGUAAGAUGUAUCAGGACCUGAAAGGGACCUAUUGGUGGGAUAAUAUGAAGAGGGAAAUAGCUCAAUACGAGCAGAAAUGUCUUAUUUGCCAGCAAGUGAAGGCAGAGCAUCAAAAACCAUCGGGUCUGUUACAACCCUUGGAGAUACCCGAGUGGAAGUGGGAAAACAUCACCAUGGACUUCGUUUCCGGUUUACCGAGGACACAAAGAGGACACGAUGCCGUUUGGGUGAUCGUUGAUCGAUUAACCAAGUCGGCCCAUUUCUUGCCGGUGAACAUGAAGUACUCAAUGGACAAAUUGGCUCGACUGUACGUGGAUGAGGUUGUAAGACUACACGGUGUUCCUGUGAGCAUCGUCUCUGAUCGGGAUCCACGAUUUGUGUCUCGGUUUUGGCAGAAGUUUCAAGAAACCCUGGGGACGAAACUCAAUUUGAGCACUACCUACCACCCGCAGACGGAUGGCCAGUCAGAACGGACAAUUCAGACGCUCGAGGACAUGUUACGAACGUGCAUUCUGGACUUUGGAGGCAAUUGGGGUCAGCACAUGACCUUAGUCGAAUUUGCAUAUAACAAUAGCUUCCAUUCGUCGAUACAAAUGGCUCCGUAUGAAGCCUUAUACGGACGCAAAUGCCGCUCGCCGAUUUACUGGGAUGAAGUUGGUGAGAAGAAGGCACUAGACCCGGCAACCAUUCCAUGGAUGGAAGAGGCUCAAGAGAAGGUCAAAUUGAUAAGGCAACGAAUCCAAACCGCUCAAAGUCGCCAAAAGAGCUACGCGGAUAAUCGAAGAAAAGACUUGGAGUUUGAAGUUGGAGACCACGUAUUUCUUAAGAUCACACCUUUACGAAGUCUCACAGCAGGUAAAGGAAAGAAACUUCAACCGCGGUACGUCGGACCCUACAAGAUCCUGCAGAGGGUUGGAGCGGUCGCGUAUCGAUUGGAACUACCGUCUAGUCUAUCUCGAAUCCACGAUGUCUUUCACGUCUCGAUGCUAAAGAAGUAUCAUCCAGACCCAUCUCAUGUGUUGCAACCGGAGGAUAUCGAAGUAGAUGAAUCACUGGCCUAUGAAGAGAAACCGGUUCAAGUACUUGAUCGAAAAGUCAAAGAGCUCAGAAACAAGAAGAUUCCACUAGUGAAAGUACUAUGGAGAAACCACGGAGUGGAGGAAGCUACUUGGGAAAUGGAAGAGGAAAUGCGAAAGAAAUACCCAAACCUUUUCGGGAAUUAAGGUGAGAAAUUUCGAGGACGAAAUUCUUUUAAGGGGGGAAGAGUGUGAGAGCCCGUAAAAACCCUAAUAUUUUUCCUAGGGUUAUUUCCCCUUUAAUUGCAUAAUUUUGCAUUUUCUGGCUUAGAAAUAUUUUCUGAGAGGAUUUUAUGAGCAGUUAUAGUUUUAAGAGGAUUUUUCUAGCAUUGGAGAAAUUUUAGAAAAUUAAGAGUAAAUAGUGGACGUGGGACCCACUAGUGCGAAAAGUUCGGAAAAAUUCGGCCAAUAAGGUUAAGUUUCGGAUACUGUGUAAAAUUUAUCGGGUGUUAAGAGAUAAGUGGAGUGUGUGGAGUGAUUGAUGUGAGAGAGAAAAGAAUGAUAAGAUUGCAUUUAAUAGAGUGACACAUGUCACUUUCUUAUUGGAUACCUUUUAUGAAUCACUAUUCACCUUUUGACAUUUUUUUGACUUUUGACCCAACUAAGUAAAUAUCCAAAAAUUCACCAAAAAUCAUCAUUUUUCUUCUCUUGUUGGCCGGCUCUCCUUAGCUCAAGAAGGAAGGGAACUUCUCCAUUUUUCAAGCUUCCACUUGGUCCAAUCUACCACAAACCAAAGCCUAGAGUUGAUUUCACUCCAUAAAAACUUUCCUUCUAGUGUUAGUAAGUAGUUUGGUGAGAUUUGUUUGAAGGCCUAAGGUGCUCCACAUCAUCCUCUCUCUUGUUUCUUGGUAAGUGAAGCUUGAAACACCCUACUACCUUUAAUGAUGGUUAUAUGAUGCUUAGAAGUGGCAUGAGUGUGUGAAAAUGUGAUUUAUUUCUUGAUUUGAAGAGUUAUGGUGAAGUUUUUAUUUUAUUGGGAUUUUUUUCUGGUUUAAUAUGAUCUUGAUGUUGGGGGCUUGUAUGAUGAAUUGUAAUGGUUGGAAAUGACUCUAGUGAGUGUGAAUUAUGGUUAAAUGCAACUAAUUUUGGAUUUGGUGUGAAAUUGAAAAGUUAGGGUUCUUAAUUCCCCAAUUCUGUCCGGUUUUUGAUCACUGGGUUAGAGGCCGAAUUUGACUUUGCUCAAAACAUGAAAGUUGUAGGUAUUGAUGAGGUUGAUGUGCCUGUAAAAUUUCAGGUCAUUUGGAUUAAUGUAGAAUGAGUUAUGACGAAAUUACUGUAGCUGUUCUGCUUUGAGCAGAAUGCGAAAACUGCGAUAGUAAUUGGCCAUUUUGACUGGAAUUGGUUUGGAUUUUGGAGUUGGUGUCUUCUGAUGAAAUGUAGCUGAGUGUCUUAGCUAACAUAUGCCUUUGGAAUUUUGGCAUUUGGACUUGUAAGGACUGAGAUACAUUGAUUACAGUUUUUUGUGUUUUGCGAACCUGUUUUAGGAAUUCUGGGUUAGUAUUUGGCAUUUUCGACCUAGUUAAGCUAGGAACUGGAUUGAGUGGUCUUCUACAUUGUUGUAGCCCUGUUUCAUAGCUUCGAAACGGUGGGUCUUACACCCCCAAUCGAUAUUCGUAGUGAGAAUUGUGCCAUUACCGCAUAAUAAGUGUAAAACAGUUUUUCCUAAUCGGGGCCAAGACUAUUGCUAAUUUUAAUUUCUGGUUUGCUAUCGUGUUCAUUUAUGCAUAUGAAACCCUAUUGGGGUUGUGUUUAGCAUUGUUUGGUGACUCGUUCUCGAGUCUCAUUGUAUGUGUUACAUGUUCUAGGGCUUGAAGGUAGUGCUCGACGGCUUGGUGAUCGUGGUACAUGAAAAACCACUUACUUGCUUGGUGAGUAUACCACUCACUAAAUUGUUACUAUGUGGCUUUGUUAAAUGUUAUGUGAUGCCUUGAUGGCUUACUUGCAUAUUGGAAUUGAUUAAGGUGAGGGUGUACUUGACCGCCCUCACCUCUUUUGAUAUUGUCAUUGAUUGGCUACCGUUUUAUUGCAUUACUGAACUUGAUAUAUUGGUUGGUGAAUUCCAUUUCAUGGAAACUGAAUUGAUGUCGUUUGGACGAUGUCCAACGGCCUUACUGCAUUACUGAGCUCAACCCCGUUUGGUAGUCAAUUGGAUCGAGCCGGCGAGGGCUUGGUCGUGAACAUUGAAUUGCCACGGGGACUGUAUUGGGGAACCUUGUGGUAAUGAGACCCUUGGUUCCGAUAAACUCGAGUAUUACCAAAAGCUACUGAAAUGGAGUGCGGGCCCGGUUGGGGUAUGUUGGGUGGAAGGAAUGGAAGUAAAGAGUUGUCUACGGUUUGGUAUUUUAACAUUGACGGAGAGUCAAUGAGGUUGGUUCAAGAUUGCAAGCGUGGAAAUGGGCUCUUGAGAGCCGACCGUAUCCUUUUACCGGUUUGCUUCAUUGCUUAUUUGUGCACUUUAAAUGAAGGUUCAUUCUUAUAUGACUUUGAUUGCUUAUUGGGUAGUAUACCACUGGGCUUUGGCUCAUUCCAUGUUAUUUGUUUUCCUUACAGGGAUAUAAUUGCUUUUGAAAAUGGACUGGAUAGUCAAUUGCCAUACUGAGCUUGUAAAUGUCUUUUGUAUAGCUCUUGAAGUGAAACCCUAAUGUAUAACGGGUUCAUUUCCUUUUGAUAGGCAAAUCGAAUGUGUACUCCUUAAUGAAUGGUUUUGGCAUGCCAUUAUGGUUGUAAAUGUUGAUUUCCGUUGUACAUAUAUGCUUGGCUAUGGUUUAGAUAAAUUUCGGCUUCGGUUUUCGUUUUAUUUUAUUUUAUUUUAUUUUGUGUUUUGACUUGUUUGCGCGCGAUGUUAUGUUCCGGAACGUUUUAGAUUGACGUAAACCGUACCGUUAGUCCUGGCGAGAGCUGGGCAGGCAGUCCGCUAACCCCUUUGGUUCGCCUUAGGGGAAGGUGGGGCUGUCACAGGUGGUAUCAGAGCCUAGGUUUGAAUUAGCCUGGGUGUAAUAGAAGUGCUCGAUUUGAGGAUUUUAUUGUUUAUGCCUAUAAAGUGUAAUCAUGUUAUUUCUUCCUUUGCUAUAGGAUGGAUGCGAGUGGUGAUCCGAGUGACCGUCCGGCAGGAGAUCGUCCUCGUAGUCCGCUGCCGCCAAUUAAGUAUCAACUUAGGCAGAAGGGGGCCGUGGUGCGUUGGAGCCCGGCCAGCCGUGUUCGACAGUGCAAGUGUCGUAGCAACUACGCCUAUCCAAACACUCUAGUGUUGGCGGUGGCAAAGGAACGUGAGGAGUUUGCUAAGGAUAAUACUAAGCUUGAAGCUGUGGUUGCUGCGUUGGAAGCUGAGGUGACUCAGGCUAGGGCAACCAAUGAGAAGCAAGCCGCACGUAUCAUGGAGCUAGAGUACGACGUGAAUGAGGCGGAGGACCGAGUUAAUGACCUAUGUGAUCAACUGAGGGAUGGUCGCGAGCGUGAGGUUAAGCGCGCUCGCAAGGUCAGGGGUCGUGCGGAGGCGAUCCUUAACUUGUGCGACGACGGACUCGAGGAGUCUAGUGAUGAGGCCUCGUGCGCUGGGGCCGAGGCUGGGGAGGAGUCUACCCCGUCGCCUGGGUCCCAGACCCCAGCGACUGAUUAGGCCUUGAUCUUAGGGCACUUUUGGCUAGUGGUGGCUCUUGUAUGUAUAUAGGGAUAGGGAUAGUGCCUUAGCUAACCGUUUUGGAUGUAGAGUUAGCUAUGUGUAAAUCUCUUUUGAUAGGCCUAUCCUCAGGUGGAUCUUUUGUGUACGUACGUGCUUUGGCCGUACCUGACUGACUGCUUGUAUAUAUGUGUUUGGCAUGUAUAUAUGUGUUUGGCAUGUAUGCUUGGACUGUAUAAAUGUGUUUUUGUGAAAAACUUAAGUGUUACUUAUAUGCUUUGUUAUUGCUUUGGUUUAGUACUUUUGCCUAGACCAAGUAUACCUAAUGGAAGGAACACGGAGAGGACGGGGACGUGGGCGUGGUAGGCAACCCACACCGGUUAGGGAAACUGGGGAAGCUUCUACUGGCCCAAUUCCUGAACCCCAAAUAGACCCCAAUGCUCAAAUAGCUGCCGCUAUGCAGCAAAUGACAAACUUACUCGCACAAGUAGUGCAACAACAGGGCCAAAACCCAAACCCUAACCCUGGAAACCCUGGAAACCCUGGCCAUCAUAUUGAGAGCGAAGAUAGAGCACUAGAACGUUUCCAAAAGUUUUCCCCGCCAAAGUUUAUUGGGGGACCCGACCCUGAUGUUGCUGAGAAAUGGCUGGAGAAGAUGGUAGACAUAUUCGCGGCCUUACACUAUCCGGACGAACGGCAGGUGACUUUUGCCGUGUUCCAACUCGAGGGGGCUGCCCGUUCCUGGUGGAACGUAAUUAGGCAGAAAUGGGAGCGGGAGCAGACACAGAGGACUUGGGUGAACUUCAUCCGAGAAUUUAAUGCUAAGUUUUUCCCUCCUCUAGUCCAGGAAAGGAAGGAGGACGAGUUUAUCCGGCUCCGGCAAGGGGCUCAGACUGUGGCGGAGUACGAGAGCCAGUUUACCCGCCUGUCCAAAUUCGCGCCUGAACUAAUUAUGACCGAACAAUGACGCGUGAGGCGCUUUAUUCAGGGUUUGAACGUGGAGAUCCAGAAAGAUCUCGCAGCGGCUCAAAUCACUACUUUUAGCGAGGCAAUGGAAAAAGCCCAACGGGUCGAGAGUGCACGGCUUCAGGUCCGAAACUUCCAGGCUAAGAAGCGUGGUUUUCCUGGGAGUACAUCUGGGCAAGGUGAGAAGAGCACUCCCUCCAAGUUUGGACGAGGAACUGGGGGUGGACGACAAUCUGGAACAGGCAGAGGGACUCCGUUCAGGGGCGGCCAAGUUGGGCGAGGACAGAGGGGGAACACCCAGAGUGGCUCGGCAUCGGCACCUCGUGGUCCCUGUGGGCACUGUGGAAAGACAAACCACACCGAGGACAAUUGCUGGAGGAAACUGGGGAAAUGUCUGCGGUGUGGAAGUGCGGACCAUCAGCUGGCUACAUGUCCGGUCCUGAAACAAGAUGGAAAGGGGAGUCAGCUACCGCCGAGGACUAACACUGGACCAGCCAAGGGAGACGGAUCCAAACCUAAGGUGCCAGCUAGGGUUUAUUCCUUAGAGCCCCAUCAGGUCCCAGAUUCUUCCGAGGUGGUGGAAGGUACGAUCCCUAUUUUCCACCGCUUUGCCAAAGUUUUAAUUGAUCCCGGUGCCACUCAUUCGUUUGUUAACCCUGAUUUCAUGUGUGGCAUCGAUAUAAAACCUGCUAGCUUACCAUAUGACUUAGAGGUUAGUACACCUACGGGGAAUCAACGUUUGGUGACUAGUAUGGUCUAUAGGGAUUGCGACGUAUGGGUAGGUGAAAGGAGGUUUUUAGGGGACUUGAUUAGCUUAUCCAUUAAGGGGUACGAUGUGAUUUUGGGUAUGGACUGGUUAGCCAAAUAUAACGCCCAACUGGAUUGUAAAACGAAAAUAGUUGAAUUUCGCAUUCCUGGCGAGGCAACCUUAAGGUUAGAUAUAAGGGGUAGGUUAGCCUCAUCUGCUCUCAUUUCGGGCAUUCGAGCUAGGAAAUUGAUAAGUAGAGGGGCACAAGGAUUUUUGGCCUUCUUAAUUAAUACCCCUACGGAUAAGUUAAAGGUAGAAGAUGUAGCCAUAGUGAGGGACUUUCCGGAUGUUUUCCCUGAUGAGUUAGUGGCUUUACCUCCGGAAAGAGAGAUAGAAUUCCGAAUAGAUCUUUUACCUGGAACUGCACCUAUCUCAAAAACCCCUUACCGAAUGGCGCCUGCAGAACUUAAGGAGCUUAAGUUGCAACUGCAAGACCUUUUGGAGCGGGGAUUCAUUCACGAGAGUGAGUCUCCUUGGGGAGCUCCGGUCCUAUUUGUGAAGAAAAAGGACGGAACGUUGAGGAUGUGUAUUGAUUAUAGGGGGUUGAACAACGUGACCAUCAAGAAUAAGUAUCCACUGCCUCACAUAGACGAGUUGUUUGACCAGCUGCAAGGAGCAGUGGUCUUCUCGAAGUUGGACCUCCGACAGGGGUACUACCAGUUGUUGAUUAGGAAGGAGGACAUUCCGAAGACUGCUUUCAACUCGAGAUACGGGCAUUACGAGUUUGCCGUUAUGCCCUUUGGAUUGACUAAUGCUCCCGCCGCCUUCAUGGACCUAAUGCAUAGGGUUUUCAAACCCUAUCUAGACCGCUUUGUCGUUGUGUUCAUUGAUGACAUUUUGGUCUACUCUAAGUCACGCGAGGAGCAUGAGAAGCAUUUGAGAAUGGUAUUGCAGACAUUGAGGGAACAUCAGCUGUAUGCCAAGUUUAGUAAAUGCGAGUUCUGGUUGGAGAGAGUAGCGUUUCUAGGGCACGUGAUCUCCCACGAAGGUAUUUCGGUGGAUCCGGCGAAGGUUGAGGCCGUGACAAAUUGGAAAAGGCCAGAAACUCCCACGGAGAUUCGCAGCUUUCUAGGGCUAGCUGGGUACUACCGACGGUUUAUUAAAGAUUUUUCCAAACUGGCAGGACCUUUAACUGACUUGACAAAGAAGCAUGGCCAGUUUAUCUGGAACGGCCGAUGCGAAACAAGUUUUCAAGAAUUAAAGAAAAGAUUGACCAUGGCUCCAGUACUGGUCUUGCCCAAUGGAAUGGACGGGUUUGUAGUAUAUGCGGAUGCGUCGCGAGAAGGACUGGGAUGCGUUUUGAUGCAGAACCGGAAUGUGAUUGCUUUCGCCUCUAGAAAAUUGAAGCUUCACGAGCAGAACUACCCGACUCAUGAUCUAGAAUUAGCCGCAGUGGUGUUUGCUCUGAAAAAGUGGAGGCAUUACCUAUACGGGGUGACCUUCGAAGUGUUUUCGGAUCACAAAAGUCUUAGAUACCUUUUCUCCCAGAAGGAAUUAAACAUGAGGCAACGAAGGUGGAUGGAAUUUCUGGAAGAUUACGACUGUACGAUCAAUUACCAUCCGGGAAAGGCAAAUGUGGUAGCAGAUGCCUUGAGUCGUAAGGUGCAAGUAGCAGGGCUAAUGAUUAAGGAGUGGGGUUUGCUAAAAUCCGUGUGCGAGUGGAAACCCUGUCUAGGGAGCCAUAAGGUGAUAUUUGGCAAUGUUAGGGUUACCUCCACUCUACUGUAACGUAUUAAAGAGGCACAAAAAGAAGAUUUGAUGGUACAGAAAUGGAAAGAGAAAGUGGAUAAGGGAGAAACUACGGACUUCAAUUUGAGUCCUGAGGGUAUUUUAAAGUACCGAAACCGAGUGGUGGUACCAAAGGAUGAGGCAUUGAAAGCAGAAAUUCUGGAGGAAGCUCAUAGGUCUAAGUAUACAAUCCAUCCGGGUAGCAGUAAGAUGUAUCAGGACCUGAAAGGGACCUAUUGGUGGGAUAAUAUGAAGAGGGAAAUAGCUCAAUACGUGCAGAAAUGUCUUAUUUGCCAGCAAGUGAAGGCAGAGCAUCAAAAACCAUCGUGUCUGUUACAACCCUUGGAGAUACCCGAGUGGAAGUGGGAAAACAUCACCAUGGACUUCGUUUCCGGUUUACCGAGGACACAAAGAGGACACGAUGCCGUUUGGGUGAUCGUUGAUCGAUUAACCAAGUCGGCCCAUUUCUUGCCGGUGAACAUGAAGUACUCAAUGGACAAAUUGGCUCGACUGUACGUGGAUGAGGUUGUAAGACUACACGGUGUUCCUGUGAGCAUCGUCUCUGAUCGGGAUCCACGAUUUGUGUCUCGGUUUUGGCAGAAGUUUCAAGAAACCCUGGGGACGAAACUCAAUUUGAGCACUACCUACCACCCGCAGACGGAUGGCCAGUCAGAACGGACAAUUCAGACGCUCGAGGACAUGUUACGAACGUGCAUUCUGGACUUUGGAGGCAAUUGGGGUCAGCACAUGACCUUAGUCGAAUUUGCAUAUAACAAUAGCUUCCAUUCGUCGAUACAAAUGGCUCCGUAUGAAGCCUUAUACGGACGCAAAUGCCGCUCGCCGAUUUACUGGGAUGAAGUUGGUGAGAAGAAGGCACUAGACCCGGCAACCAUUCCAUGGAUGGAAGAGGCUCAAGAGAAGGUCAAAUUGAUAAGGCAACGAAUCCAAACCGCUCAAAGUCGCCAAAAGAGCUACGCGGAUAAUCGAAGAAAAGACUUGGAGUUUGAAGUUGGAGACCACGUAUUUCUUAAGAUCACACCUUUACGAAGUCUCACAGCAGGUAAAGGAAAGAAACUUCAACCGCGGUACGUCGGACCCUACAAGAUCCUGCAGAGGGUUGGAGCGGUCGCGUAUCGAUUGGAACUACCGUCUAGUCUAUCUCGAAUCCACGAUGUCUUUCACGUCUCGAUGCUAAAGAAGUAUCAUCCAGACCCAUCUCAUGUGUUGCAACCGGAGGAUAUCGAAGUAGAUGAAUCACUGGCCUAUGAAGAGAAACCGGUUCAAGUACUUGAUCGAAAAGUCAAAGAGCUCAGAAACAAGAAGAUUCCACUAGUGAAAGUACUAUGGAGAAACCACGGAGUGGAGGAAGCUACUUGGGAAAUGGAAGAGGAAAUGCGAAAGAAAUACCCAAACCUUUUCGGGAAUUAAGGUGAGAAAUUUCGAGGACGAAAUUCUUUUAAGGGGGGAAGAGUGUGAGAGCCCGUAAAAACCCUAAUAUUUUUCCUAGGGUUAUUUCCCCUUUAAUUGCAUAAUUUUGCAUUUUCUGGCUUAGAAAUAUUUUCUGAGAGGAUUUUAUGAGCAGUUAUAGUUUUAAGAGGAUUUUUCUAGCAUUGGAGAAAUUUUAGAAAAUUAAGAGUAAAUAGUGGACGUGGGACCCACUAGUGCGAAAAGUUCGGAAAAAUUCGGCCAAUAAGGUUAAGUUUCGGAUACUGUGUAAAAUUUAUCGGGUGUUAAGAGAUAAGUGGAGUGUGUGGAGUGAUUGAUGUGAGAGAGAAAAGAAUGAUAAGAUUGCAUUUAAUAGAGUGACACAUGUCACUUUCUUAUUGGAUACCUUUUAUGAAUCACUAUUCACCUUUUGACAUUUUUUUGACUUUUGACCCAACUAAGUAAAUAUCCAAAAAUUCACCAAAAAUCAUCAUUUUUCUUCUCUUGUUGGCCGGCUCUCCUUAGCUCAAGAAGGAAGGGAACUUCUCCAUUUUUCAAGCUUCCACUUGGUCCAAUCUACCACAAACCAAAGCCUAGAGUUGAUUUCACUCCAUAAAAACUUUCCUUCUAGUGUUAGUAAGUAGUUUGGUGAGAUUUGUUUGAAGGCCUAAGGUGCUCCACAUCAUCCUCUCUCUUGUUUCUUGGUAAGUGAAGCUUGAAACACCCUACUACCUUUAAUGAUGGUUAUAUGAUGCUUAGAAGUGGCAUGAGUGUGUGAAAAUGUGAUUUAUUUCUUGAUUUGAAGAGUUAUGGUGAAGUUUUUAUUUUAUUGGGAUUUUUUUCUGGUUUAAUAUGAUCUUGAUGUUGGGGGCUUGUAUGAUGAAUUGUAAUGGUUGGAAAUGACUCUAGUGAGUGUGAAUUAUGGUUAAAUGCAACUAAUUUUGGAUUUGGUGUGAAAUUGAAAAGUUAGGGUUCUUAAUUCCCCAAUUCUGUCCGGUUUUUGAUCACUGGGUUAGAGGCCGAAUUUGACUUUGCUCAAAACAUGAAAGUUGUAGGUAUUGAUGAGGUUGAUGUGCCUGUAAAAUUUCAGGUCAUUUGGAUUAAUGUAGAAUGAGUUAUGACGAAAUUACUGUAGCUGUUCUGCUUUGAGCAGAAUGCGAAAACUGCGAUAGUAAUUGGCCAUUUUGACUGGAAUUGGUUUGGAUUUUGGAGUUGGUGUCUUCUGAUGAAAUGUAGCUGAGUGUCUUAGCUAACAUAUGCCUUUGGAAUUUUGGCAUUUGGACUUGUAAGGACUGAGAUACAUUGAUUACAGUUUUUUGUGUUUUGCGAACCUGUUUUAGGAAUUCUGGGUUAGUAUUUGGCAUUUUCGACCUAGUUAAGCUAGGAACUGGAUUGAGUGGUCUUCUACAUUGUUGUAGCCCUGUUUCAUAGCUUCGAAACGGUGGGUCUUACACCCCCAAUCGAUAUUCGUAGUGAGAAUUGUGCCAUUACCGCAUAAUAAGUGUAAAACAGUUUUUCCUAAUCGGGGCCAAGACUAUUGCUAAUUUUAAUUUCUGGUUUGCUAUCGUGUUCAUUUAUGCAUAUGAAACCCUAUUGGGGUUGUGUUUAGCAUUGUUUGGUGACUCGUUCUCGAGUCUCAUUGUAUGUGUUACAUGUUCUAGGGCUUGAAGGUAGUGCUCGACGGCUUGGUGAUCGUGGUACAUGAAAAACCACUUACUUGCUUGGUGAGUAUACCACUCACUAAAUUGUUACUAUGUGGCUUUGUUAAAUGUUAUGUGAUGCCUUGAUGGCUUACUUGCAUAUUGGAAUUGAUUAAGGUGAGGGUGUACUUGACCGCCCUCACCUCUUUUGAUAUUGUCAUUGAUUGGCUACCGUUUUUAUUGCAUUACUGAACUUGAUAUAUUGGUUGGUGAAUUCCAUUUCAUGGAAACUGAAUUGAUGUCGUUUGGACGAUGUCCAACGGCCUUACUGCAUUACUGAGCUCAACCCCGUUUGGUAGUCAAUUGGAUCGAGCCGGCGAGGGCUUGGUCGUGAACAUUGAAUUGCCACGGGGACUGUAUUGGGGAACCUUGUGGUAAUGAGACCCUUGGUUCCGGUAAACUCGAGUAUUACCAAAAGCUACUGAAAUGGAGUGCGGGCCCGGUUGGGGUAUGUUGGGUGGAAGGAAUGGAAGUAAAGAGUUGUCUACGGUUUGGUAUUUUAACAUUGACGGAGAGUCAAUGAGGUUGGUUCAAGAUUGUAAGCGUGGAAAUGGGCUCUUGAGAGCCGACCGUAUCCUUUUACCGGUUUGCUUCAUUGCUUAUUUGUGCACUUUAAAUGAAGGUUCAUUCUUAUAUGACUUUGAUUGCUUAUUGGGUAGUAUACCACUGGGCUUUGGCUCAUUCCAUGUUAUUUGUUUUCCUUACAGGGAUAUAAUUGCUUUUGAAAAUGGACUGGAUAGUCAAUUGCCAUACUGAGCUUGUAAAUGUCUUUUGUAUAGCUCUUGAAGUGAAACCCUAAUGUUUAACGGGUUCAUUUCCUUUUGAUAGGCAAAUCGAAGGUGUACUCCUUAAUGGAUAGUUUUGGCAUGCCAUUAUGGUUGUAAAUGUUGAUUUCCGUUGUACAUAUAUGCUUGGCUAUGGUUUAGAUAAAUUUCGGCUUCGGUUUUCGUUUUAUUUUAUUUUAUUUUAUUUUGUGUUUUGACUUGUUUGCGCGCGAUGUUAUGUUCCGGAACGUUUUAGAUUGACGUAAACCGUACCGUUAGUCCUGGCGAGAGCUGGGCAGGCAGUCCGCUAACCCCUUUGGUUCGCCUUAGGGGAAGGUGGGGCUGUCACAGUUUUAAUAUUUAGAUGCCAAAGGACAGCAACAUUGCAAUUCAGGUGACAAAAGCAAAAUAGUCUCUAAUUGCUAAAUAAACAAAAAAAGUAACAAGCAUUCACUAAUCUGAUACCACUGUAAUGAAUGCAGCAAUUGCAGCAGAAAUAGAGUGAUAAGGGGGAGAGAAACUAGACUUGAGGAAGAAGAAAGAGAGAUAUUAUUCAAAAUGAUUUUUCCAUGUUGCCCAAUCCGGAUUUCUGCAUUCUUAUACAUCUCAAGAAUAAAAAAAUAACUACUUGAUUGUUGACUCAGCAUAACAGUCUAACUAACAAGGAAGAUUCCCUCUAACUACUUGAAGGAAAUACAUUUUGCAUGUACUAUACUGGUAUUCUUCAAGUGAAAUACUAUACUGGAAAUACAUUAAUUCUUCAAGUUGUAACUGACAAUCCAGUGCAAAGAGACCAAACAGUACUAUACUUGUAUUAAAGGCUAGACGGACACAAAUUAAUGGAAGGGGAGAAGAUGGAGAAGGGGAGAGUAUGUGUAACAGGUGGAACUGGAUUUUUGGCAUCAUGGUUGAUCAAAAGGCUUCUUCAAGAUGGUUAUUCUGUCAACGCUACAAUUAGGUCCUCUUCAGGUUCAUGUUUGCUAAUUUACUAGUAAUUAGUUCUCUACUUGAAUUACUUUACCAUUUCCGUCUGCAACUUUACAUAUCAUCAGAACAACAGUUUUUGGCAACUAAGUAGGAGCUAAUUUCAGAAACGAAGGGUCUGAGACAGAACAGCAAAUUGUCUGCACCAUAUUUCUAACAAGAAAUCAGAAGCUUUGGUCAGCAGAGACAAAGGGAAUGAAGAAGACAGUGCCAUGAUAAAAUUCAACAAGGAAAGAAAGGAUUUUCCAGAGUAAAGGCGGUAAUUAGGAGCCAUCAAAGUUUCUGUCUGAGCUUUAAAGCCUAAAUGUAGAGGCUAGACACUAAGAUCAAAUUGUAGAUGGUCAAAUGGCUCAUGUUCCAGUGUUUCCUUGUUUCCAUAGAAUGGUUUUGAGCUUGCUCUUUAGAACCCAGUCAUCAGUUGUUUGGGUUAUUUUUCCCACUUAUUAAAGAUCCUUCAGAAUUCAGAACUGAAAAGAAAAGUAUCAUCUAGACAAUAACUAAAUAAGAGCAAAGUAAGAGAUAAAGCACAUAGAACUUGAGAACUCAAGAAACACUUCUUUUAUUUUUACUAUGAUAUUAAAAACUCAAGAAACAAUUGCAGAAAAACCAUUGCAGAAGCGCAGGACAGCCAUACGCACUACUGAACAACAUGGAUAAGUAAGGAACCUCAACAAACUCCAUACACCAAUUCUUUCCAAAACUACUGGACACUUAUGAAUGACAGUUUAUAUGAUUUUUUAAAGGGAAAAUUGUUGCCCAGUAGUUUGCUAAGGAUGCAGAACAAAACCAAUGCAUAGGCUGAUAACCUAUUUCCCAUUUCCUCUACCACAUCGCCAAUGAGGUAUUUAAAGAAGCGAAGGAAAAUCCCAAUAGUUAAAACGGCUACAAGUCCUAACCAGCAGACUGGCAUCUCAGAUCAUACUAAUGAAAACGCAAUGCGACAGUACAUUUCAUUAUCAAAGAACAGACGUUAAUCAGCUCAACAAACCCAUUGGACAGACUUCAAUGACGCUUAAAAGAAAAAAUCAACAGGGAAACGGUGAAUGAGAGGGCAUACUAUUUCCAGUUGGGAAGGAGCUUCUUGGUCUUUUUGUAGUAACGAGCGAGGCGGUGAAUCCUGCGCUCCACCAGAAUCAAUCUGAACUUGGAAUCCUUGUCCUUCCUGUUCCUCUCCAAAUGCUUCCUGAUUGCGAUGGCCUUCUUGAUCAGAUGGUAUAGAUCCUCUGGAAUCUCAAGUGCAAACCCUGCCCUCCGAACCAGAAAAAAUCACUAAUAUUGUUAUAAAAAAUUUAAACAAAAUAAUGCGAAUGCAAUAAGAAAAAUGAUAUUGAAUUGGCGGUCUUUGAGAUGAAGUUGGCGCAGAAUGUGGGGAAUUUUUCUCACUAUGGACGGGAACACUAAGCUUUUGGCCUAAUGCACAAUAAUUUGCAAUACUGCAUACGAAAUAAAGCACACCUUCCUCCAUCAAUGCAACACUUGCCAGGCCAUCCCAGAAAACCUUAAAGGGAUUGUCUACACUGCAACUCUCGUACUCUCUUCUUGACAUUUCCAUCACAUUAUGAAGCCCUGAAUCAAAGUCAAAACCUGCAUAACCCCAAAAAAAAGAAAAACAAAAACAAAAAAAACCGCGUAUCAAUGCCAAGAUUAAAGUGUUGUAACCUAAAAUUGAAAUGAUUGAUUCUCGAAUCUCAAUCUGUACAAGUGACAAGUCAUUGGAUUUACAAAGAGUGUCUCCUGUCUGGAAAAAGUGGGAAGAAGACCAGUUAGUAUAGAAGUCAUUGGUUGUGGGGAUGGACCAAAAGGAGUCUCCCACAAUGUAUUCUAGGCCAAAAGACUGAAUCAACAGUGAAGGAAGAAUGAUGAAUGCUGGUGAAAUUAAAAGGCGGGUAGGCAUUUUUCGAUCUUGGAUAAGAAUUAAAUAUACCGUGAGCCUUGAGGAUCCCAAAUUCCCACUCCACCCAGCACCACUUAACCCACUAUUUCUCUCACCAGCAGCCACUCAUAGCAACAUCAUACACCCAAUUCCACUCCCUCCACCACCAUCCAAUUAUUGGGGAAAAAAUUUAGGGCAAAUUAAUUGGGAAAAAAAUUAGGGAAACAAGGUUUGCAAAUUAGUGCAAACCCUGCCCUCCGAACCAGAAAAACUCCUUCCUGAGCCUCUGGACAUUGCCGGAGUCGUCGACCUUGUAGAACUAGAGGAUGGCAGCCUUGGCCUUCUUCUUCUUGGGCUUGGUGUAGGGUUUUCUUCUUGCGCUUCUUGGAGCCACCACGGAGGCAGAGGAAGAGGUGGAUGGUGGACUCCUUCUGGCUCCUUCCAGAUGUUGUAGUCGGCUAGGGCACCACUGUUCUCCAGCUCCUUGCCGACGAUGAUGAGGCGCUACUGGUCCGGCUGCCGCCUCCGCUGCUGCUCGGGAUUUGGGAAACGAAUAAAGGGGGUUGAGAAUAAUGGGGUUGAUUGAGGGAUUGAAUGUGUGAGGAGAACAGAUGCGUCUGGAUGUGGGGACUGGUCGACGGGGGAGUAAGAGUGGUUGCUUUUCUUAGUGUAUGGUACCCGCGCCACUUUUUUUCAUUUUUAGUUUGAACAAAUUUCGGUCACCGGUCAAUCACGACGAUUCAAGUCAAUUUUAGGUUCAAUUUUUAUUUAAAUUUACUAAUGUAUUUCUAAUCACUACUUCUUAAUAUAUUUAUUAAAAAAUUAUAAUGGAUGAAAUUUUUUUGCUAAAUUCAAAGAACUGGUAAAUGUUCUCUUUCUCAAGUUAUAAUAGUUUAUAGUUGUUCUAACUAGAAACUUUCAUUAAUUUUUUCUAGUUAAAAACGUAGAUUUAUGGGUAAUUUCUUUUUUUUUUUUUUGCUUUCACAUAUUUAAUUUAUGUUAAAUACAAAACCUACCAACACUUUUUGAAUUUUACUUACAAACAUUUAUGUAUUUAACAUAAAUUAAAUGAUUCAGAGUGAAAUGCCCAUAAAGAGCAGAAUAUUUGUUCAUGUAAUGGAGGAAACCCACAAAGAGUUGGUACUUUAUGGGCCAUUUCUUUUUUUAAAAAAAUUUAAUUUAUGUUGAAAAGAUAACCUGCCAGUUUUCGUUUUGUAAGAAAUCAGUGUAACACUUUUUGAAUUUUACUUACAAACAUUUAUAAAUUUAUCAUAAAUUAUAUGUUUGAGAGUAAAAUGCCCAUAAAAAGUUGGUACUUUGAAUAGAUAAUGCUCAUUUGCCCAUAAACUACACUCCCUGAAGGCUAUUUUGUUAAUUACUUUGUAGUACUUUGUUAUUCCUUUGCUAAUACUACUUGGCAUGUAGUACAAAGGAUAAAUCUGGCAUAAAUUUCUUAUUCCAUUGAUAAAAAGACCUGCCUGCCUUAUAACUAUUGUAAUGAAAGAUAUAUCUUUAGAGUUUAUAACAAAUUAUUACUUAAGUUUGAGAAAAUUAUAAAAUAUUUAUGCAUAGUUUAUCAAGAUACCAUUCGCAAUUUCCUAAUAAAAAAAUAGGGGCUAAAUUGUAAAAGUUAGGGUGCCAUAAUAGAAAUAAUAAAAUUGGUGUAUUACAUAUGGGGGUUAAAUUGCAAAAGUUAGAGUGCCAUAGUAGAAUUAAUGAAAUUGGUGAAUUACAUAUGGGGCUAAAUUACAAAAGUUAGGGAGUAAUAAUAGAAUUAAAGAAAUCGGUGUACUACAUAUGGGGCUAAAUUGUAAAAGUUAAGGUAUCAUAAUGGAAUUAAUGAAAUUUUUUACAACAUUUGGGGCUAAAUCGCAAAAGUUAGGGUGGCACAGUAGAAUUAAUGAAAGUGACUUAGAAAUAAGUACUUUAAACAGUGACGAUUAAUUCUUGUCACUAAAUCCGAAUCGGUAGAGUGACAGUGACGAUAUUAGAAGUUGUCACUAUAUAUAUCAUUUUAGUGACAACUUUUUCAAGGUCGUCACUGAAGACUUAGUUGCUUUGAGCAAUUAUGACAACUCUCCUUGUCGUCACUAAACAAUCACGUUUUGUGACGACUUUUGUCGUCACUAAAAAAUGUUGUCACUAAUGACCAUAUUUCUUGCAGUGUAGUUUGUGAUGAAAAUAACGGGUCGUCACUAAACAUUUAGUUGUUUUGAUGCAAUUGUGACAACUUUAGGUGUCGCGACUAAAGAAGCUCCUUUUGUGACGACUUAUUGUCAUCACUACAAAAUGUUGUCACUAAUACCUUUUUUUUAGUGAUCAGUGACGACAACAAAAAGUCGUCAGUAAAUAGGCCAAGCAAUAGUGAUGAUGUUCUUAAUGUUGUCACUAUUGUGUGUUCUAAACACUCCCGCGCUCUUGCUAAAUCUUGGCGGGAAUUUACUAGUGACGACUUUUUUAAGUCGUCACAAAUAAGUUGGCUCCCAUUAGAGGUUUGUGACGAGUUAGAAAGUCGUCAAUAAAGGAUCCACUUUUGUGACAACUUUUUUUCGUCACAGAGAAAAGUUGUCACUGAUGACCAAUUUUCUUGUAGUGUGAAGGGAUAAAAUAAACACUCAAAUAUAUGUGGGAGAGAAGAAAAUAAUUAACUCACCAUAUUAUUAAAAUCUCAAAUAAUGAAGAAAGUCACACCACAAUAGAAAACCUAACAAAUUCUUCUAGACUCUCUUAAGAAAAUAGUCUAAACUAAUGCCCUAUUUAUAUCCUACUAGACUUGUUAGGAAAGAAACCACUGGCAUAAGAAAUUAUCAAAUAAAAUACAAAUUCCUAAAUCAUACAACUACUAAGAACUUAACUCCAAUAAAACUAAUAAAUAAAUAAGUAAAUACUUUUAGGUUUGGUUUAGUUUACCGACAUUCUUUGUCAGCCCUAAUUGAUAGUAACAUGAAAAUCAAGUCUAGUAAAUGAAAAAAAAAAAAGAAACUCUAGACCUAGAUGUGGUCUUUCACGAUUCACAUUAACCAUCCAUUCUAGAAAUUUUUGCCAUUUUUCCUUGAGGGAGUCCAAUCUAGGCUUUUGAUGUUUUCUUUUUCGUUUCAGACUUCAGUACCUGCCAAAGUCGUUUUUGACAAAUUUUUUCUUAUUCUUUAUACGGAUGAAAUCGUUUUUUAGUUUUUCUUCUGCAUUGAAUUCUUUUUUAAUUCUAUAUUAUUUAUCCGUCUACUGCUUUUGUUAUUGUUAUUACUAUUAUUAUUAUUCUGUGAGUGUGUGUCUACUCCUUUUCACUUUAGAAAUGAAGUCUUUGUUCUAAAUAUAUAUGUUUUCCUAGGAACUGUUUGCUACAUAAAAACUCUUUUUCCUUUUGUCUCGUUCCUUCCUAAAUUCCUAAGACUACAAGAUUAAGAAACUUUAAAAUUCAUAAAAUUAUUUCACUUAGAUGGAUACAACCUGGGCUUUUGUCUAACAUUUUGAAGAUUACAUGUUAGGAAAUUGGCUUAAUUUCUUUUAGGUAGAAUUCUUGUUCUGUGUGGAAGUAACUAGUUUCUUAAUUGGUUUUAGUUACUUGAAGUAGUAGUCAAGUAAAACCCUAUUUAGCUAAAUGAGUUUAGGAAAUAAUAUUGGUCUCCAAUUGUUAUUUGGCUUUUUGACAGUAAUGUUCUCUAUAAAUAGGUGGGUUGGCAAACUACACAAGCGACACACAAGAGAUACACAAGGGCAUCAUGUAGUCUUAUACAUGGGGUGUGAGAGAGGGUUCUUGGGAGAUGAGAGAUGGUAUACAAGGGUUGGGUUUGGGUUCAAGUUGUAUUCUUGUAUAGGGUUUUCCUCUCAUAAUAAAAAACGUGUUUCUCUCCGUGGAUGUAGACUCAAUGGUGGAGCCGAACCACGUUAAAUAUUGUGUGUCGUUUAUCUUUCAUGCUUGUGACUUGUUCCUCAUUAAAUAGUUGUACACUUGAUGUCUUAAUAGUUGUUUGUUCCGCGUCUGGAUCCUAACAAGUGGUAUCAGAGCCUGGUUGCGAGACUGGGUAAUAGAGCAAAAUUCAUGGUUGGAUCCUAGUUAAUUAUUGAGAUCAAGUGGAUUGGUGGCUGUUCCUAAUUGAACGAUUUAAUGAGUGGUAUCCUUAUUUCAAUGACUUGGCAAAAAGCAUUGAUGGUGAAGGAUAGAAAGUCGAAAAGUAUGGAAAUACUUGACGGUGAAUUUAGGCAGGUGAUUCAAGAGUCAAGGAAAAGGUGGAGUCCAAUGUUGAUUUUGGACGUGACUCGGUGGAGACUUUCUCACACCUCCAACAGUUGAUAUUUCAUCCCGAUAGAUUUUAGAUUUCGGUUAUGUUUUUGGGUGGUGUGGCACGUGUCCUAAAGAAACAAGGAGAUCUAAUUUUCAUUCGUCAGAAGACUCUGACAGAUACGAGUUUUUCGUUUUAGGUGGAGUCUUGGCAACCACACGUGGCGAGACAGUCCUGAGGAUGUGAAGAAAUAUGGUGAAUUUACCACUUGAUUGCCUCAAUAAUUAGGGUUAGAGCUCACAGAAGGGAAUUCCAGAUUGCAAGUGGUGGUGAGAAGAAAUCCUGCAAAGGGAGAUGGUGAAUUGAGGCACCUUCUCAUGAGUCAACUGAAGAUUAGACUCGGGACAACUACGCAUGUUCAUUUGUCGAUUGAAUCAACUUGGUGUCAGAACUGUAUUGAUUCGGGUGUGUAGUUUGGUACCAUAUUAUUUGGUAGUUGAAGGCAAAUGAUUGCUAAAAGAAAUUUUCGCCAAGGUAGAGAUUUGUUAGGAAAUUGGCUUAAUUUCUUUUAAGUAGAAUUCUUAUUUUGUGUGGAAGUAACUAGUUUCCUAAUUGGUUUUAGUUACUUGAAGUAGUAGUCAAGUAAAACCCUAUUUAGCUAAAUGAGUUUAGGAAAUAGUAUUGGUUUUCAAUUGUUAUUUGGCUUUUUGACAGUAAUGUUCUCUAUAAAUAGGUGGGUUGGCAAACUACACAAGCGACACACAAGAGAUACACAAGGGCAUCAUGUAGUCUUAUACAUGGGGUGUGAGAGAGGGUUCUUGGGAGAUGAGAGAUGGUAUACAAGGGUUGGGUUUGGGUUCAAGUUGUAUUCUUGUAUAGGGUUUUCCUCUCAUAAUAAAGAACGCGUUUCUCUCCGUGGAUGUAGGCUCAAUGGUAGAGCCGAACCACGUUAAAUAUUGUGUGUCGUUUAUCUUUCAUGCUUGUGACUUGUUCCUCAUUAAAUAGUUGUGCACUUGAUGUCUCAAUAGUUGUUUGUUCCGCGUCUGGAUCCUAACAUUACAUUACCAGGGUAAUUAUGUUUUAGACUUGUAGUGAUAACUUGAUAACAAUUUUUAAUAAAAAGAUGAAGUCAUAAACAUAAUUCAUUAAUUUAAUGACGAUAUAACUACAAAAUCAAUACCUUAAGAAGUGUGGUUUACUGGUUAGUGUUUUCCAUACAUAGAAAAAUUGUCCUUUAAUGAGUUAUAAAGAGUUAGUCGUUUCCUUUGUAUUGUUUAUUGAUUUCUUGCAAUUCAAAAUUAUGUAAAUAUUAUUAUUGUCCCAUGUUGGGCUUGAACCUGAAAAAAAAUAAAAUAAAAUCAAUCUCACUGAGUAAGAUGAAUAUCCAAUAAAGACUAAGAGAAUUGUCUGGAAUUAAGAACAUCAAAAUUUUUGAGGUAGGAGUAAUAGCACAUAACUUCCCCGAAUCUACUUUUUAGUCAAUAUUAGAGCAGGCAUAACGACACAGUUAUCCGAAAGAAAAGCUUGAAGUUUUGUAGUAGCACAAAAUUUCUGUAAUCUGCUGCUUAACAAUCUCAAGUUUUUGAAUCAAUUUUAAGCCAAGAUCAGAGUAACCACAACAAUGUAACUAUAAGGAAGACUGAACCAAUCCUUAUUCUUGUUUUGAAUGAACUAGAAGAACCUUAAUAUAUUUGUGUCCGAUUGAAAAGUUUUCUCGCGCCUUCACUACAAAUCAUUAGGGUGAUGCAUGAGGAGAGGAAAACAAUGUGAACAUUAAUGUAUGAUUUGUAAUGACGAAUGAUGUAUAUGAUAAAAGAAAGUAUGAAAUAUUUGUGAAAAGUGCUAAUUAGCUCAAAUAUCAAGAUCAGCUUUUGGAGAAGUUUUUCUUGGGGAAAUUUUGGAAAGGGGAACAGGAAAAGUUUAAAUUCAUGAGAAGGGAAUAAGUUUUAGGAAAUUUGUAAAUGGGUUAUUGAUUACUAUUCUUAUAUUAUGCAAAAACUUAGUGCUGCAGGAAAAUCAUGAAUGUGUACAUAUGUUAUAUGUUCACAAUUUCAGUAUACACACGUACGUAAAUAUCGAUUUAAAUAUACACUAUAUAUAUAUAUAUAUAGAAAAGAGAUGUACAUAUAUAUUCAUUAAGCGUACAUUUUUAUUCAUUAAGAUGCAAAUUACUGUUUAAUAAAAUGCACACAGUUAUAGGGUGAAUUGGACAUCUAAUAAUAAAUUUUUUUGAUUUUAUAAUUCACAAAUACUAACCCCUAUCUCAAUUACAAAUUCAGGAAAAAUUACAAUCUUAUGACUUUUGCAUCUUUCAAUUUCCAUUUUUCACAUUUUUCUUUCUUUUCUUUUUUCCACUUAACUUGUAGACCCUCGAAUUUGGAGUGAUCUGUGGAGUAUCAGCACUAUUCCACCAACCAUGCGUUUUCUUUUAUUGGAAUGACGACCAUUGGCAGCUGAAUCUUGAAUUCUGAGGAAGGCAAAACUCGACUUGAAUGCUGAGUCCAAUAUACUCUCUCUGUUGUCAACGUUUUGCAGAUUAGGGUAUUUUUCUUGUUAGCCCGAGUUGAUGGUAACGCGAAAAUAAAGUUGAGCAAAUAAAAAAUAUUUAAAAGAGCAAAACAUCUCUAGACCUAGGUGUAGUUUUUCACAAUUCCCACGCUAAAUGUCUAAUUGGAAAAUGGGCUUCAGUAGUCAAACAGGUUUUAGUGAGGAAGACUUUCUCUGCUUAUACUUUUCUCCUUAGUAAAGUUUCUCUUUCAUAAUUUUUUUUUUUUUUUGCUUUGAGUAUCCAAUAUCCCCACCUUUAGUGAGACUCGUCCUGAUUCGAUUCGAGGACCGGUCGUAGAGUCCAACUCUUAUCCGAGAGUGAAGACUUGGACCAAAAUUUCUCAAAACGUCAUAUGCAAGAGUCGAAUAUGCGACUUCCCGUUGACAUUAGUAACCUGAUUACAAGUGCCUCAAACUCGUAGGUUUCUCUAUUUCAUAAUUAACGAACUCUGAAUGCAAACUUUUGCAUGUCCAAUCUAGACUGCUUUCCUCCCUUCAGGGAAACUCUCUUUUUUUCUUUUCUUUUUUUUCCUUUUUCUUUUGAGGUAGACCUAUGUAGACUUUAAAAGUCGCUGGUCUUUGUACUAAAGUAAUCUUUUUUUGCAUGUUAGCCCCAGUUGAUGGUAGACGAAAGAGCAGUUUCCAUAUCGCAAAAGUUGUCAAAGUUCGACUGCAUUGUCGGAUAGGUGUUGAUAGAAGUAUGGAUGUUGAGCAAGCUUUCAUUGUCAUCUACAGACAUCACAUGGUAAAUAUGUCAAAUUAGCGUUUUGAUACAGGAAUUAAUUAGUCAAGUCGUUCUUUCGUCUAUCACUUUUGGGGUCCAACUAUAGGGGGUUGUAUGUAAUUUUUCUAACUUUUUAUUCUUGUUACACGCCACCUAAGUGGAAAACCUUCUAAUGGUGUAUUGUAAAUUCUCAUGUUAUAUUUUUAGCAUAACAAAUGAUGUACUUCAAUUCUCCAUUUAACAAAGAAUAUGUCUGCUAAAUCGAGAUAAAAGAAGAAAGUUACCAAUUUUGGUCAGAAAACAUUAAAAGUAGAAAGUUUACACACCGCGUCAUGAACAUCACUCCUUAAUGGUCAGUCCACACCAAAAGCCAGUUCAAAGGUAUGAUUGCGCAAUUUUGUACAGUGGGGCAGAAACAUGCCUGCUUAGCAAUUCUGCUCCACAAAAAACAUAUAAUAUUACUAGUAGAAGACAACUCAAUAUCUUAUCUUGCUUUAUUUCCUAGUUCCUACAAUUCUAUAUUCUUUCUUCUCUUUUCUUAGUUCUUUUUCCACACGGAGAUGGCCAACCAAGUUGAAUGUAGACAUGGAAUCUUUUUUUAUUUAUUGAUGGAAGGAAAUUUUUAUCAGACAAUUUCUGUCAGAUUUUGUAGUAUUUACAUUUCCAAGCAAUUUCAUACUGGACUCCAUAUCCAUUGAUACUUAGGACGAAGAUGCAUUUAUUUUAUUGUACAGAAAAAUUCUACUGAGUGAUGGAAAAUGUAGCUGGGGUAAUUCACUAAAAUGUACUUGUAGCUAAUACUCUAACCAUUCUUCACCGGUAAAACCAACAAGCGGAAUGAUCAGAUGACCCUAGAUUUAUUAAACAAGUGCUAAUAUAGUGAGUAUUGGUGUACAAAGUUACAAGUUACAGAUAACUUAGAGUAGUUAGCAAUUACCACGUUGUAACUCUUUGUGGCUUCUAAUUUUCAAAAAAAAAAAAAAUCAACUGCAUAAUUAUGAAGAGCUUGACAUGAUAAAAUUAACUAAUUGGGUUAUUGAUUUAAAAUAUAUUUUAGUUCCACCCUAGCUACAGAGUUGUGCGUUUGUUCUGUUGACUCUUCAGAGCAUUUCGAAAUUUCUGUCAUUGAAGGACGGUCAUUUGGGGUCAUUUGGACGCACCACAGUGCUUUCAAAACUAAUUUCCUCGCAAUUCCAUUUUCUUCUUCUUGGUUGAACUUCCUUGUCCUCCUCUUUGUUGAAAUUUCCUCUUUGUAUUAUUAUAAUAUUUAUGGUUGAUAAUUGUCACAGGAAGAUUAAUCAACUUCUAGAAUACCUUUUCUUGUUGGGCUCCAUUGAUUGCCUAGUCUUUCUGUUGUUAUUGCUGUGUAAGAAAAUUAAAAUAACAUUUGCUCCGUUAGGCCGCUAUGGACCGUAAAAUGAAAAUUUGGUCGUGCAGAAAAAUCCAACAGAAUCUAUAGCAAACGGAUAUAGCUAUUAAUUGGGGAUGUCAACUUGAAAAUGCUUUUCACUUGCUGCUUUAAAGCGAAUUCUUACAGCACAAAUUAUCAUAAAAAGGAGGUUCAAGUGAAUGUUUUUCGACGUAUUUAGAAAAUAUUAGAAAUAGUUUUACAGAAUAUUGGAAGCUACUGUCACAAUUUCCAUUGUGUGGUACUUCAACAAAACUAUUGUAUGAACCCGGACAACAAAAAGUAAAUUAAGGCAAGGGAGACUUUUUGAGUACAAUAUUUUAUAAUUGGUCCCAAACUAAACUAUUGAGAAUUCAAAGAGAGCUAAACUAUCAUCGGAAAUGUUUCACGAAAUCCUGAGACAGGAAAUGCAGGCAAGGGAGACUAAAACUACCAAAAUCUGCACUUGUAACAUAUUAAUGACCGCUGAGUAAUUGAUUAUGUGUGCAGAUACUAAAAUCCGCAGGUCUGUUUUUGAGUGAAGUCUUGUGACUCUGUACUUGGACGGUUUAGUUCAUGAUCAGCAGAAUGUGGUCCUGAAGAGACCAAGACUCAUGGGGUGGACUUCACCAAUUGGCAUGUUACAGUCAAUUACAUUUAUUGAAUCUCUGCUGUUGCAGGAGGAGCCACAUACUUUAAUUAGCUGCUCAACAUGGCCCAGAUUGAUAUAUUAAAAAAAAAAGGCUCAGGAUUAACUAAAGCAAGUUGACUUCGAAAUUAUUUUUUUUUUGAGAGUUGACUUGGAAAUACAUUUUUAAUAAACUUUUAGAAUACCAGCAAGCAUACUUUUCCUGUUGGGCUCCAUUGAUGGUAGUUUUGACGGGUAAAUGCAUUUAAAAUGAAGUCCUUUUAGUCCAUUUAAAACUAAGGAGACUUGGCUACGGAGCUGGAACUUGUUUUAACCAAUGUUUUGAAAACCGGACCGGACCGGCCGGUUCUACCGGUUGAACCGCGAACCGGCCAUGGCACCGGUCCGGUUCAAUGACAUUGUUGACUUUGCUAGAAAAUCGGUCAAAGACCGGUUGAACCGUGAAAACCGCCCGCCGGAUUGAACCGGCGGUUUUCCGGUUUUCAGCUUUCCCUCUCUCUUAUUUUUUUUUUUUUUUUUUAGCUCUUCUUCUUUUUUUUUUUUUUUUUUUUAAGUUUUGCAAAAUGCAGCUAUCAAGAUUCGAACCCAAGACUUUUAUAAUAAAAGACCAAUGUAUUAAUCAUUGUACCAUCACAUCUUAUUAGUUUUUUUUGAUAACUUAUUUAUAUAAAGCAAACACUCAUAUUUCUUUUUUCCAUUUUUCUUACAAAAUCUCAUCCCCUCAUGGCUCUUUCUUUUUAAUUUUCAACUCUCUCUCUCUCUCUCUCUAUCCUCUUUUCUUUUGUCACUCCCUUUUUAAUCAAACCUCUUUAUUUUUAAUUUAUUGAUGUUUUCUUCCAUCUUUUAAUUUUGUUUUUGUCCAUUAAACCACUCACUUUUAUCUUAUUUUUUGUUUCUUAUCAAGUUUACAUUUCUAUUUUCGAUUUUCUUGACUUCUUUCGAACUCCAAAUUUUCUUUUUUAAAUUGCAAUCUCUAAAUCCCAAAACGUAAAUUAAACUUUAAGUUCAUAAUAUCUAAAUUCUCAGAGACAUGAAUUUUGUAUAAUUUCAAAAUAUUAUGAUAUUUUGGGGUUGGAUUUAGAUAUAAUUGAAAUUGAGAUGAAAUUUAUUUGUUUUAACUUAUAAUUUAAAAAAUUUAUUUUUAAAAAUCCAAGUUAUUAAAAAAUAGUAAACUUUGCAUCAUAUAAAAUAUAACAUUAGUCCAUUACAUGUCUUAUUUUGUAUAUAUAUAUAUUUAUAUAAAUUAUUUUUUAAAAAAUUCAUUGAACCGAGGUUGAACCGGUCCGACCGGUUGAACCUCGACCCUUUCACUUCACCGGUUCAAUUAACGGUCCGAUUUUUAAAACAUUGGUUUUAACACGGUUCAUCAAGUUUGUGCUUACCUUGAAACCAACAGUGCAAUUUCUUGAAUCUAUAAGGAUAAAAUUUUAUGAAAUGACCAUGACUGUGAUGUUAAUGAGGGCAUUGUUCUGGUAGUAAAAUAAGUUGAAGAAAAUGCAAAAGGGAAAAACAUAAACAACAGACUUAUGAAACUAAUUGAUUCCGGCAAGGGCAAAUAAAACAUUUUUGCAAAUGUUGAAUUGCCUGUCUCACAAAUGGCCAAUGUGCCAAGUUCAGGGCAAGUAUACCUAGAUUAAAAAUUUUAUGAUAUGACUAUGAGUCAUAAAUACAAACUCCAAACUUUUACAUGAAUCAUAAAUUCGUGGUGUCUUCCCACAAGCUAUAUUUACUAUGCGAAGUUGCAGAAAACUUCUUCCAAGAUGGUACAAUGUAAUUCUGUAUUGUGCCCACUGUCCACUGUCUGUAAAUGGUUUGAGAAAUCAAGCAUAAUCUGUUACUCUAUCCCAUGGUCCCUAAAAGACAAGUCCCAGCUCUGGGGCCAAAUCUUCUUAAUUAGCCCUUGGACUUUUGCUUUGAAGAAGCUGGUUAAUAAAAAUUGACUGUCAUCAACUUUUAUAAAUCAAUUCCAAUUACCAAGCCAAAUCCUCCCCUAACCAGUCGUAGUUAUAAAUUUAAAAGAAAAAAGGUCUAAUCAACAGAAACUGUUGUGAAUGUUACUUCCAAAUGCUAACUCGAUAAUAACUAGAAACUACUGUUGCACUAGUUACUUUGUGAUGUAUUAUAUUAUUCUAGAGGAAUUGAAGGAAGUGCAGCAAAAAAAAAAAAAAAAAACUCAUCAAAGUAGAAUAUGAGCUCAGGUCACUCAAUGGUCGACUGUUGCAAUUCACACAAGACUAGCUCUAUCUUUUUUCUCCUUACCCCACCAUUACAAGUCAUUAUCAAAGCAAUUUCCUGAUAGAUUCAAAACACAACUUAUGCAUAUCUGUUUGGAAUCCUCUGUUUUUGGAAUGUUUUUCAAAAACUAAUUUUUCAAAUGCAAUAAAUUUUUUUAAAAAGUACUCUAAAAGGUAAUCUAAAAAUUAGUUUAAUUUUUUUUAAAAUUUAAAAAAAAAAUCUCAAAAUAUAUUUUCAAAACUCUUCGACUCUUAAAUAUCCCAAAAUAUUUUCUAAAAAUAUUUCAAAUUAUACUCUAAAAACUCUGCUACAGCAAAGUUUUUCAAAAACAUCCCCAAAAAUAACUAAUCCAAACGGAUCCCUCGGGGGUCAAUGGGUUCGACCGGAUCAGGUAUCGACUCGGCCAAGCUCAGGGGUCAGGGGUCAAUAGGUUCAACCGGAUUCGAUCGGGGUUGAACCGGAUGAUGUCAUAAAUAAAAAUUAUUUAAAAAUUAAAAUAUAGUAUAUAAAAUACCUAAAAGUAUGUUAAUAUUAAUAAAGGUAUAUUCAUAUAUAUUUGAUAUUUCAAAUAUAUUUAACAAGAAAAUACAAAGAAAUUAAAACAAUCAAAUAGCAAUUUAUAUUAUUUAAUGAACAUUAACAAGUUUAGAAUAAAAAUUAUGGAUUUGAUUGAAAAAUAACAUCAAAUUAGGACAACAUUUAUAAAGUAUGAAAUAUUUGAGGUAUAUUAAUAAGUUUUAACAAUUUAGGGGUCAAAACAUAAUAUUGAAAAAGUUUAACCUUUUUUUAACAAAUGCUCUGGUUGAACCGGUUUUUUCUAUUUUUUCCAGUCAAACCCAACUUUUGACCAAAUUUGACCAGGUUUUUAGUCUUCCUAGUUUUGAAGAACAACUCGGACCGGACACUUGACCGGUUCCCGUUUUGACUGGUCGAACCGACCGGUCCGAUCUGAGUUCAAAAACAUAGAUGCAAAACACAGUCAGGCGUAGAGUUGACUCCAAACUAUUUAUCUACACAGAGAAAACUGAUCUCUCCAUCAAACCUGAAUUAUAGUGAUACAGUCGUUUUACUACAUUGUUAUUAUCACUUUAUCCCUUUAAUUAUAGUGAUACAAUCGCUUUAAUCCUUAAUAUUAUUUUCUAGACAUUUUACCCCAUUGUUAAUGUAACUAGUAUGUUCAAAAAUUUUUAAAUGUAUUUACCCCUUUUUUGUAUAUAAUUAAAAAUAAAAAAAAAAGUUGGAAUGGUUAUUCUUCCUUUUUUUCACUCUAAGAGUUUCAAAAACAUAAAAAUAAAAGAGUUUUCUUAAAUUUCUUUUUUCACACUUAUUCAUACUAAGAAAGGAAAAAGAAAUAGGAGAGAAAGAGACAAAAAAUUACAUUUUGCGAAGAAAGAAAAUAAGGAAGAAUCUAAUAUUAUCGUAUUACUUCAACGUCAUCGGGAUUAGGAUUGGAAUUGGGUGGUAAACCGAAAAGUAAAGUAAUUUUAAAAUAAUUAAAACAUUGAAUUCUUUCUUAUUUGUAUUUUUUUUAAAAAAAAGAAUUGAGUUCUCUCUCUCUCUCUCUGCCCCCUAUCUUUCUAAUUUUUUUCAAUAUUAAUAAAAUUGCCAAGAAGAAAGAAAUUAAUGUUUUGACUUUUUGUCUUGAUACUAAAAAGGAAAAAAGCCACUCUAAAUUUUUUAUUAUUUUUAUUAUACAAAGAGGAGGCUGCAUUCUUCUAAAGUUUUUUAACUUCCUAAAUUGGUUUAAUAGUGGGAUAAAUUGCCUGAAAAAUAACUUUAGGGGGUAAAUUAAUAAUGAAGCUAUAGUUAUAUGAGGGUAAAAUGAUAACAAUUUUAAGGGAUAAACAAGUCUUUUCACUUGAAUUAACAGACUCCGUUAGGUUUGAUCAUUAGUGUUGAGAGUAAAGUGACUAAAAAGUAACGUUAAGAGAAAAAUUCAAAUAGCACCAAACGUUAAGGGGUAAAGUAAUAAUAGCUCUCAACUGCUAGAUUUAUUAAGUAGUUAUUCAAGAAGUUAGUCUAGAUUGUAAUAAGAUUUUUCAUAAGUGAUAGAGUCUAUUACUGCCUGCCGCAGUUAAGGUUCUUUGCCUAUUAAAUUUGCAAAAAAAAGUCAUUAUGGAGAGAGAUUUGCAAUCAACAAUAAAUGACCGAGAGCUAUGAGCUGAUAUUAGGUGAUAUUAUUUUUCACUUGCCAUAGCACUAGAACUGUUAAUAACGCUGAAUCAAAUUGACUUCGUUAUAUUUGUCCUACCCAAACUAGGGUUGAGCUUAAUGUGAGAUCAAGCAAGGUUCAAUUUUUGGGCCUUUUAUUGAAGCUCAAUUUUAAAGUGGGUUGAUCUUAGGCAAUCCAAGCCCAGCCAUAUCAAGCUUGGCGGGUUAAGAAAUCUAAAAGUUUUCAAAGUGAACCAAGUUUAGGCUACGAAAGGUUCAGCCAUAUCUAGUCUCGGCCCAUUUGGUACAAAUUCGGUUAUUCAGUUAUUUGAAUUUGAUUUUUUUGAUUAUUUCACUUGUAAAACUCUAAACUGUUUUCAAUUUUGAAUUAGGAAUAACCGAAUUCAUUCGGUUACCAAAUUGAAUUCGGAAACGAUCAUGAAAUCAGUCAUAACCGAAUUGGAUAGUAAUUUACACAUAAUUAAAAUGGGACCCACUUGUGUAGUUGUAUACACUUAGUCACUUAUAAUUUACUGAUUAUGUGUUGCAUUACACUUACAUUUAUUCUUAUUUUUUAUAUACUUUAAAUGCUUUAUUCACAAAUAACUUGAUUGCUUUCAAUGGUGAAAGCUAAUACACUAAUUUGUUGACAUGUAAUUCAUAUACAUUCGCUUAGACUGCUUAAUCAUAGUGCUUAGUUGUCUACGUUUAAACAAGAUUAGUAAUUAGAGAACAUUAAUUCACAUAUUAUUUAUGUGAUGUAAUUUUAGAGUAUACCAAUGCUUGUAAAUUAAAGGUUACACAUUUAAAUAUUUAAUAAUCCAAACAUGAAUGAUGAACCAAUAUCUAAAUUCUAAUUAUUAAAUAUGUGUAAUAUUUACUACUAUACUUAUACUUAUUAUCUAAUUCUAGUUAUGUAUAAAAGGAUAAGUAUUAUAGUUAUUAUUAUUAUUGUAUAUUUGUAUUAUUAUAAUCAUAUAACAAAUACUAAAAUAGUAUAUUGUACAUCAUUAUAUAUUUUUAUUAUUAAGGUACAUGAUUGUACUAUAUACUAUCUAUUAUUAAUAGCCUUUACCUAUGUAAUAUAUUAAUACUAAUAGCAUUUACCUAUAUAUUAUACAAUUUUAUAAACUAAUUUGGUAUUCGAAUGUGGUAAUAUGAUACCCUAUUUCAUUUUAUCGAAUUUGAAUUCGAAAUUGGUUAUUACCAAAUUGAAAAUCUCAUUACUUAUUUCAUACUACAUUAGAAUUUGGCGAAUUUGGUAAAUACCGCUUUUGUAUCAAAUUACCGAAUACCCGAUUUCAAAAUACUAAAUUGAAUUUAAAAUCGAGUACGAAUUUGGUACGUACCGAAUUUGCUCACCCCUAAUUGUGUUGAUGUAUACAUUUCUUUAUCUAAAUCCUAUAGUAAUUUGUAUAUCCGUAGGCUGUAAGGUAACACAUAAAGAACAUGUAUCAAUGUAAGAUUAUUUUUACUGAAAUGCUCAAUUUUAUAAUCUAAAUUGCAAGUCCUAUACAAUUCAACUUAAUAUAGCCGGAGGAGGGAGUGUAAGUGAGAGGUUUCGAGUUCACGACAUUCCACUUACACUUAAAAAAAAAUUUAAUCAGGCCAAUUGUAAUAAAAAAUUUUAUUUAAAGCUUUUCAUUUAAUGAUGUAUUUUACAUCUAUUAGUAGAUCAAUUAGAGUAAAUACUAUAUUUUCUCAUUGCAUCAUUGAAAUUAUGAGAGAUUGCUGGUUAAAUCCAUAAAAUUAAUGAAAAUUCAAAUUUAAAGAUUGUAAAGCAUGAGUGAACUUGGGCUAGCCCAAAUUCAGCAUGUUGAUGAAAAGGAAAGACACGUUUCCAAGGAAAAAUCCAAGGAUAAAGAAAAAAGGCCACAGGACUACAUUAAACUAACAAUUUGACCAGUAACAACAACACCACAAAAAAGAUUGAUCUUAUGAAUUUGCAGCAAAUAUUUAGAUAUCCUGCUUGCUGUUUUAGAUAACAUAGUUUAAGAAAAAAAAUGCACUGGAGCUCAAUUGUAGAAAUUAUUAAGUUAAACUAGCUAGUAUAUUAGUCUGCCAUUUUAUCUGGUACUAGGUUGCAUGUUUAAGAGUUUGAAGGACAAAUCCACUGCAAAGUUUUCACUGGAAGUACUAGUACUCCUGAGUCUUCCAUCUGCUCUAUUUCUAAAGACACAGAGCUACACAGGGGUGCCGUUGACUCAUCAGGAGAACUACUAUUGUUGUUUCUUUGCAUGGAUAUGGGUGAAUCCACAGGGUAAAACAAUGGUUCAGGAGGCAACUUUAGAUCACUAGCAUCACCUUCAAGCAUUUCUAAAACUUCUCUCAUCGAAGAACGAUCCUCAGGUGUCAUCUGUAUGCACCACAAGGCAAUCAAAAUUAAUUUUCGUGUAAUUGUCUUUUCUUCUUCAGUUGCAUGAUCUCCGAUUUCCAUUUCCUCCACUUGAUCGAAUUUGUCAUAUAUCCAUGAAGGGAAGUAUAUUUGACUAGAAUGCUCAGCAUGAGCAUCCACAUUUCUCCUCCUCCCAACCAUCUCCAUUAUUAACAUUUCAUAGCUGUAAACGUCUGUCUUGUGUGAGACUCUUCCAAUCUUUUUGUAGAACAACUCCGGGGCCAUGUAACCUAAAGUUCCUCUCGCAGUAGUAAGAGUUGCAAUACUCUUUUGCAUCGGGUAAAGUUUUGCAAGUCCAAAGUCCAAAACUUUUGGAACAAAGUUCUCAUCAAGUAAGACGUUAUGCGGUUUAAUAUCAAAAUGCAGAAUUUGCAUAUCACACCCCUGAUGCAAGUAUUCGAUGCCACGAGCAAUCCUCUUUGCAAUCUCACAAACUUGUUUCCAACUCAAUGGAGAACCAUUCUGACAAUUUGAGAAAAUUAACUUGUCCAGAGAGCCAUUUGGCAUGUAAUCAUACACUAGAGCAUGUUUUGAGGCAGUAACACAAAAUCCCACUAACCGAACCACGUUCACAUGGUGUAUUCUUCCAAUAGCUGCAACUUCAUUGAUGAAUUCUUGGCCAUUAGCUUUUGAUUUGUUCAGCAUCUUGACAGCAACUAUGUGACAACCCCACCUUUUCCUAGGGCGUACUCUAAGGGUUAGCGGACUGCCUGCCCAACUCUCGCUAGGACUACUAAGCCGAAAGCACGAUAACCGAACCAUAUAGUGCUGUAGAGUUUCGUUUAAAUGCUCCAAUGAAAAUGAAAAGGACCGCGGCCACGUCAAAAUCCAGCCAAAACUUGGCCGGAUUCCUAGCCGGAUACAAGGCAAAGAACAAAUCAAUUUUUUUUGACUUCCCCUACUAAUCCAGCCAUGUAUCCGGCCAAGAUCUGGCCGGAUUCCCUUGCAGUGGAUUCCCGCCAAAACUCUUUUCUUCCUCGUUCAAGUUCUGCACUAGCCUGGUUUAACCAACAAAUACUAAAUAAAUUCACAUAACCAUAGAAACUUGCCCUCUCAACUAAUAUAUGAAAUCAUAUGCUUGUAUAAAUAUAUACAUUGGAGUUAUUACAAGUCAAAACAUUACAUUAGAUCAAAAUACAAUUAGGGUUUACUAAUACAGAGGAGUUUAACAAAAGAAUAUCUAUAACUAGCUCAACUCUUAUCUCCAAAAUCAUGGUCUCAAAAUAUUGUACCCUGUAAGGAAAACAAAUGUAACGAGGGUUGAGCUUUCGCCCAAUGAGGUACCAACAAGUCAAGCAAUCAGGAAUCACGGAAGUACACUUGGGAUCAAUUAAAUAGAGACAUCAAAUAGAUAGAAAGGAACAUCACAGUUAAACCAGGAGUAAAGGAUACAGAUGACUCUUAAGUGCCAAUUUCCCCUUUUCAUUACUUGAUCCAAGCCCGUUGACCCUCUGUCAAUGUUUGAAGAUACGACCAUGACUGUAGACUCUACUUUACACCAAUUUCCAUCCACCAAACGUACCCCUUGCCAGGACCGAACACCACACAGGAACAGAGAUGGUAAUACUCGAGUAUACCGAUUAGUCGAAAAGAUAACACUCUACUCGACAAAACAGAAGACCCAGGAUUCGUUACCUAAUCGACCAGGCCCUUGCCGAUCGACUCGAGUAACUAGCCACAGGGUUUGACCUCAGAGGUCCCAGCAGGGUCGUUAGAUACAAACCUCCAAACGACAUCAAAUCAUAUACAAGUAACAGAUUCAAACGUAUACAGUAACCACAACAGACAGACGAGAGAAACGAGUGUGAUAAAGUACACCCCCAUUUCGUUCAGAAUAAACAGAAGUCACAGAUUGCAUGUACAAGUAAACCAGUUAAACAACCAUUCAUUCGAGUGGUACACUCACCAGUCAAGCAAAAUAACUUCACAAGUUUCGUCCUGAAGUACGCCCUUGAUCACCGACACGUCCUAGAACAACCAAGGAAAAACAAUUGAGACUCAAUUACGAGUCGUACCUAUCUAAAUGAAUUACUAAUGCAAAGCAAAAGUGCGGCUUUGGAGUGAAAAGGUAACAGUUGGUUGAUAGGUCAUAAUUUGUUGCUAAAUUUAUUAUAUUUAUAAUUAUUCUUCCCUUGAUUUUAGCCAAAUAUUGUUGUAACUGUCGGAUUCUACUUAUAUUUGGUUAAUGGUGCUAAUUGUAGGAAAAGGAGCAAACUAUGAUUAAAAGUGGCAAUUUUUCAGUUAAUUUGAUGGUGGCACGUUCGGGGCUGGUUUCCAAGUCCAAGUCGAAUUCAAGGCAAUUUUUGAAGGAAGAUUUUGAAGAUUUUAAUCUUCAUUAUUAGUCUUAGUGUUGGAUUAGGGAACUUGGAAUAUUAUCUUAGUAGUUUCCUUUUUCUAUUUAGGAAACAUGCGGUGUUAUUGGUAGUAGAGUCCGAAUAGGAAACAAAAAAGAAGAAGGAAAAGCCGGAUUCCCACGUAAUCAAGAGUUGGCCAGCAACAAUCUCGCGGGAAGGAAUUGAUUAGUUUUCGACUGCAAGGGAAGCAAAAAGGGAGCCGUCACUUGCUUGGGCUAAUUCGGCUUGUUUUCAUUAGUUUUAGAGGAAAACCAAUUGCAACCAGAUUCCAUGGAGUCUGGUGGAAUUUCUUCUAGGAUGCGUAGCUAAAUCUCCAUUUUCUAGUCAAGGGUUAAUUUGAAGAUGCGGUUCCAAAUAUUUGUGAGAUCGAAUUAUUUUACUUAUUUCUUUUAUUCAUUGGUAUUUGUAUGUUUUCUGGUUUAAUUGCUUAUGGUUGUUUCGUUAUUUGAAUGUCAAGGACCCGGUAUUCGAAUUAACCUAAUAAUCUACUGUCAUAUUAAUUGAUUGAAUCCGUAAUUGUUCUAUUGAUUAAUACCAGUGGCGACUAGCGUGAUUGGUUUCAUGUUAAGAAAAUGUAUGAUCUAACUUAAACGAACCCUCGUAGCGUGUUUGUUAGUUAGGGCUGGCCUUUUCUAAUUCCUAUUGCAAUCGAAAAAUUAAAUCCUAUGGUCGUACCUAAGUUUAUUUCUUGGUUAGGGAAAUAGUUAAUGGUCGUACGUUGACUAUCGAAAAAGUAAGGGAAGGCUGGUUGUUUAUCGCGUGUAUGACAACUAUAACCAAUCUAUUAAUGAGUAAUUGAAUUAUCUUUGCAUCAAUGAUCAGUUGAAUGGAACGUUUCUGAAAAGUUGCAAAUUUGACUAGAGUCGUAUUGAUUAUUGAUUAAUUCCUGUUUAUUUCCAUUAGUUGGUUAAUUAGUUAUUUUAUAUUUUUCAAAACCCCCCAUGCUUUGAACUCUAGAAAAAACGAAUUAUCUCUAGUCCCUGUGGAUUCGACCCUGUUCACCGCUAAUUACAAAAUUUGUAUUUUUCUUGAAUAGGUAUUUAUUAUUGCACAGGCUCGACAACCUGUCAUUGGUCCUAAAGACAUGUACAACCCCAAAGCCCUUUAUUUCUACCCAAAAUCAACCCAACUUAAAGGAGCCAAAUGGACUCAAAAUUUGGACAGCACUAUCCCUUAAAUUCCUUUACUUUUCUAUCCUACAAUCAAUACCAAAGUUCAUCCAAAAAGUCUCAAUUGCACAUACAAAUCACAAGCUAUUAAACACACUUAAUUAGGGUCACAACACCCUUCAAUUAUAGCCAAUUGAUUGCUCCAAAACCCAACCACAAUCAAGUCAAAUUUAGAAACCCUAAUCUGAAAUUUAGACACCCAAGCUGGAAAUUUCUUUAUUCAAAGGAAACUAGCACAUAAAACCUCAAUAAUUCAUAUAGCAAAGCCAUCAAAGCAUGGACAACCCUCAAACAUCACAUAUGAGCAGAAUUUUUACCAUAAAACUGAAAUUUACCAUAACAUUACUCCAAACCAUGCAAUUUUCUCAAAAAGUCACCAAAACUACAACCUUAAGCCACUAAUUUGCACAUAAAUGAAAGAAAAGGAAGUUUCUUGCCAAAGUACCUUGUAACCUCAAGAAAGAUGGUAGCUUAACACUUUUCCCUCCAAAAUCACUCCAUCAACACCUCCAAUCCUCCUUAGUAAGCAACUUUUGUGGAGUAGUUUGCAAUAUUGAUGGUUGGAAUUCAAGAUUGUAGCAAGAAUACAAGAUGAAGUUCUCUCCCUUUCUCUCCCUCAAGAAGUUCAGCCAAGCAAGAAGGAAAAAUAAGGAAACUUUGGUUAAUAUUUGAUUUUUAAUAAAGUUAAGUAACCUUGGUCAAAGUCCAUCUUCAAAUAGUUUCAUGACACAUGGCCUCUUGAGGUUUAAUCUCAUCUUCUCACUUCCAAUGGUUACACCAUAUAACUAACCUCUAGCACCUUAUAAAAUAAUAUCCCUUUAUGCAACUUCACCUAGUUAUCAAAAAUUUAUCGCACUUAACGCACUAACGGAUCCCACAUCCAAUAUACACUACUAAUGUCACAUGAACUAACUUAUACUAGAAAAUAAUUUAAAAACUUGACUCCCUUAUAAAAUAUCUAGAAAAUGAAAAUACUAAAGAAAAAUAUAGAAAAUGUAUGCAAGGAAAUAAAAUAAUGACAAAAAAUUUAAAAAAUUUAAAAAAAAUUUCGGAUCCUCACAAACUGCCCCUCCACUACGCAAUUUGCCUUUGCAAACCAAACCAUAGCCUCCUUCACCUAGUUUCUCCUCAAAAUUGUUUGUCAUUGUCUUUAUUUCUUUGUAUGAGUACCUAAUGGGCAUGAGGUUGUUGUUUGCUUGUUGGAAAUCUUCUAUUGUAUCAUGCCUCGAUAAAUGCCUUCGACGACACCGACAAAGGAGGAAAGGAAACAAGAGGAUAAUGCCAAUGGCAUGUUUUGCUGCAAUAAGCAGAACUGAAAUAGAAGAAGAGAAAAACAAGACUUUGCUAUGAUUAACUGACUUCUAGUAUAUUCCAAUAGACAGAGUUUUCAACUAUAAAUCAGAGGCCUUACCCGAAACUAAGCCACCAAUACCAAUGUAAGCUGCUUAUAAAAGAAACUUUAAAGGAUUGUAAUGGAAAUAUUGAAAUAGAAAGAAUCUGAUUGAUUAAGGAAUGGUUUUUCUGUAAAUCAAUGAAGUAAGAUUACUCACUUCCAUUUGGGCCAACGAUAAAUGGGCCGACGAGACCGUAGAUUUCUACCAUUUCGCCUAAGUACAGGUCAAUGUCAAUUGGAUGCUUGAAAAUCAACUUUUAUUAAUUACAGCUGUAUAUUUCACACUCAUGUGCGUACAAGUUUUUUUUUUUUUUUUUUUGAGCAAUUGUGCGUACAAGUUUCAAAUUACUACGACAAUAUAUUCAAAGUAAAAUUUCAAUAAUUCAUAUGUUUGUUGGGAUCAUAACACAAAUAAGCUUUUUCAACCCACCCUUCUGUCUAAAAUCCAACUAUUCUAAUUUGACUAUGUUCCCAUAUAUUUUUGUUUGCUAAAAAGAAUUUGCAGCAACAAAUAAAGACAAAAUAGCAGUAGGUUUCUGGUAUUCUGAUUCCCCAAAAAAAAUAAAAGAAAAAAAGAAAAAGAAAAAAGUCACAUCAUCAGUUUCUGAAUUAAACCGAUGAUCUAGAGGGAAUUGAGGUAGGUGCGGUUGUGUACUAUUAUUGUAUUUCUUGCAUAUUUUGGUGUACAUUUACAUUAUCUUAUUGCACACAUGAAUUCUGUAUUUUAUUAGUUGCUAUUGAUUGUGGACAGCAAAUGUUGGAAGAAGUAUAACAGUUCGUCUAAGUAUAAAGUAAUUACUAUAAGAAAGCAUAUAAUAACUGACAUACUCAUACCAAACAAAAAACAUACAUGCCUCAUGUUCAAUUUAAUGUUUGUAAGUAUUUCAUAUUGAAAUCAAAUAAAACAUGUGAUAACAGUUAUUUCUAUGGACCCAUCAUUCAUUUCUAAUAUAAAUUUCUAUUAUUAUUUCAAGAUACAUCUUCCACAAAAAUGCAGUUUUUGAAUGAUGUAAUGCAGUUUUUGAAUGAUGUACACAUUUUAUCAUACUUUAAACUAUUGCUAGACAAAUCUUAGAUUUUAAUUAUGUUAGUACAAUCUUUUUACUUUUUUUUUUAAAUUCACCCUCUCUUUUAAUUUCUUUCAAUAAUCUUAGCACCAUGUGUGGCACGGGCAUUCACACUAGUAUAAAUCUAAUGGAAGGUAAUAAUUAUUAGUAUGUGUAUAUAUAUGGUAUGUUAGAUAAAUGUUAAAUGUGUUAACGAGUGCUCAUAGGUUAUCCAUUACAAAAACUCAAUUUCAUAUUCUACCCUCUCUUUUUUUUGUAAGUAAAAGGAUUUGAAUCCAAGACCUCUUACUUACAACCGCUCUUACCUUAUUAUUUGAUACAAUCCUUCCACUAUAAAAUCAUCCGGUAUGUCAUUACAUUUCUUUUUUGAUCUCUAAAUCAAAAUACUUCAAAAAUUAUGUUCUAUUGACAAUUUUUUGGCAUUCAAUUUGUAAGAAAUAUUUGAAUGGUGAAAAAUAGGUCAAAAUCAUAACAAAAUUAGUAAUGAUUGAUUAGAUGGCAAAGCUUAGUCAAUUGCAUAUGAAAUUUUAUGUGUAACUAACAAAAGUGAUAAAAUCCAUUCUGAACAGUGUUGAUUUUUAAGAAUAAUUUCUAAAUUCAUUUUAUAGAUGUGUAAUAGAUAGAAAAUUUUCAAGUACAAUGAAGAGGAACCUAGUCUGAACACCUCCAGACCUAAACCAAAAAAAAGAAAAAAAGAAAAAAAAGUCACUUCAUCAGUUUCUAAUUGAAACAAAUGACCUAGAGGGAAUCGGGGCAGAUGCAAUUGUGUAACGUUAUUAUAUUUCUUGCAUAUAUUUACAUUAUAUCAUUUUGCACAUGAAUUUUUCAUUUUAUUAGUUGCUAUUGAUUGUGGAUACCAAAUGUUAUAACGGUUUAUCUACGUAUACUCUAAUUACUGUAAGAAGUAUAAUAACUAGACACAAUCAUAUACCAAACAAAAAAUGUACCUGCCCCACGUUUUUGGAGAAGAUCUUAAUAAAUAGCCUUUAGUAAAUGUAAUACGUAAAAUAAUCAAGUAUGCGCAUUUAUUAGAUGGCAAGGUCCUGCACAAAGUAGUGAUAUUUGAUAAUGCAAUUCAUUACAUGAAUGAUGUAUUGAAUUUUGGCUUGGAUCAAAUAAAAAUUAAGAAAAGAAAUCUACUUGAAUCUGGAAAAUGAAAGGAUCCUACUCAACCAAAUUCACCUAUACUCUCCUUUCAUUUUUGGGGAAGAUGAGUCGCUACCAAAGAGUGGAGUAAGAGUUGCACCAUUAAAAGGAAAUUCUUUUGAUUUACUGAUUGAAGGAAAUUCUUACCAUAAUAUUUCAGUUAGAUUUUGUAGUAUUUGCAUUUCCAAGCAAUUUCAUACUGAGCUCCGUAUCCAUUGAUAUUUAGGACGAAGAUGCAUUUAUUUUAUUGUACCGGAAAAUUCUACUGAGUAUGGAAAAUAUAGCUGGGUAAUUCACUAAAAUGUAGUUGUAACUAAUACUCUAACCAUUCUUUACUAGUAAAACUAGUGCUAAUAUAGUGAGUAUUGGUGUACAAGAAGUUUCUUAUGAUCAACAGAACAUUUGAUCACAAUGAUCACAAUAAAAAGUAUUGUAUCAUUUAGUAGCUGAUUGUUACAGCAAAACUAACUCUUUCCUCUAAUUCUUUAGACCUCUUUCUUCUUUUUCCAUAACAAAGUCACAUGUUACAGAUAACACAGAGGACUUAGCAAUUACCACUUGUAACUAAUUGCGGCUUAUAAUUUUCAAAAGAAAAAAAAAAUCAACUAAUUGUGUCAUUGAUUAAAAAGGUAUUUUAGUUCCACACUUGCAUUGGAAUAAAAAUGCCAACACUACAUUGGCUAAUCCAUGAAUAGUAAUCCCAAUCUCAAUUACAAAUUCAGGAAAAGUUACACCCUUAUGAAUUUUGCAUCUCCCAAUUCCCAUAUUUCACGUUUUUCUUUCUUUUUCUUUUUUUUUUUCCUCUUUUAACUUUUAGAGGCUCGAAAUUCUAUUGACCUGGAAGGCUUUCACAUUUCCACUAUAGAACCGCAGGAUUGAGAUAUAUAUUGUUUAUUGGGAUCCACUCAUAAAAUGAUGGACAUUGAUACCUGAUUAUCGACUUGAAUUCUGAGGGAACCAUUUGUAUGCUGGUUAAUUCUGCACUUGUUGCAGAUUUGAUCUCAUGAUUAAUAAAAUUAUUCUAUUUUAUUAUUAAAAAAAAUUCUGAGGGAAGUAAAUCGGGAUUUGAAUACUGAGUCCUUCAUUGUUCUUAUUAUUUUCCAAUUUACUCCUCCUGUUGUUAAUGUUGCAGAAUAGUCUUUUUCCUUGUGAGCCCCAAUUGAUGGCAACAUGAAAUUCUAGUCGAGUAAAUCUAAAAAAUUUUAAAAGGGAAAAAAUUUCAAAUUUUUUUUUUUAUAAUAGAAAAAAUCUCAAGACUUAGAUGGGGUCUUUCACAAUUCGCACGCUAAAUGUCUUAUUGAAAAAUGGGUCCGCCUAAUAUGAAGUACAAUCAUAUAUAUAUAUAUAUAUAAUAACGUCGUAUCCUAAUACUUAUCCCUUCAUAUUUUUUCUUUUCUACGUGGUUUAACGAGACGACAAGUAGUUUCCUACGUGGCUUGCUCCUUUUUUAUUUGAAUAUAUAUCAAUUCUUAUUUUUCUAUAAAAAUUCUUAAUAUUAUAUGAUUCUUAUUUCCUACCCAAAAAAGGAAUUAGAAAGUAAUGCGAUAUAAAUAAAAGAGAUAUAAAUCUCCUCUAUUAGAUAUAUAGGAAUAAAUGAUAAUAUAUUUUUUUAUAGUGUCCUAUUCUUUUUUUUUUUUAACAGCUUCAUCAUAGAUCCUUUUUAUUUUAAGAUAAUCUACAUAUAUAUAGAACAACAUACAAACAAUCUAGACAUGAAAAUUAAAGAAAGUUAGCCCAAGAAAGUUUUUCAAGACUCACAGUCCCCAUGCAUAAUUGAAGUACAAAGAGAAAUGGCACUUCAUCUGAUUGAAAAUUUCUGGAAAAGUCCAUAAAGAAAAUGGAGUGUCAUCAACCAAAGAAAUAAAAUCCCAUUAUCAUAGCUAAAGAAAGAUGAGAUAAAACAUUAGGUAUUUGUUGAAGUUUUGCACCCCGAAGGCCCCUACCCGACCCUUCGUCCGUAGUGUCCUUCAAUCCAAGAGAAAGGCCUCCGUCCGUAGUAUCCGUAGUGUCCUCCGCCCGUCUUUUUUUUUAAUAUAUUUCUGCUAAUAAUUCCUUAAUCACAAUACAUCUCUGCUCAGAUGGUGGGGAGUAUUUCGUGUGUGGACACACAUCAUAAGAGUCCAUGCACUUAAAGGACUCGAUAUAGUGGAAGUGGUCUUUUAAGGUCGGUAAAAUUUAUCUUGAUAACGCAUUUGUAAAUUUAUUACGUACAGGUUUAUAUACGUGCAUAGUACGGGUCACAUAAGGUCUUAUUUCCUACCCAAAGUUAUUUGGACGAUUAUGGUUUUUUUCCUAUAAGAAUUCUUAAUAUUAUAGGAUUCUUAUUUUCUACCCAAAUUUACGUGCUUUAAGCAACUUAAAUUAAGAUAAACAUACUUUUAAUGUUCUUAUCAAUAUCUCUUUGUAACCUUAUCAAUUCUUAUUUCCUAUGCCUACACUACAUAUAGCCUCUAAUAUAUUGAUUUCAAGCAUCAAAUUCAUGGUUAGGUAUUUUCAGGGCAAGCGGUUGGCAUAUUAAAGCAUCGAUUUUGGGUUUCCAUUCCUCUUGAUUUUCAGGUACGUCUUCUUUCAAUAUAUAUAUAUAUUUUAGAAAGGCAUGUUGAUCUUCAAUUGUAAGAGCUUAGUAACAUAUCUUGAAUUUUGUUUUUUUGUUUUAUUUUCUAUUUGUUUUGUAUGAAGACAUGGAUUUAAACAAGUACUUUCAUCGUUAUUUUUGUAGGAUUUUUUCUAACAUGUUUGUUAAUUGAUUUUUGUUAUCAUAUACUACGAUGUUUGUUAAUUUGUCUUCAGGAAAAACAACCAAAAACAAAAGGCACUGGAAAGUUAUGCGAUAUAAAUACAAGAGACAUAAAUAUCUCUAUUAGAUAUAUCUGCAAAUUCAUUAGUUAAUUAAAAGACUAUGGCCGUUUACUUAAUUAUAAUCUUUAUGUAUUGUUAUACACAACCUUGAAUGCGAUAAAUCAUUUUUUUUUUUAUACUUAGUUAUCCUACUUUGCUAUCAUGCAAUGAUAAUGAAAAAUCAAUAAAUGCUGAUUUGCAUGGACAAAUCGAGGAGAAUGUUCAAACAGAAAAAAAUAAAAACAAGUUUCUAAAGAGUAGAAUGUUAUUUGAUAUUAUUUACUGCACUUUUUAUUUAUUUUUAAGUUUUUGAAUAUUAUGGUAUUGUUGAAUGUUAUUUUUUCUAUUUUUGAAUUAUUAUUCACUGAAUUAGAUGUUCAAAUUUAUAUUAUAAGAAUACUUUACAUUACAAUGCGCACAUAGUAAUAUACUUAAGACAAGUUAUAAUAGAUUAUACAUUAAAUAUGUAUUUAUAUCGACAUUUUUAUAAAUUGACUAAAUAGUUUAUUAUUUUUCGACGAUUCCCGUUCAACGAACGGAUACAAAACUAGUUAGUAAUAAUAUUGGCAUAGUAAAGAAGAAUUUCUCUAUAACAAUUAACGAACUCUGAAUACACACUCUUCCCCGAAUUCUUACACGCCCAAUCUAGACUGCUUUCCUUCCUUCAGGGAAACUCUUGAUCCUUUUUUUACUUUUUAUCUUUUGAGGUAGUCCCAUGUAGACUUUAAAAGUCGAUGGUCUUUGUACGAAAUUCAUUAGUUCUUUUUUAAUUUUUUUAAUAUAAGUGGAAGGUUUCGAAUCUGAAACCUCUCAUUUCGAGAACUUAUAAUUAAACUCUCUUAAUAUAAGUGGAAGGUUUCGAAUCUAAAACCUCUCAUUUCGAGAACUUAUACUUAAACUCCCUCAUUCCGUACAAUCCAACCCAUCCUUCUCCCUAAAUUCACCGUUGUUUUGCUUGUUAGCCUCAAUUGAUGGUAAGACCAAACUUUACUAGAGCAGUUUGCUACCUAAAAACUUUUUUUUUUUUUUCCCUCCUUCCCUCUUAAUUGCUCAGAAGUAGAGGUCGUGAUGAUAACGUAUUAUAAAACUAAUACCAAUCUACAAUUGGUUGGUAAUACUUUAUGUACUAAUUGAAUAUUGAACUAUAAACUAGUAGAACAAUAUAAAGAAAUUGUAAACUAAUAGAACAAUAUAGAGAAAUUGUAAAAGUAAACAAGAAAUAAGAACUAUUCUUCCAUUUACUCAAAUAAACUUGAAUUCUCUGUCACUUUGAUUGAUAUAUAUGUAUGAAACGGAGAAGGGGCACUUUGCUUGGCAAAGAGAAUAGGACCUCAGGUCUCAAAUAAGCCAAAAUCAAUUUAUUGAAUAUCUCUUUCAGAACUAGGCCUUAUUACCAGAGUUACAUGCUGUGACAUAAAAUACAGGAAAAUAUGUAGCAAAUCAAAUUCAAGAAAAUAAAUUGAUCUGCCAACCUGGAUGUGGCCUUUCACUAACCAUAUCAAAGUACCAAACUUGAUUUUUUUUUUUCGUAUUUUCCUCCUUAAGGGAGUCUAGUCUAGACUUUUGAUUAUUUCUUUUAAGCAGUCCAACAUAGAUUUACAAUUGAAGACUUUAACCCCAAAAAAAGAAAAAGAAAACAAAAGGAAAAUCAGUCAGGUAAUGAGUCUAUUAAUACAUACCUUAUAUUGUAAAUUUAGAGCCACAUCAUUAUGGUGAUGUAUGAUGAACAAAAAAUAGUUAUAAGAAAUGAUCUUUAUUUUAAUGAAAAACACAAACAAUAUUAUGAUAACUAGUGUAUUCGAUAAAAGAAUAAAAAGAUAUCUGAUGAGAAGCUAAUUAGUUCACUUGAAAAUAUCAAGAUCAGGUUUAGAAAAGUGGUUCACUCUUUCUUUUCCCCUUCAUAAUUUUUGAGGCCCAAUUACAAACUUAUGACCUUUGAAUCAAACCGGUUCUUAUUGUAAUUAAGACGUCAGCUAUUGAAUGCCUAGGAACCUUUUGCUUUUGCAGGUGGAUGGAUGCCAGUUUAACGUACGUCGUCGGACAAAUUUUCUGGACAUAACGGAAACGGUCGUCCUGUUAUUGGAUGAAUUUAUGAUUUUUAUUGCACACAGGGAAAAAAUGUAGGAGUACCUGUUAUUUUCUUAAGGAGUAGUUAACUUUAAUUAAAAAUCACAGAUAAAAUAAGAAUCGUCUCGUAAUCGUCCGGAAGUGUUUAAUUUUUGUGUUGUUAUCAGUGACACAAGUGAGAGUAGGGUCCUUAAUACGCGGGCCACUUUUGGGGUGCUGCUCCCACCAAUUUUGACUAUGAAGCAUUCAGCAUAAUUACUAAUUUACUAAAUCAAUAAAAUGCGAGAAUGACAUGAGCAGAGAUCCACCUCGCUGAUGGAAAUACUGUUUUUUCAUUCGUGAUUUUUUUAUUGCAAAUAUUCAAAAUUGUUCACACCAUUCUAGAUUCGCGAUUAUUUACAGAUAUUCAAAAUUACUGUUACUUGCAAAUACUUAGUUUAUUUAUCAUUGCGUGGCUUUCAAACAUUAAUGUCCCAUGAAAAUUAGACCUAUUGCCCGCAAGAGUUGUAUUGUUGACAAUAUACACGAAUUAGUCACAAGCAAUGGACUGCACAUCCAAUUUUUUUUUGUUUGGUCAAAGUCUCUUGCUGAAAAUAAAAUUAAAAAAAGAAUUGUAGAAAUAUACUUACCUCAUGGAAAUAUCAAAGGUCCCUCGCACAUAAAAAAGUCCAAUUAAAUGCCAAAUCGGGUCACUUGGGAAUUGGGGCCACUUAUUGGAGAAACGUUUUUGGCCGUUGUUGACUAUUUCUUCCUUUGCUUCUUCCUGAACCCUUCCUCGUCGACAGGGGACACGACAGUGGUGAUUGUCCCCCCUAACUUUUAAGAAAUCAUAUUUGUUACCUACAACAUUUUAUAGAAUUUUGCUUUAAUUUCUAAUUUUUUUCCCCGUCAAUUUUUUUUUUUUAAAACUCUAGAGUCCCGCCUCCACCUGUAGAAAUUUUUUUUAAUUUCUAAUUUGUAGUAUUAAAAAUUAAAACUUUUACUUCUUAAUUAACAUUUUAAGUAUAAAAAGCUACACAUUUUAUACCCUAAAACUACUUAAACUUGACGUAUUUAUAACUAAAUAUGCCCCCCCCCCCGGCUUUCUCCCGCGAAAUCCUGACUCUGGCACUACUUAUCAUCAACAUUUUCUUUGGAAAGAGGAUCAGCCAUUGAUUAGUUUAACUUUCAUCCGUUUUUGCGCUUGCUUCCCAGAAUCGUAGUUUAGCCAUUGCAGUUUUAGCCAUUACACAUGAGUCCCUUGUUUGUUUGUAGAAACUCUUCUACUGCAUCUACAAAUGCCUUCAGUUACAUCUAAAGAUUAGACAAGCAAAUAAAAGUACACCACCAAUGGCGCUUCUUGCUGUAAUGAUUGCUUCAAAGAGUCAGAUCGAUACAACCCCCCAUAUGAGUUCAAAGCCAUUUGCCAGCGAAUUAUGGAUUUCUUGAAAUGAGAUUUCCGCCGUUAUGCUGGAGAGACACAGCAGCUCUAAGGGAACUAUUUUAAGAAUGGUAUACUGUUUUAUUUUUUGGGAUACAAUAAAUCUACUUCUACUCUAUAAUAUAAUAUGAGGAGGAGAGUGACACAACCGAUUCAAAUGAAUGGCUACGCAGCAGCCGUUGGCGAAACAUUUUAGAUGCGUAUGAGAAGAUUGUAAAAUGAUUUCGAUUGAUGCGUAGUAGUAACAUUUUGAAGGCCAAAUUGUCAUUAACCAGGCAGUUGAUUUAGCCUCCAGCUAAGGAUUACAAAUAAUUACUGCUCAUUUAUUUAAGGUACAGUUAAAACCUUAUAAUUUAUCACUCGUCAUUAAUUAUGUACGUACGUGCUGACGUGGUUCCGAAUGAAUGCAAACAUAAUAACGCAUGUUGAAAAUGCAAGUUGACCACGUCACGGACUAAAAUAUUCAAGGUUCCGACUCCAAGGUAACAAUUUCUGUUUUUGAACAACCCUAGCCUGGAUAAAGAUCAAUAAUGAGUCUUUUUCUUUUAAUCAUCUUUUUUUUCUUUUUAAUGAUCAAUGGACAGCAAUUAUAUGUUAUUCAUAUAUUCUUAUUUUAAAAAAAAUUAUCGUAUUACUCCAAUUGCUACUAUGAUUUCCUUAUACUCUUAGAGUAUGAGACUUUGAUCAAAUAGAGCCGAUUAGAAAAUCGAUCUUAGCGUUGCUCUCUCUUAAUCAAUAGGUGGAUUAAUAAGUUCGAAGUCUAUUACCUAAUAAGUCUAGCCAAAUCAUGAUUCAAAAUUGUUCACACCAGUCUAGAUUCGGGAUUAUUUACAGAUAUUCAAAAUUACUAUUACUUGCAAAUACUUAGUUUUAGUUAUCAUUGCGUGGCUUACAAACAUUAAUGUCCCAUGAAAAUUAGACCUAUAGCCUGCUGGAGUUGUAUUCUUGACAAUAUACACGAAUUAGUCACAAGAAUGGAUUGCAGAUCCUUUUUUUUUUUUUGGUCAAAGUCUCUUGCUGGAAAUAAAAUUAAAAAAAGAAUUGUAGAAAUAUAGUUACCUCAGGGAAAUGUCAAAGGUCCCUCGCACAUAAAAAAGUCCAAUUAAAUGCCAAAUCGGGUCACUUGGGAGUUGGGGCCACUUAUUGGAGAAACGUUUUUCGCCGUUGUUGACUAUUUCUUCCUUUGCUUCUUCCUGAACCCUUCCUCGUCGACAGGGGACACGACAGUGGUGAUUGUCCCCCCUAACUUUUAAAAAAUCAUAUUUGUUACCUACAACAUUUUAUAGAAUUUUGCUUUAAUUUCUAAUUUUCCUCCUUCAAAAUUUUUUUUUAAACUCUAGAGUCCCGCCUCCACCUGUUCCUUUUCUUUAAACUUAUCUUUGAUUGAUUGUUAUGGUACAUGGUAUUAUUAAUUUGUCGAGAAGAAUUAUUACUCUUUAAUCAUGUGUCUCAUCGUACUAUAAGAUAUAUCAUUUUUAUACUUUCACAUGUAACACUAUUUUAUAGGUGUAAUCUCUAAAUUUUUUUUUCUUCUUGCCCACAAAAGUACUCCAUUUAUUUGUUCUAUCAAUUUAUGUUUACAACAGUCAUUUGUAGUAUUAAAAAUUAAAACUUUUACUUCUUAAUUAACAUUUUUAAGUAUAAAAAGCUACACAUUUUAUACCCUAAAACUACUUACACUUGAUGUAUUUAUAACUAAAUAUGCCCCCCCCCCCCUUUUUCUCCUGCGAAAUCCUGACUCUGCCACUACUCAUCAUCAACAUUUUCUUUGGCUUCACAAAGAACUACUCAUCAUUUUCUUGAAACCAAAGGCUGUAAUAACAAGGUCCCACAAUAAGGAUGGGUAGUUAAAAUCACUUUUUAGUGCGGACGAAUUCUGGGGAUACAACUAUGGAGAUUGAGAAGACAAUGACUAUAACUGGUACUUGAAAAGGAGUUCUCACACUAUAUAAAUUAUCACAAAAAGGAGGUCCAUUGAAAGCUUUUGGACGAAUUGCUCAUAUUUCGAAAAUAUCAGAAUUAAUUUUUAUUAAUAUUGGAAGCUACUAGCCAUGAUAUAUCACAAUUUAAGUUGUUAGAUUAGCAUGACAACAAUCCUUUCUUCAUCAGCGAAUCCAAUUAGCCAAGUCAAUUACUACUACUUGAAAAUAUUUUUGUACCAGAUUAUUUAUGACACCAUCCGAGUUGUUGAAACAUUAAUUCGUGUGUGUGUGUGUGUGUGUGUGUGUGUGUGUGUGUGAAGGAAAAACAAAAGGAGGGAGUGAGAGUUAGGAAUAGUCCUUCAGUUCCAAUUGUGGGUUAUGUGAGCGCUAUUGGAGGCAAAAAUAUCAUUCACAGUGAGGCCUUCAGAGCAUUAUCUUAGCUUUUUUUCUGAUGUUAAGAGUUUGGAAAGAGGAUCAGCCAUUGAUUAGUUUAACUUUCAUCCGUUUUUGCGCUUGCUUCCCAGAAUCGUAGUUUAGCCAUUGCAGUUUUAGCCAUUACGCAUGAGUCCCUUGUUUGUUUGUAGAAACUCUUCUACUGCAUCUACAAAUGCCUUCAGUUCCAUCUAAAGAUUAGAAAAGCAAAUAAAAGUACACCACCAAUGGCGCUUCUUGCUGUAAUGAUUGCUUCAAAGAGUCAGAUCGAUACAACCCCCCAUAUGAGUUCAAAGCCAUCUGCCAGCGAAUUAUGGAUUUCUUGAAACGAGAUGUCCGCCGUUAUGCUGGGGAGACACAGCAGCUCUAAGGGAACUAUUUUAAGAAUGGUGCAGGAAUCAUCAAUAUCUGAUGCCACUGGAUUUUUACCAACAAUAAUAGCUUAGCUGUAACUAAAUCCCACUUGAGAAGAUAAGUUGUGAUUGCCGGAAUACUGGUUUUGAGUGAUAUCACAGGAAGCGGUCUGAACAUAGACAGGAGAUUUGGAAUUCACAGGACUUUUACAGCUCAAAAAGAUCAAUCCAUUUGGUGUCCUGAUUAAAAAAAAGAAAGGAUGACACUUCAUAUUGAAAGGCACUUGAAUUCUAGCAAGAGGAUGGGGUGUGAAAAUGAUCACAGGUUCUUUUUAUUGAAGUCCAGUGAUGAUCAGCAGGUAUGUAGUAAUUGUUAAUGACAAAAUCAUCCAUACUGAACCCCGACAACAAGAUGUAAAUUAAGACAAGGGAGACUAAAACUACCAAAAUCUGCAAUCGCAGCAUAUUAAUAACCGAGUAAUUGACUAAGUAUAUAUGUAGAUACCAAAAUCUGCACUUCUGUUUUUGAUUGAAGUCUCGUGACUUUGUAUUUGGAUGGUUUAGUUCAUGAUCAGAAGAAGAGUCGAAGACUCGUGGGGGUGGACUUGACUAGUUGGCCUUGUAUAGUCAAUUAUAUUUAGGGUACGUUUGGUUCUACAGAAUUAGAAUUGAAUUAGAAUUGAAAUUCUAUAGAAUUGGAAUUCUAUGAAUUGGAAUUCUAUGAAUUGGAAUUCCAAGUCAUUCCAAUUCUUUCGUUUGGGAAAUGCAUAGAAUUGUUACAGAAUUUAUUUGGAAUUCCAAAUCCUUUGUUUGCAUGAGAGAAGAAUUCAUUAGGAAUUAGAAUUGUUUUCAUGAAACAUUUGCUUGCAUAAAAUUUUUCUUUUUUUUUCUUUUUUCUAUAUAAUAAUUUCUUUUUUUUUCUUACUUUUAGCUAAUUUAAAACCAAGCGCUUCACUGGAGAAGCAAAACUGUUGCUAAUUUAAAACCAAGCGCUUCACUGGGUUCUAAAAGUCUUGAUUCUUGCAUCAGCUUAUACAUAUAUUCUUUAGGCACCGGUUGACAGAUGACCAAACGAUUAUACAAAAAGGAAUUUUGUUUCUGUCACAUGAAUAUAAUAUUAGUUUUUAAUUAUAGAUUAUCCCGUCUGAUAUUUGAAAGAGCAAGAAGAAAAAAGAGCUAACGAGUAUCUGUACUUCUGUGAAGAAAAAAGAUUCUGAAUCAAGACUUUUAGAAUAUCCCGUUUAGUUGUGGAAUUGGAAUUGGAAUUCUUUGGUCCAGCCAAAGAAUUGGAACCAUGGAAUUCGAUCGAUUUGGAAUUAUAAUUCAAUUCUAAUUCUAUAGGAAAGAUAGUACCCAAACACAAGAAUUGAAAUUGGGGCUCCAAUUCCAAUUCUAUACUCCAAUUCAAUGGGGAACCAAACGUACCUUUGAUUUUAUAACCGCCCUUUGAUUUUACAUAAUGCUAGAUGACCUCCUAAGGUUUCAAAAUAGCUACAUAACCCCCUAUAGUUUUAUGUAAAUUAAAAAUGGACAAAAUGCAUAAUCAGUUAUGAAGUAACCCCCUUAUGAUUUGUAUAAAUAUCCAUUUUAUCUCUCUAUAAUUUUUACAUUUAUCCACGUGAUCUCCUUAUACUUUUAUACAAGAUAGUUAAGCCAUCAAUUGAUUUAAUAUUUAAGUAAAUGUACUAUUUGUAUUUCAAUUAAAGACGUUGCAUAAGUUAUUUUUCGUCAAAUUUCCACUUUAUAUAAAACUAUAGGAAGGUGAAGUGGACAUUUUGAAACGUCAAGAGGAUUAUGUAAUAAUAGAUGAAAUCACAAGGGGUUAAAUGUAAUUUACCCAUAUGUUCAUCGAAUCUCUGCCGUUGCAAGAGGAGCCACAUACUUCAAUUAGCUGCUCAACAUGGCCCAGCUCUAGGCUGCUUGAUAAAUGGCGAAGGAUCAACUAAAGAGCUUUGGCCACAGAGCAGGAACUUGUUUCAACACGGUUCAUCAUAUUUGUGCUUACCUUGAAACCAAUGGUGCAAUUUCUUGGAUCUAAUUUGGCCGUUUGACCAUUGGAGCAAUUUCUUGGAUCAUUGAAAAUCAAAUUAUAUGACGUGACAAUGGCUAUGAUGUUAAUAAGGGCAUUGUUCUAGUAGUAAAAUAUGUUGAAGAAAUUAUGGAUCUAAGGCAUUCAAGGCUCGAGUCUCCUUAAUUAGUCCUUUGACUUUAGCUUUGAAGAAGCUGGUUAAAGUAUUAUAAUCAAUUUUUGUAAAUCAAUUCCAAUUACCAAGUCAAAGGCUCCCCUAAUCAGUCAUAGUUAUAAAUUCAAAAAAAAAUUGGGGGGGGGGGGGUUUCUAAUCAACAGAAACUGUUGUGUACGUUUACUUCCAAAUGCUAGCUUGAUAACAACCAGAAACUACCGUUUCACUGUUUACUUUGUGACGUAUUCUAUUAUUCUAGAGGAGAUGAAGUAAGUGCAUAAAAAAAAUUCGUCAAAGUAGAACACGAGCUCAGGUCAGUCAAUGGUCGACUGUUGCAAUUUCUCGCAGUACUGCCUUUCUGCUUUUUUCUCCAUACCCCACCAUUAGGUGUCAUUCUCAAAGCAAUUCCUGAUAGAUUCAAAACACAACUCAUGCUACAGCUCAGGCAGGCGUGGACUUGGCUCCAAACCAUUUAUCUAUACAGAGAAAACUGCUCUUCCAUCAAACCUGAAAACUCAUUAGAAGAACAAGAAAAAAAAAUUGAAAUCUGGAGAUUGAUCAUAGUGGCCAUUAGCUUUUCUUCUCUACUAAGCCCUGCAAUCUUUGCGGACAACGUCUCAAUUGCACCUGCAGCAGCACCACCGGACGAUGUCUGUGCAGCGAAAAAUGUAGCCCCGAAGGUCCGGCCGUAAGAUUCCCAUUUCUGGUAAGAGGAAAGCAGCGUGAAGAGUGUGGCUACAAUAAUCCAGGGUACAAUCUUUAUUGUGACAACGGAAACCAUACCUUACUUGAGUUUCCCCCUUCAUCAAUGAAAUUUGUGGUCAAGAGCAUCAACUAUAAGACUCAAAUGAUCCAAGUCCGGUUUGCUGAAGGUUGCCAACUCAAGUAUCUGAGAAAUCUUAAUUUGUCUUCUACCACGUUUCAGUUUUCUGCACUAGACUACCUGGCAGUUCGAUAUACUUUGUUCAAUUGCUCAUUGGCAAAUGGUGAUAGUUGGUCUUCUGAUGAUGGAUAUGACUUUCGUUGUCUAGACACCCCUGGAUACAAGGUGCGUGCAACGCCUUCUGAUACUGAAAUUCGGUUUUUGUCUGUGGAAUUAUGCACAAAGAUGUAUGACACAAAUUUGGUUUCGCGGGAACUAUUUCGAAUGCAAGACUCAAUGAACCUGGCCUGGUCCUUGUCUGCAUGCCAAAAAUGUGAGGUACAAGAAGGUGGAAUUUGCAGAUGGAAGAAUGGAACUAACAAUAAAUUUGACUGCUUUGGAGGAAAGAAGCUCGACUCUGGUAUGUACCAUUUACUGCUCCUUCCUGGUCCAUUUCUUGAUGUUUCUCAUCGAAGUACUUCAGAUAGACUAAUUGACCAAAGAUUCAGACCACAAACAGAAUGAGAGAUAUUUGAUUGUCUAGAAGAAGUUUUUAGAUGAAUCUACACCAGAAAUUUGAACGUUUACAUCUUGAAAAGGAUAAAUUUAAAGAAAGGUCUCAUGUAGCUAUACCCUUCCCUGUCUUCUGAACUCACCCAAUUUGGUGACUGUGUAUUGAUAAAAUGGACCAAGAGCACGAACAAUACUAGGAACAUAUGUAAGAGGCCACAAUAAAAAGAAAGAAAGAAAGAAGAGAGAGAAAUUCACAUUUCUAAUUAACCUUGACUGUUGUACAUAGAUGUCUUUUUGACAUUUGCUAGUAUGUUACAGGUGUAUCGAAGAAAUUACUCAUUUCAGGUGAGAACCUUGCUGUACAUUUUUCUCAGUUAAUUUUUCUAGUAUAGAGAAAAGAAAAAGUAAAAUUGACAUGUGCCUUUAACAACAGGUCCAAUCGUGGGGUGUUUCUUUCUCAUAUUAGCAACAAGCGCCCUUUUUUUUGGUUGCCCGCCCGGUAUCCGAAGCAUUGCCCCGACUAAUCCGGACCCGACCCGCGUCGCGCACCUGGCUAUGGUGGGUGAGUCUCCCAACAGGGGUGUCUGCGUACACUAGGACUCGAACACGAGACCUACUUAAGCGAAUCCGAGCCGCUUACCACUCGGACCAACCCCUGUUGGUAACAAGCGCCCUUUACAAUGUCUAUAAAACAAAGAAAAUGGACAGAGAAAAUCAGAAGAGAAUCAGAACAUUUUUGGAGGACUACGCUGCCAUGAAGCCUACUCGAUAUUCCUAUGCUGAUAUCAAGAGGAUCACAAAUGACUUCAAGGAUAAAUUAGGUGAAGGAGGCUAUGGAAAUGUGUUCAAAGGCAAAAUUUCAAAUGAAAUAUUUGUUGCCGUGAAGCUGCUGCACAAUUCCACAGGAAAUGGGGAAGAGUUUAUCAAUGAAGUAGGAACAAUGGGCACAAUCCACCAUGUAAAUGUUGUCCGCUUGGUAGGCUUCUGUGCUGAUGGAUUCAAAAGAGCUCUUGUUUAUGAAUUUUUGCCAAACGGUUCUCUGGACAAGUUCAUAUUUCCGGAAGGUCAAGAGCAUCAUAACCUUGGAAUGGAGAAGUUACAAAACAUUGCAUUUGGCAUUGCGCGAGGUAUCGAGUACCUUCACCAAGGAUGCGAACAGAGGAUCCUCCAUUUCGAUAUCAAACCACAUAACAUCUUGCUUGACAACAGCUUUAACCCAAAAAUAUCUGAUUUUGGGUUAGCCAAGCUCUGUGAAAAGGGAAGAAGUGCAGUUUCAAUGACUGCUGCAAGAGGAACCAUGGGCUACAUUGCCCCUGAAGUCUUCUCAAGGCACUUUGGCAAUGUGUCUUACAAAUCAGAUAUCUAUAGCUUUGGGAUGCUGUUGCUUGAAAUGGUUGGAAGACGGAAGAACAUUGAUGCCAAUGUGCAAAAUGUUAGCCAAGUGUACUAUCCCGAAUGGGUUUACGGACGGUUGGUUCAAGGGGAAGACUUGAGAAUCCAAGUUGAGGAAGAUGGAGAGGAGAUCAUUGCCAAAAAAUUGGCAAUUGUGGGACUUUGGUGCAUUCAGUGGAACCCUGUGGAUCGUCCUUCAAUAACCUUCGUUCUUCAGAUGCUUGAAGGAAAUGGAGAAAGUCCGAGUCUUCCACCAAGUCCUUUCACCUCAACAGAUCCCAUGAAUCCAAGUAAUCCAAGCUUGCAUGGAAGACAUUUGGCUUCAGGAUUGGCAGUGAUCUCUGAGUUAGAAUAAGAUGCUAGAGGUUAAUUUCAACUGAAAGUCUUGUGUAUUAAUAGCUUCCAAUGUUCUGCAAAUACAAGAAACAAAAAGAAGAAAUUGAUGAAUAAAGUAGAGGUAAUCAAAGGAUAUUUUUUGCAUAUGUACUGUAUUAUGGCUGAUAAUUAAACUAUUAUUGACUCUGAUGGUUAAACUACCCCUACUUAUGUGGGAUAAUAGUUGUUACUAAAUUCCAUGAUGCCUCUUAAACAGUUGAAUUCUUCAACACAAGGCAAAACCAUGGCUUAAAACUCUGCCACUACUUAUCAUCAACAUUUUCUUUGGAAAGAGGAUCAGCCAUUGAUUAGUUUAACUUUCAUCCGUUUUUGCGCUUGCUUCCCAGAAUCGUAGUUUAGCCAUUACGCAUGAGUCCCUUGUUUGUUCGUAGAAACUCUUCUACUGCAUCUACAAAUGCCUUCAGUUACAUCUAAAGAUUAGAAAAGCAAAUAAAAGUACACCACCAAUGGCGCUUCUUGCUGUAAUGAUUGCUUCAAAGAGUCAGAUCCAUACAACCCCCCAUAUGAGUUCAAAGCCAUUUGCCAGCGACUUAUGGAUUUCUUGAAAUGAGAUGUCGGCUUUUAUGCUGGGGAGGUUAGAAUAAGAUGCUAGAGGUUAAUUUCAACUGAAAGUCUUGUGUAUUAAUAGCUUCCAAUGUUCUGCAAAUACAAGAAACAAAAAGAAGAAAUUGAUGAAUAAAGUAGAGGUAAUCAAAGGAUAUUUUUUGCAUAUGUACUGUAUUAUGGCUGAUGGUUGAACUAUUAUUGACUCUGAUGGUUAAACUACCCCUACUUAUGUGGGAUAAUAGUUGUUACUAGAUUCCAUGGAUUAAAAAACUGAACCAUAAGAAAGAAGGAACCAGAAGAAACACUACUCCGUCUUCAUGAUUAUUUGAAAAGUCUAUCAGUUAGAUCGUUGAGCAUUCAACAUGAUUAUUUGAAAAGUCUAUCAGUUAGAUCGUUGAGCAUUCAACUCCAAUUAUCCAGGAAGGCAGUAUCCAGGAAGGCAGCAUCCAGGAAAUGUCUUAUUGGGCCCAUUGAUGAAAAGGAAAGACCCGCAUGUCUAUAUUGCUCAUUGUCUCAAGUAGCAUAAUAUCUCAAGAUAUUAUAUAUUGGAGCUCAGUGGAUACAAAUUAUUGGAGCUAUAUUUACAUAUGAAUGCAUCUCUGAAGGUGCUAACUUUCAGUUUUACUGGUACCAAAUGAGUUUUCAAUUUGCUUUUUCAACUGUAACUAGGUGGCAGAUUGGCAGAUUUAAGAGUUUGAAAAACAAAUCUGAAAUAGAAAGCUUCCACUAAAAGUUAGGAGUACUUCUUAGUCAUCCAUCUGCUCUAUUUCUAAAGCAAUAGAGCUACACAGCGUUACUGUUGACUCAUCAGAAGAGCUAACAUUACUGCUUCCUUGCAUGGAUAUGGGUGAAUCCGGAGGGUAAAACAACGGUCUGUGGGGCAACUUUAGGCCACUAAGAUCACCUUCAAGCAUUUCUAAGACUUUUCUCAUUGCAGGACGAUCCUCAGGUGUCAUUUGUGUGCACCAUAAUGCUAUCAAAAUCAAUUUUCUACUAAUUGACUUUUCGUCUUCAGUUGUAUGAUCCCCAAUUUCCAAUUCCUCCCCUCGAUCGAGUUUAUCGUAUAUCCAGGACAGGAAGUAUAUUUGACUUGAAUGUUCUACAUGUCCAUUACCAUUUCUCCUCCUUCUUGCCAUCUCCAUUAGCAACAUUCCAUAGCUAUAAACGUCUGCCUUGUCUGAGACUCUUCCAAUCUUUUUGUAGAACAAUUCCGGAGCCAUGUAACCUAAUGUUCCUCUGACAACUGUAAGACUUGAAACACUCUUUUGCAUCGGGUAAAGUUUUGCGAGUCCAAAGUCUGUAACUUUUGGAACGAAGUUCUCAUCAAGUAAGAUUUUAUAAGGCUUAAUAUCAAAAUGCAGAAUUUGCAUAUUACACCCCUGAUGCAAGUAUUCAAUCCCACGAGCAACUCCUUUUGCAAUCUCACAAGUUUGCUUCCAACUCAAUGGAUGACCAUUUUGACUAUCUGAGAAAAUUAAUUUAUCCAGAGAGCCAUCGGCAUGUAAUCAUAUACUAGGGCAUGUUUCGAGGGAGCAACACAAAAUCCUACCAACCGAACCACAUUCACAUGGUGAAUUUGUCCAAUAGUUGCAACUUCAUUAAUGAACUCUUAUCCAUCAGCUUUUGAUUUGUUCAGCAUUGAUAGGGUGUUAAUUGUUGGUUAUUUUAUUGUUAAUUUUCCCCUUUAUCCUUGCCAAAUAUUGUUUUAAUUAUUAAUAUUUACUUAUAUUUGGUAUUGGACUUAAUUUCAGGAACAAAGCAGAAAAUUACCAAAAAGGAGGGACUUUUAUGGGAAAAUGGAGACUUCUAAGGACCUUGGACUCUUGAAUUGGUGGGGACCACAAGCUAGUGCAAGGCAUUUAGUCAUUUGGGCUUUUCAAAGAAAGCAACGUAGAGAGACUUGGAACAACAAGUACUUUGGAGGUUUUGUCCACAUGUGCGGGACCACGGAUAAGAAGCAUGAGUCAUUUGGACUCUAGGAAAAGAAACGUACAAGACUUUGAAUUUGGUGUGGGGACCACUAGAGAUAGCAUUAGACUUCCUUUUGGCUUUAAAAAGGGAGAAACGUACGGGAGGUUUAUCAAUCAAUAGUUUUAGUUUAGACUUUUAGCAUAGUUUUAGUUUUCUUUUCUUAGCUCUUUCGCAUGGUUGUUCUCCAUUAAUGGAGAACUAACCUCUUAAUUCAAGUCAAGGGGACAACUGAAGAUUUGGUUCAACAAUUACUGUGAGAUCUAAUUUAUUUUAAUUGCUUCCUUAAUUUAUUGAUAUUUAUAUAUUCCCUGCUUUUAAUUGCUAUAGCUCGUGUGAGUGAUUGAAUAGAUGCGCAAUAUUUAAUUAUUCACAUGGGCUAUUUUGCUAAAUAGGGAUAAUUGAAUCCGUAAUUGUUCGUUAUCUUUAUCUCAGUAGCAACUGGCGUAAUUGGGUUUAUAUCAGGGGAGCAUACGAUCUAACUUAAACAAACCCUCGUAGCGUGUUUGUUAGUUAGGAUUGGGCAUUUCUAAUUAUUAAUGCAAUCUAGAAAUUAAAUCCUACGGUUGUACCUAGGGUUGUUUUUGGGUUAGAGAAAUAGUUAACGGUCGUACCUUAACUAUCGAGAAAUUAAGGAAAGGUUGGUUGUUUAUCGCGUGCAUGACAACUAUAACUGGUCUAUUAAUAAAUGUGGAAUUAUCUGUGAAUCAAUGAUCAGUGCCUGAACCAUUUCUGAAGUGUACCCUUGGCUAGAGUUUUCCCUUAAUUAUUUCUCUUAAUCAAUUAUUUUCUGCAGUUAAUUUAUUUAGUUAGCAUUUAAUCCAAAAACCCCCAUACCUUGGACUCUAGAAGAAACGAAUUAUCCCCAAUCCCUGUGGAUUCGACCCUGCUCACCGCUAUAUACAAAAUCUGUAUUUUUCUCGAGUAGGUAUUUAUUAUUGCACAGGUUCGGCACCUGUCAAUUUUUGGCGCCGUUGCCGGGGACUGGUGUCAGAUUAAUUUGUUUGUUUUUGAGUUCACCUUGUUUUCAUUUUUAAUUUAUUUUUCUCUUAUUUUUUUAUAUAACUUAUGGCUUCUAACACUCCGUAUUUUGGUGAUAUAAUGGAUUUUGUCUUCGGGGAAGGCAAUGAGACUGAUUGUUUUUCUAAGUUUGCAUAUUUAGAGGCAAUAAACUCUAUUAAAAAAAAAAUGGCUGCUGCAACCUGUGAAAUUUGUUAUGCCAGGGAUCAUUCAACCGGUAUGUGCCCCGAAUAUCAAGAUGAUCUGAGUGUCCCAUUCAAUAAUUAUGGAGAUUUUUCACCCUGGUCUCAAACGUGGUAUAACCCUAAUCCAAACGGGUAUGAUCAAGGAUGGUGGGAUAACUCCAGUUAUGAUUAUACAACAGGGCCAAUGAAUUUUCAGCAGUAUGAGUCUCAAGAAUCAUCAUCUAUGUCAGGUAUGUCUCUUGAAGAGAUAGUUGAAUUAAUAGCUACUAACACAUAUCAAAUUCAACAGGAGACACAAGUGAGCAGGCGUAACCUAGCAGAUCAAAUGGAUCAAUUGACAUUUAGGAUAACGUCAUUGGCUUCUCGAAUGAGUGAAAAAUUGCCCUCACAAACUAUUAUCGACCAUGAGGAAUAUGAGAGUGCAAUUAUCCUGACGAAUGACAUGGUACUGCAAGAGUCUCAAGAAGAAGAAUCUAAAGAUGCAGUUGAAAAGAAAGUUGAAGCACAAGAAUUGAGACCCCAACAUCAAAUGGUUCAAGUGAAUGAAUCCAGUGAACAAUCUCCAAAUGCGGUGACAUCUCCUCCAUUCCUUGAUCAAUAUUUUCCUGACUCUUAUUCUUUAAUUCCUGUUGGUGAGAUUGAUUUUAUUAUACCAGAAAAUUUUGAGUUUCAUGACAGGAACAAGUCAAGAGUCACGAUGGCAAAAUAUCUCAAACCAAUAAGUGCUUGUGAUGGAGGGGUGAAUGAAGAUUUAAGGUCAUUACUUGGUUGUUUGGCUCCAUCUACUAGUCCAUGGAAGACCGUAGCUCGUGUGCUCAAAAAUUACUCUACUUACGAGGGCUAUCAAGAUUACAUAGAGGAUGAAGCACUGAAACGAGCCACAAGAUUUUAUCCUCCAUGAAUAAACAGGACAAUGUCUAGCCAAACACAUUAAAGAAAGGCGCUGCUUGGGAGGCAACCCAAGGCUUUUGUUUUAAUUUUCUUAUGUUUUUGGAGUUUUUGUUAAGUGUUAGUUGCAUUUAGUGAUUUGUUGCUUGGUGGCAGGAAAGUGGCAAUUAAACGUGCCCACGCCAGGUGGUCACGCCUGAGGGAAAGAAAUUUUCGUUCAGGAUCUGCGGACUCUAUAGCGGUUAGACGCGCCCACGCCAGGUGGUCACGCCUGAGGGAAAGAAAUUCUCGUUCAGGAUCUGCGGACUCUAUAGCAGUUGAGCGUGCCCACGCCUUAGCCAGAGGGUCCUUGACUUAAAAAAAAAAAAAAAAAAAAUUCCGUCUUACACCUUCAGUUUUGAUUCUCACAAUUCGGAUUUUGAAAUUUGAAUGUGCAAAAAAAAAAAAAAGAACUAUUUUUUUUCCUUUUUCUUUCUUUCUUUCUUUCUUUCUUCUUCUUUCUUUCUUCUUUUCUUCCCCGCUGCCCUGUUUCCCUUUUCUUUUAUUUCUUCUUUCGGCUGCCCUCCAUCCGCCGCCACCCACUCCGCAUCAACUCCCCAUCGCAUGCCGCUGCCUAUCGCGAGCCACUCGCCUCGCCGUCCGCCGCCAUUGGCGCCCUCCAGCAGCACCGCCGCGAGCUCCACCGAACCUCUUGACCUUAGCCUACUCCAACCCAACUCAACCAUUCCUCGCCUCACCCACUGCUGUGGCCCCGCCAUGGUCCCCGUGAUUUCAGGGAAGUACCAUUGCUCUUUUGCUUACUAUUACUAUUUAUUUAUCACAUUGAGGGCAAUGUGUGAAUUAGGUGUGGGGGGUCAGUUUUGGGUGCUAGUAUUUUCAAUUUUCGAUUUUUUAGGUGUUUUUUUUCCUUUGUUUUAAGUCUGAUAUUUAUCUCCUUUUCAUUUAUUUUCUUUUCUUUUCUUUUCCUAGUGGUCAGUUUUUAUAUGAGUACCAAGUUUUGAUACCGGAUUGUUGUCUCUAAUUCUGCUAUUGCCAAGUUUAUUAAUAAAAAGGUAUCAAGUUGAUGUGGUUGAAUUCAGGAAUAUCUCUUUGGUGAAUAUCAAUAAUUGCUUAACUUUUCCUAUUUUUGGUUAACUUUUCUAAGCAUGGGGAAUGAUUGUUGGCAUUUUUCAUGUGAAUUGGUCCAUUUAUUAAUUUUAGUUCUCCAUGUCUAGAAAUUUGCGGCUGGCUGCUGUUAUUCUUGUGUUGCUUUUAGAUAUCGUGCUACAUGGUUGCAAAUAAGAGUGACUGUACUCCGCUAGUGGUUACUACUGAGUAACCGGGGAUCUUCACCUAAAGUGUUGAUUUUCGUGUCAAAAGGUAGUAGUUGCUAUGAGUGCGUGGUCCUGUAGCGAUUGGAGUUGAGUAACCGGGCUCUUUCAUCUAACAAAUGUCAGAGUUCGCGUCAAAAGGCUCUAAUGGCUAUAGAUUAAGUCUUUUGUUACUCAAAAAAAAAAAAAACAGAAACAAAAAGAAAGAAAAAAAAAGAAAAUAAAGAUUGUGUUAGUAAGUCAGCUUUCCGGUUUGUGAUCUUAAUGUCGAGAUUUUGGUUAAUAGUUGGACCAUUUGCUGAUAAAUGUGAGCAACCAUUCCUUUUUCUUAGAUUAGUUCGCUUUAAAUUGGAGAAGUUGGUGGUUGGGAAGCUAGCCGGGGUGAUUUUCUUUGAUCUUGACCUGUGUCGCUUGAUAUAUGAUUUUCUUAGUGUUUUGGCAAUACGGUAGUUGGAGUAACAGCCAUGGUCAAAUUUUGGUGUUCAAUUGCUGUUCCCAUACUUGAGGGCAAGCAUGAUUUAGGUGUGGGGGGAAUUGAUAGGGUGUUAAUUGUUGGUUAUUUUAUUGUUAAUUUUCCCCUUUAUCCUUGCCAAAUAUUGUUUUAAUUAUUAAUAUUUACUUAUAUUUGGUAUUGGACUUAAUUUCAGGAACAAAGCAGAAAAUUACCAAAAAGGAGGGACUUUUAUGGGAAAUGGAGACUUCUAAGGACCUUGGACUCUUGAAUUGGUGGGGACCACAAGCUAGUGCAAGGCAUUUAGUCAUUUGGGCUUUUCAAAGAAAGCAACGUAGAGAGACUUGGAACAACAAGUACUUUGGAGGUUUUGUCCACAUGUGCGGGACCACGGAUAAGAAGCAUGAGUCAUUUGGACUCUAGGAAAAGAAACGUACAAGAUUUUGAAUUUGGUGUGGGGACCACUAGAGAUAGCAUUAGACUUCCUUUUGACUUUAAAAAGGGAGAAACGUACGGGAGGUUUAUCAAUCAAUAGUUUUAGUUUAGACUUUUAGCAUAGUUUUAGUUUUCUUUUCUUAGCUCUUUCGCAUGGUUGUUCUCCAUUAAUGGAGAACUAACCUCUUAAUUCAAGUCAAGGGGACAACUGAAGAUUUGGUUCAACAAUUACUGUGAGAUCUAAUUUAUUUUAAUUGCUUCCUUAAUUUAUUGAUAUUUAUAUGUUCCCUGCUUUUAAUUGCUAUAGCUCGUGUGAGUGAUUGAAUAGAUGCGCAAUAUUUAAUUAUUCACAUGGGCUAUUUUGCUAAAUAGGGAUAAUUGAAUCCAUAAUUGUUCGUUAUCUUUAUCUCAGUAGCAACUGGCGUAAUUGGGUUUAUGUCAGGGGAGCAUACGAUUAGGGCUGUCAACGGGUCGGGUCCGGGCCGGAAUUCAUUAUUUCGGACCCGGACCCGAAUUACUAUGUCGGAUCCGGAUCCGAUCCGUUUACCCGACGGGUCUUUUAUUCUAUGUUCCGGAUCCGGAUCCGGAGGGUCCGACGGGUCUCGGAUCCGGAUCCGGGUCUACCCGAACAAAUUUACCAAAUUUUAUAAUUUCUAAUAAAAAUGAGAAAAAAAUAUAUUUGUAAACUAAUUUCUAACUAAUGCAAAGAAAAAAUCAAAUAAGAAAAGAAAUCAAAUUAAUUUUAUUAAAAUACAUCACCCUAAUCAAAUUAUAUUGAUAAAUAUAUAUUUUUUAAAUUAUUAAUUCAUUUAUAUCCGGAUCCGGGUCUAAUACGGGUCGGAAUACUAUAUUCCGUAUCCGACCCGUUUUUUUGUUUGACAAAACGGAUCCGGAUCCGAAUCCGGGAAACGGAAUUAAAUCCCUACCCAUACUCGCAAUAAUUUCACGGAUUCGGUCCGAAUCCGGGUCUAGACCCGACCCGUUGACAGGCCUACAUACGAUCUAACUUAAACAAACCCUCGUAGCGUGUUUGUUAGUUAGGAUUGGGCCUUUCUAAUUAUUAAUGCAAUCUAGAAAUUAAAUCAUACGGUCGUACCUAGGGUUAUUUUUGGGUUAGAGAAAUAGUUAACGGUCGUACCUUAACUAUCGAGAAAUUAAGGAAAGGUUGGUUGUUUAUCGCGUGCAUGACAACUAUAACUGGUCUAUUAAUAAAUGUGGAAUUAUCUGUGAAUCAAUGAUCAGUGCCUGAACCAUUUCUGAAGUGUACCCUUGGCUAGAGUUUUCCCUUAAUUAUUUCUCUUAAUCAAUUAUUUUCUGCAGUUAAUUUAUUUUGUUAGCAUUUAAUCCAAAACCCCCCAUACCUUGGACUCUAGAAGAAACGAAUUAUCCCCAGUCCCUGUGGAUUCGACCCUGCUCACCGCUAUAUACAAAAUCUCUAUUUUUCUCGAGUAGGUAUUUAUUAUUGCACAGGUUCGGCACCUGUCAAGCUUCUUGACAGCAACUAAAUCUCCGCUCCGCAGUUUUCCUUUGUAAACCAAACCAUAACCUCCUUCAUCUAAUUUCUCCUUAAAGUUGUUGGUCAUUGCCCUUAUGUGUUUGUAUGAAUACCUAAUGGGCAUGAGGUCGUUGUUCGUUUGUAGGAAAUCUUUUAUUGUAUCAUACCUCGAUAAAUGCCUCCGAUGACACCUAUAAAGGAGAAAAGCACAUAAGAGGGCAAUGCCAAUGGCACUUUUUGCUGCAAUGAGCAGAACUGAAAUAGAAGAAGAAAGCAACAUUUAGCAGUGAUUUAAUCUGUAUCAUAUACCCAAUAGUGAGUUAUCAACUAUAAAUCAAAUGCCUUACCAAAAAAUUUGACAGCAAAACCCAUGCGAGCUGCGUAUUACAAAAAUUCAAAGGAUUAUUAAGGAAAAAUUGAAACAGAAAGGAUGAGACUGACUGAAAAAAUCAUUUCUGUAUAUUUUAAGAAUAAUUGACUCACUCCCAAACUUGACAUGAUUGUAGAAUGGUGCUACCAGAAGACCUGCAUUGUCCAGGAACAAAGAUCAAGAUUAAUGUCCAAUUGCAUGCUUGAACUUCAGCUUUUAACAGAGCUUCAAAUGCUAGAAGAAAAAAUUCAAUGCACAUUAAUCAAUUGUACAAUCUUCAAAUCUAGAGGAGAAUCUCAGAGAUCCUAAAUUUACACCUUCACAAUCUAAAUCAACACAGUCAAUGCAUUAAUCAAGUGCACUAUGACAGUAAGACUUGGAUAAAGUGUGAAAGAUAGAGAAGUUUGGAUUUGGCUUUUGAGAUCAACAACAGAACUACUAUACUCAGCCUACAAAUAUACCACUCCAUUUCUUAACUUAAAAUCUUUCAAGACACCGUAACUUGUCAUUAAAUUCCCAAAAACAUAGUUUCAUUCAGUAGAAUUUAAUACUUUCUAAGAGAUCAUCGUAACCAAUUAUCAAUCCCCGAAAUGGGCAACCUUCAGCCUUUUUGGGUAAGUAAGAAUUUAUUAAUACCCAAGAAGAAAGUAACAUACAAGGCAGGUCUGCAAAGUUAGUGUACUUACAAAGAAUUGAUCUCCGCGGUGACAAACGGAUCUCAAACCCAUUAGCCAGAGCAUUGUGGAUGUCUUGAAACGAAAUAUCUCCCGUUACCUUAGGCAGACACCGAAGGUCUGCACGAACUAUUUUAUGGAUUGUGCACGACUCUUCAAUAUCGGAUGCGACCACAUUUUUACCAAUCACAACAUAACUGUAAUAAUCAGAUUGAGCAUUCAUUUUUGAAAAAUGAUUUGCAGUGAUAUUACAAGAAGCAGUGUCUAUAUAAAGAGGAGAUUUUGAUUCCACUGGAUUUUUACAGCUGACAAAGACCAAUUCACUGGUGUCAGGAUCAAUAUCCACGAAUCGUCCAUAACGGAUAUCCCCAACUUGCUUUUCAUAGGUGUAUUCAUAAAAUGAGUAAAUUGGAAGAGUAGAACAGUUGUCCUUUUGCACUCUAGAUCAAAUAUACGAAGUGUUCGUUUCCUGUAGUCAAUGCUGUCUAGAUCUGUAUAAAAGUGCUGUUCCUCCCCAUCAACAUCCGCUGUUAAGGGAAGUACUAUGCGAUUAUGGUCACAAGAGAACUCCAAAGCAUAAGGGCACAAAUCUGCAUGAUCACCUUUGAACUGAAACGGGCACUUUAAACUGACAUCAGUGCCUCUGCAAGAAGAUGGGCUAUGGUCACAACCGGUGUGUUUGGAAUAGAAGGUAUGAUAACCAUUUGCGUAACAAUGGCUAUCGACAAUAGUAUCAAAUCUGAAUUGGGAUACCAAAAAGUAAAUCAAGAUCAGGGACAACAAAACUACCAAAAUCUGAACUUGCAACAUGCUAUUAAUGGAUUGACUAAAAAUAGCCGGAUAUGCAGAGGAGAAGGUACUGCUUGGCAAGUAAGGUUUUAGAGCAAAUGAAUGCACUUUAACUAAAUUUUAACCUCCUUUCCCGGUAAAGGUUUAAGGGAAUCCAAUCUAAACUUGCCUGCUGCAGUUGUUUAUUAAGAAAAACUUUUCCAUUAACCUCAAUGGACUUUCGACUAGCCACCCAAUUUAGACUUUUCAUUCUUUCAUUUUCUUUUUUCAGUCUUUGUUAAGGGAGUCCAAUCUAAUACUUCCGCACUUACUUGGUAGUUAUUAUCAUUAAUACUUUUGAUGACAAUUAAAACUUGCAGUUUAUGAAAAUUAAAAAUCCCCUCCCCUAGUUGUUCUAGGAGCGAGGAGGGUGGCUUGCGGGGAAGGGGGGAGGGGAGAGGAGGAAGAGAGAGGGAGGGAGGCAGGAGGAGGAAAGUGGAAGGAGAAGAGAGAGAAGGGGGACCGGCAAGUGGUAUAACCGUUCUUGAACGGUGUAAAACCUUCUUACCAAAUAAUUAAUCAUUAUAGGUUAUUUGUAUAAUUUGGAGGUGUCAUUUUUGACGUCUGUAAAGGGUCUUUUGCUUAGAAAUUUUGCAAGGAAAUGAUUAGUUGAUAAAAUACUAUGAUUUUUGUCCAAGCUUAUUUUAGACUUGGAAUCUUAAUCAAAAGUGAAAUGGGAAAAUGAGUGAAAAUCUUGAAAUUUGGAUGAAUUCUUAUUAAUACUUUGAGAUGGGCGCUUUGAGUAUGUAAGUCCCACGGUUUGGAGCUUGGUGAUGGGCUCCAGUGUCAGGCCGAUUCGUUCCUAGUUCCAAUUUCUUCAUUUCCCUGUUCUAGGUCCGAAAAUAUUUCUUCUGCUCUUGUCAGUACGGGACUGAAUUGUAAUUGAAAUAUUGAUAAUUUACGAAAUUAAAUUAAAUUAGGCUUUAGCAGUUAUAGGCAUGAAAGAUGUGUAUCACAGGAAUUACCUAAGUUAAGUUAGGUAUUGCUUCAUUUUCACUAAGGUAAGCAGUUUUAGCAGUCUCUAAUGAAUAAAAUAGUUUUAAAUGCCUAUGUUAAUAUGAAAUUCAGCAUGAGUAGAGAUACUUAUAAUUCUUUUGACAUGUGAACUAAUAUGAUAAGAAUAGUUAUGGAAUUUAGAUGCAACAUUUGUUUCGCACUUUGAAUUCAUGAUUUCUUGUUUACUGUCAUUAGAACUAAUUAGUUCUGUAUUUCUGUCUGUCUGAUCUAGCGGGAAAUGCUGGCCUCGCUGCAGGGUAACAAAAUGUCACGAUCAAAAGGUACUUCGUGAGGGCAACAAACGCUUGAUGUCAUUUGUUCCUAAGCUGAGACAUUUGGUUUAAGAGUACUCUUACGCCCUUCAUAUCAAGAAAGUUUAUCAGAACAACUGAAGUUUAGAUCCUUUUAGAACGGUUUGUUAUUACAACACAAGUAGCUUCCUAUCCCCAGCAAAUCGAGUUUCCUCUCCAAAGCUUAGGCACAAUGACUGACUUUUUGUAAUCAAAUCAUGUGAACACUGAAACAAUGAUAGUAGCAAUCAAUAACAGUUAACAUAUCCAUAAUUCAAGAGAAGGUGCCAAUGGUUGUUACUUAGGCCCUGGUUGAUAAUCUCAUUCAGUACUUAAACUUAAUGGAUUUAGAUCUUAACAUGUUCAGAUACGUUUAUUGAAAAACUGAAGUUUAGAUCUUGUCAGAACGGUUUAUCAUUAUGACACAAAGUAGCUCCCUAUGGCCAGCAAUUCCAUUUUCCUCUCCACUCUCUUGAAAGCAAUGACUGACUUUUGUAAUAAAAUCAUAUGAACUCAGAGACAAUGACAGGAGCAAUCAAUAAUAGUUAACCUAUCCGUAAUUCAAGAGAAGGUGCCAAUGGUUGUGCUUAAUGUCAUGAUGCUUCUUAAGUACUUGAAUUUUUCAACAUGACAAAACCUCAACUUAAAUAACUGAACCAUAAAGAUGAAGGUAUCAAGAAGGAACACUAGUUCUCUUCUUCAAGAUUAUUUGAAAAGUAUAUCAGCUAGACCGUGAAGCAUUCGCCUCCACUUACUCAAGCAGGCAGUAUCCAGGAAAUGUCUUAUCCUGCACGUUGAUGAAAAGGAACGACAUGUUUCAAAGGAAAAAUCCAAGGAUAAGGAAAAAUGGCUACAAGGCUAUGUUAAACUAACAAUUUGACUAGUAACAGCAACACUACUGGAAAGGAUCGAUCUUACGAAUUUGGAGGAAAUAUUUAGAUAUGCUGCUAGCUGUUUUAGAUAACAUAAUAUGUAGAAAUUAUUAUGUUGAACUCAAAGAUUGAUGCUGGUAUUACUAUUAUAUAUGAAGCAUAUAUCAAGGUGCUACACUUCAGUUCAUUGAUACCAAACUGAUAUUUCAGUUUGCCAUGUUAUAUCUGGUACAUUUGAGAGUUUGAAAGACAAAUCUACUAGGCAAAGCUUUCACUGAAAGUACUACUUAGUCAUCCAUCUGCUCUAUUUCUAAAGCAACAGAGCUACAUAAGGGUGCCGUUGACUCGUCAGAAGAACUACUAUCGCUGCUUCUUUGCAUGGAUAUGGGUGAAUCUGGAGGGUAAAACGACGGUUUAGGGGGCAACUUUAGGCCACUAGCAUCACCUUCAAGCAUUUCUAAGACUUCUCUCAUUGAAGGACGAUCUUCAGGUGUCAUCUGUAUGCACCACAAUGCAAUCAAAAUCAAUUUUCUUGUAAUCUUCUUUUCUUCUUCAGUUGCAUGAUCUCCGAUUUCCAUUUCCUCCACCUGAUCGAAUUUGUCAUAUAUCCAUGAAGGAAAAUAUAUUUGACUUGAAUGCUCAACAUGCUCAUCCACAUUUCUCCUCCUUCCCGCCAUCUCCAUUAGUAACUUUCCAUAGCUGUAAACGUCUGCUUGUUUGAGACUCUUCCAAUCUUUUUAUAGAACAGUUCCAGGGCCAUGUAACCUAAUGUUCCUCUCACGGCAGUAAGAGUUGCAAUACUCUUUUGCAUCCGGUAAAGUUUUGCAAGUCCGAAGUCUGAAACUUUUGGAACAAAGUUCUCAUCAAGUAAGAUGUUAUGUGGUUUAAUAUCAAAAUGCAGAAUUUGCAUAUCACACCCCUGAUGCAAGUAUUCAAUGCCACGAGCAACCCCCUUUGCAAUGUCACAAACUUGCUUCCAACUCAAUGGAGAACCAUUUUGACAGUUUGAGAAAAUUAACUUAUCCAGAGAGCCAUUUGGCAUGUAAUCAUACACUAGAGCAUGUUUUGAGGCAGUAACACAAAAUCCCACUAACCGAACCACGUUCACAUGGUGUAUUCUUCCAAUAGUUGCAACUUCAUUGAUGAACUCCUGCCCAUUAGCUUUUGAUUUGUUGAGCAUCUUGACAGCAACUG
rnacentral:lncRNA from 1 species